rnacentral:lncRNA from 1 species
ACGAUUCUGUUUUAUAUUAAAAAAAAAAUGGAGAAGUCACCCUACUGUAAUGGCAAGUUGCUUUCAGAAAUGAGGGAGUGCUGUAGGGAGAACUGAAGAAGACACCCAACAGUUUUUAGUGUUUGAGGGUCGACGAGCAGAUUAACAACUAGAAGCUUGGAACAAAAGUAGAGAUUGAUAUUUUUCUGCAGGUUUUUAAUAUGAAGUUCACUAUGAUUAUUCAAAAAUGUGGUUGCUAUACGCUGGGCGUUUCUGAGUUGGGAUAGAAAUGUAGAAUUUGGCUGUCUUUUAGUUGUUUAAACUGUAUAUGUUUUGGAAGUCCUAGUUGAGUCCAGUUCAUUAAAGUUUUGAUCUACUUCGGGUUUCCAUUAUUAUGCUGUAGCAAUUUAAGAGCUCUUUUCUUUUAGAAGUCUCAAGCCCCAAGUCAUGAAAUUCUAUAAUAGAGCCAAACAAUCGUUUUCGCAUAACUUCUAUUUGUCAACUCUUCACUGCCAAUCAAAUAUUCUGCAGUUUUUAUAUUUUGUUUUUAGAUAAUUAAGGCUUUACCACCUUAUUUGUAGAGAUCCCAUUGUCUUACGCCAGCUACAUCUAUUUUUGGGCAUGUAGCCAUCACAUUAUAGUUAUCAUUUUGUAUGUUAUGUCAUACAUUUUGUCGUUUAGCAUCCUCAUUCCUCACUAUUAUUUCGUUAUUUUUUACUCGGCAGGUUCAGGUGAAAUUCAUUUCAAUCUUGCACUGUCUAUUGGUGUUUCUCCAAUUGGUCCUAUAUUCAAGGGGGCUUCUGUUAGAGUGAGCAGAGAUAAGGAAAGUAGUAAAUGUUCUACUUGGCUGACCGCAAAGCGAGAGGGGUCAACAGAUAAGCUCGAUGGUGAAAGUAUUCUUCAAAUUCUUGCUGAUGUAUGUUGUUGUUAUCUUCGUAUUAUUAUGUAUUCUCUUAUGCUUCUCACUUUCUCCUUAGCUAAUUUUUUGUCAGUUCCUUAAUCAAACUAGUUUUUAGGGUGUGGUUUACUCAUUCCCAUUAUUAAUGUGAGGUGAAAAUUAGCCACUUUUGCCAAAAUUUAACAAAAUAACUUAAAAAGGAGAAAAAUAACAGGUAAUUUACGAAACAGAGACAUAACCUAUUCGUUUCACCGUAAUAUUAGACAAAGAAUCCUGUGGAACUUAUAUUUCCAAAAUGUAGUUUUUCUGAAUACAUAUAAGAAUUAAACACGGAAAUCAUCAUAGUAUUAUGUGUGGAUACCCUUCCCUGAUCCUUGACUAACUCCAUUGUUCUCGUUGCUUUAUCUCUUAGCGAGAAAGAAAGUUUGAUGUAAAGCCCAGUUACCUCAAAAGCAACGUGAUUCACGUCUUCUGACGGGAUAAAAGCAUAGCAACUCUAGAGACAUAUGCAACACACAUGGAGCUUCUUCUUGAUGGGAUAAAAGCAUAGCAAUAUGCAACACACAUGCAGUCCCACUAGGACCCUAUUAUAACACAACUUAAAGAACUUUUUUGAUGUCAUUAAUAAGACCCUAAUAAUAUAUAACACCAAUUAAUAAAUAUUAUAGUACUAUCCUCGAGAGUCGUAUACUUGAUUUCCUGCAUCACCACUCGUUAAAUUACAAAAGUAGUAUUCUCAGGAAACUCAAGUUUGUACUCGUAUUAUUUGAUAUACUUGAUUGACGGAAUCUUUUAAUCAGGAUUUGUUGCUCAAUGUUAUUUACCCAUGAACUUUGGAGACCAUUUAAUUUUUGUGGAUAUAAUCUCAUAGUGGAAUUUGAAACUAAGAAAUUAAGGGCUAAUAUAAUCCUGUAUAUAUUACUGGAUGAUAUAGGCAAAAUACAAAUAUACCUUUUCUUUUUUUUUUAAUUAUAUAUACAGGUUCAUUAUACCGAUGGAGAUUAUUUAUAUUCUUUGCAGAGUGAUAUUAAUGUCUUGAAUCACGACUUGUACCUUGGGGUUACAAAACGAAGAACAUGCUCAGUUGGGACUGAGAAACGGAAGUUUGUUUCUUACUUGGCAUUCCAUGAAGUUUUGGGGUAACAUUUCUAAUCUUCUUUAAUGUGCCUUUUGUAUUCAGACAUAUUUAGUUGAAUGUUAUUUGUUUAAAUUUACAACAAGUUACAAGUUUGAAGGAGCACUGAGCACGAAUAAUGAUGUAUAGAUGCUGUAUGACUAACCUCGUAUAUGUUGUAUGAUUUUGUGAUUUGACAAAUCUCGUUUGAGGUUGUUAACCUUUUGAUUGACAAAUCUAAUUUGAUGAUUCGACAACUCUCUUUUUAGCUUGUUAACCUUGAUUGUUUUUGGUAUACAGUGUGGUAUAUUUAUUAUACUCAUUGCUACAGUGGACAAUAAGAUAUUACUAGUUGGGGCAUUUGUGGUUAUUUGUUUUGAUAGUGUAUGUUUUAUCUUUAUAAAUUAAACAAGGUGGGAAUAAGAUAUAACAAAUGGGUAGGACAACCAGGGGCAAUUCAAUGGCUUUUUGGGAUAACAUUUGGUUCCGUUAUCACGCCUAUGUUCCCCAAGCAGACUUUCGCCCCUCCAUCUGUGGAAACUGGGGAUGAGUCGUUCGAGCCCUCCUUUCCAGGGUUAAGUGUGUGGUAAUUCCUUCCUUUCCGAAUAGCGGAUUCCCGUCUUUUUUGCCUAUUUCAAUCUUCCUUCCGAUGCGGAUGGGUAACUGAGAUACCACAGGCUUCAGGCAGGGAACUCGUUAGGAAAAUAAUGAUCUAUAAGUAUUGUUUGAUUUCUUAAAUUCUAUAGUAUGAGGGGAUAGAAAUGACUGGAGUGUGUAGUUAAAAAUAUAAUAGGUCAGAAAGCCAAAUAAGUUUUAUUCAUUAGGAAUUUAACAAGUUUAAUAAUGUUGAGUAAUAAAUGUUUAGAAAGUCUAUCUAGUGUGAAAGCGGGAAUCUGUUUAGUUUGGAUCUUGUGUCUGAGUGGUUUAAAGCAGGGUUUUGGAGGAGGUUCCUAUUCGAGCGUAGUAUUGAGUGAAAGUGGGAGCUCUGCCUUGUGUGUAAGGAUCAUGCAGCUAAAAUUGUUUACCAUAAUAUAAUCAGUUAGGUUUUUGUUGUAUUAUUAAAAAUCCAUGGAGAGAACUUUCUUCAAUUAUACUUUCAGGUCAAUAUGUUUAUAAUAAACGCGGAACUUGGGGAGGAAGUCUUACAACGUGUUUCCUGACAUUCAGUAUCAUUGUAUCAUCGAAAUCCAUGUUCUGUGCAAGAAUCUAUUCUAAAUCCUUUUUUUUUUUGUUAUCGGUUCAAUAUUGGAUAUCCAUGUGAAUACUUUUCUCUGAUGUUACUUAGGGCCGAUGAGCAAUCCUUGUAUGUCAGAGGUGAUGGACUCAAAACUGGUGAUACAUUCCAAUUCUUCUCUCCAGAUCCUCAGAUAGGUUUAAUGUCACGCGAUGAUGUAUUUGACAACCUCAGGGCUUUGAAUCAGAGGAAUUGUGAUAAGAAGAUAGUGUUUGGAGGACUUAUCUUCUCUUGUUUCGGCCGUGGAGAGUCGUUCCUUGGACAGCCCAAUAUUGACGGUUCAGCAUUCUUGGAAAAUUUUCCUGGUGUCCCACUAUCAGGUGUGUUUUGUUGUGGUGAAAUUGGACGUAGCUCGUCAUCGUCUGCAGAGCAGGAUAGUGUUGUACAGAGAUCUACAAAUUGCUUCAAUCAUAUAUAUAGCUCUGUGUAUCUUGUAAUUAUGUAUACUCGCUUCAAUCAUAUAUAUAGCUCUGUGUAUCUUGUAAUUAUGUAUACUCCUGCUCUUGGCUAUUAAAUUAAUGUUGUUGAAUGUAACUCAAAUACUCAAUUAUGCUUUAUUGUUGAGAAUAUCACCUGUCGUACUUCCUCUUCUUUCCUGUCGGGCUCGUUCUUCUCAGUUUGUCUAACAUACUUUUUGACUAGGAAAGGAAGUAAAGCUCAUCAUCUAACCAUGUGAUUUCAAAAAAAAAAAAAACCUGUAGUAUAGGUGAGCUGUUCCUAUAUUUACUGCCUACGGAAAAAAAAUUGAAAAACAAAAUUCAUAAUAAGUUGGAGAUAUAUAAUAUGUUGUGAUCAGUAUAUAGUGGCAUUUCUGAUAUAGAGCUUGGAUUAUCUGAAAAUGUUUGAGCUUCAGUAGAGAACUUUGACAAUUGCAUAAUAUAGCAUCAUCGUGGCAGUGAUGCUAGCAGCCUAGCUUUGCACAUCUAUAAAUUCUCUGCAAGUUUGUGGUGGGUAGGUAAGAUUUAGUGCAAAUCAUGUUAAUAGCAUGUAUAUGACAUUUUGACCACCCUCAUAAUUUUGGGAGUUUUUUUUUUCUCUUGCUGAGAAUUUUGCCUGUGUAUGCAAAGAAGAACGCAUAUUCAAGCUCGUCCGAAGAAGAUUUAGGUACAAUUAAACAGUAGCUAGGAAAAUGUAUUUUGCUCAUGAACUUCAUGAUUAAUCAUUUUGAUUGUAGGUAACUGGUAAGUAGAUUAAACUUCGCCAGUCCAAAUCUGUGUCGCAGUAUUCUUAUCUAAAACAAGAAUGAAGAUAAAAGUGAUGGUAAAUGUGAUAUUGGCACGGCUCAAUCAGAUUAAAGGACCCAAUCUUUGAGAGCUUUCAUUUGAUUGAGCCAUUCCAACACCUCAAUAUUAUCACACAUAUAUCUAUCAAAGUAUCAAUAUUCUUGCCUACUAAAACAAAAUAAACAUGAUAAUGAUUAAAACGUUUAUAUAUAAAACUUUUCACUGCGUGCUUACCUUCAUGACAUGAUUGCUUCACUUCCAUGUAAAGAAGAGAAGGAAGAGUAGGCUUGAGAAUUGGCUGAAGGGAAAAUGAAAAUGUGGAUAUAUAUAUAUAACAAGGAUGGUUGAGAUGUCCAUAUCUUUCCUUGAUAUAUAGAAAGAAGCCAAAACAUAUAUAUUUUCCAAUAUAAACAUUUAUAUGAUGGUAGUGGUAGUGGUAGUGGUUGAUUUAUCUUUGGAAAAUUGUCAAGGUUGAAGUGCCUUUAUUUUCUUAUGUCUUCCUAAUCAUCAACAUAUAUACCUUUUAGCAUUUAACUUGCAUUUAAAAAAUCUCUCAUUUUUAUCUUGAGGAUCAUUGGAUGGAUGAAGGCGAGUCAUAUCUUUUGACAAUUAUUUAUCAUCACCAGAAUAUGUGAGCAUGCAGAGAUAAUAAUAAAUUUUAUUUGUUGUGAUUUUUUUGUAGUAGUUAAAUUUUUCGCAGAGAUAAUAUAUACCGAGGCAAAUAUGAAAUAUGAGUUAACAAACUUAACCAAAGUCAUGAAUUGUGUGUUACUUGUUUAUAGUACUAUUUUAUGCUGAAAUUUGUUGGCAGAGUUGGAACUGGUCUUGAUUUCAUCGACCAUCAACUUUGUAAUUUUCCAAUUCAAACCUCUCAAGGCCAGUACACACAAGUAAACAUGGAAAAACUUUUGUCACUUAAGUCAGAAUGCCGUCUAAAUGCAGGCUUCAAUAACUUUUGUUGCACAAAAUGAGCACCUCUUAUAUAAUCAAGAAGGAUAUAUAAGCUUGAAAAAAUAAAAUAAGAUGGAGUAAAAUUGGUGUAAUUUACACAAAUAGCACGAGAUAUUGUUAUAAAAGAAAAUUGUAGUCAGAUAGUAUAAACUAUGAUAUCUUUAGAUGAAAUAGUGGACUACUAAUUUUGGCCUGCCGGCGACUAAGAUCCCUUACUGGUAUAUUGGUAUCUAGUAACAUAAUAUAUAUGUUUUAAACUGCAACAAGGGCAUUUUCCCGAAUCGUCUUCUCUUAACUCUUAGUAAUCUAUUCGGCCUCCUUUUUUCGUUGCUUGGUUUUAUAAAUUUUUUUCUCAUUUUUAAGCAAAGUUGUGAUGUCAGGCUUCACUAACAGAUUAUGUCAUGGUAUAUUUGAAUUUCCAUUGGAAAAAAAGGCAGAAAAAAAAAAUGGAGUGGGGCAUUAUUAGGUUCAAUAGUAACUAAAGAAAUUCAUAAUUGAAGAGAAAAAUAUGGAAAUAUGUAAUCUCUUUGUUAUAUCUUGUAGUAGAUGGAAAUGGUAUCAAGUGGAACCCCCCAUUUUUAAAGGUAGAUCUUAUUGGUUGGUAGUUGGUAUUCUAGAAAUUGAUUGGCCAAGAAAGGUGAGGCUAGAUACAGUAGUUUCUGUAUUAUAUUAUGCCCAACACUUUCCUACUUUGACACUUUGUUAUUGUUUCUCUCCUUUUGGUUGAUAUAUAUUAGGUUACACUGAAUUUCAUCUGACGUGGAAGAAAAUUUAAAGAAUGUUUCGUAAAUUUUAGAUUAUCAAUUUCAACCUCAAGUAUAUACUAUGCUCACUAUUUUGUUUGUUUGUCCUGAAAUAACAAAAUUCAACUUGUUAGUUGUUAGGUUUGUAUGUUGGAGCAGAAUAAGGAUCUUAAUGGUGAGCAACAGACAAGUGCAGACACUUCAACACCAGGGCACUAUGACACAAACCAUUAGUGCAGCAUAUUAGUAUGCCACAAUAUGCUUGUGGCAUUCGUCUUCAUGCCGUACAUGUUUCUGCAGAUUAGCAUGCGCUGGUUCAGAUUAUUUGCCUAGACCAAUAAACUUUAACAUAAAACAAAGUUUAACUGCAUUACAUGCUCAGCAAGUAUGCUGUUCUAUUUGAUUGCAUUUUCAAUCAAUUCUUUCUACAAACAUCACAAACAAGUAGUGAAAAGUUUAAUGUUUGCUAAAGAGUGGCUUUGGGGCUUAUUUCCUCACAAAAUACAAUUCUAAAUAGCAGAUGCAACAUACAAAUUCUUCAAAUGGGAAUACCAAAAGACUUUUUCAACUUCUCCACUUCCAAAUAAACUGUAGAGUAAGGGAGGAACUCAGAGAAAUAGCUCUUACUCAGAUCAUUGAUAGCAACAGCAAGUUUAGGGAUCUCCAAGAUUUCUUCAUGGGUCAGACUCCGAACAUAUCUUGCUGGGUUCCCAGCCCAUAGUUCUCCUGUUGGAAUCCUCCUGCCUGGAGGAACAACAGAUCCAGCUUCAAGGAUUGAAUUAGUCUCGACUAAUGAACCUUCCAUAAGGAUGGAGUGCUGCCCUAUAAUGCAUUCUGGCUCGAUCGUGCAAGAACGCAGAAGACAGUAAGCACCAAUUGUCACAAACCUUUCAAUUGAAGUUUCCGCAGGCAACCCUAAAAAACCAAAACAAACACUUGUAUAAGACGAGGUAUGAUACUUUGACAACAUAAAGAAAAAUUUAAAAGAUGUGAGAAGAAACUAAUUUCACAAAAGUUUAUCGGUGGUUGUUUCAUGACUUGAAGUUAACCCUAUUUAACCAAUUAACAAGCUAACUUCAGAACAUCAUCUUGUCAAUGCUAUUGUAAAUGACUGUAAUGCUUUCUUCUAUUACAAAUGAACUGUCCCGGGAAGUACAUGCAGGUCAUCCUUGUAUUUGGAUUGACAUAUCUUCUCGGUCUUGGUUAAAACUAACUUAGACGAGAUUAACCAUGUGAACCACCACAUAUAACACUGCAAGUAUUAAUAAGAUAGGGGAAAAAACUAGUGUUUCCCACAGUUAUCCCUUGAGAAAAGCAAUGUUCUUAUGACAUAAAAUGAUGCUUGAUGGAUGGCUGCACUACUUAUGAGCUAUGCUGCCAGGCGCUCGGUUUCGCAGGAACCGCCUCGACCGCCCAGACGGCGCCCUGCUAAGACCCCCAAUUUACUGUUUAAGUUUGCUACUUUACUGUUUACUGUUUAGUGUUUAAUUGUUUAGUGAGCAGUGACUACUGACUAACAGCAGCAGUCGGAGAAGAAGUGAAGAACUGAAGCAGCAACAGCAGCAGUCGGAGAAGAAGUGAAGAACUGAAGCAGCAACAGCAACAGCCGGAGAAGAGAGAAGAAGUAGCAGCAGCGAUUUUAAUUUUUUUUUUUUUUUUAGCUAACCUUUUAAUUUUUUUUGGACAUGGGCUUUUUGCCUUUUUUUUUCAGGUUUGGGCCGCCUUGAGCGCGUCUGCAUGGGCCGCUCUGGACAGAGCGCUGCGCCUGGGCGGCGCUCAGGCGGACCAAAGCGUUUUAGGCGUUGUUUCUUUACAGCGGAGCGUCCUCUUUCCGAAAUAGCGCCUAGGCGGCGCUGGGCGCCGCCCCUGACAGCAUAGCUUACGAGACAAUCAAAGGAUAGACUUAACAGAAUAAUAUGAAAAAGUUCAGUAAAGAAUUCAAGAUGGUUUGGGCAUGUAUAACCAAAAUAAUAAUAAUAAUAAUAAUAAUAAUAAUAAUAAUAAUAUGAAAGCAUUAGAAAUUGCUGACCAAAGUGCAACUUGCAAACUUUAAAAAGAAGUGAUCAAUGAUGUCCUAAGCUAUGCUGUCAGGGGCGGCGCCUAGGCGCUAUUUCGGAAAGAGGAUGCUCCGCUGUAAAGAAACAACGCCUAAAACGCUUUGGUCCGCCUGAGCGCUGCGCCACGCUUUGGUCCGCCUGAGCGCUGCCCAGGCGCAGCGCUCUGUCCAGAGCGGCCCAUACAGACGCGCUCAAGGCGGCCCAAACCUGAAAAAAAAGGCAAAAAAAGCCCAUGUCCAAAAAAGAUUAAAAGGUUAGCUAAAAAAAAAAAAAAAUUAAAAUCGCUGCUGCUACUUCUUCUCUCUUCUCCAGCUGCUGCUGUUGCUGCUUCAGUUCUUCCCUUCUUCUCCGACUGCUGCUGCUGCUACUGCUGUUAGUCAGUAGUCACUGCUCACUAAACAGUUAAACACUAAACAGUAAACUAUUAAAGUAGCAAACUUAAACAGUAAACUGGGGGUCUUAGCAGGGCGCCGCCUAGGCGCUGUCUGGGCGGUCGAGGCGGUUCCUGCGAAACCGAACGCCUGGCGCUCCGCUCCGCCCCUGACAGCAUAGGUCCUAAAUCUAAUGUUGGAUAAUGGCCUAGUUCCACUGUAAAAUAAUGGCUAAGAGACUUUAGGCUUGAAGUAGAGACUCGAGAGUAAAACAUUAAGGCUGUGUUUGGUUGGCGGAAUUUGCAUUCCGGGAAUUUGAAGGGUAAUAAAGGAAUAGCGAAUGAUAGGGGAGGAGAUCGGGAGCACAAAAGGAGGAGAAUGGAGACGAAGAUUGAUGGAAUUAUGCGCGAUAUUAAAUACUUGACUUAUCUGUCUCGUCGGGUUCAGAAACCGGUUUCCAUUUUUUAUAUAAGGAAACCAUAUUCCUGAGAUUUAAACGUAGCCGGAAUCUGCUUUCCGAAUUUAUCUCCAAAAACCUAGUGAUUUCGCUUGAUUUUCUGCUACUUUCCAGGAAAAUGAAAUGACUCGAACCAAACACAGCCUAAAGGGAAUCAGGGGAGAGUCAUCACUCAUCUGUCCUUGGAUCUGGACUUAUAGUCAUGAAGCCUAAGGAAGAGUUGAAAUCGUCCUUAUUUCAUUGCUUGGUUAUCAUGAGACUGCCACCAUCUCACCACUCACUGGGAAUUUCAUCUGCAUUCCAGACACAUUUUUGACAUACAUGCCCUGACUCUCAACUGGUUGGCAGCUCAAAAAAGUUCAAACUCAUCAUAUGGAAUAGCCUUGAUAGGUGAUAGAAGGCGUACACUUUGUACCUGGUAUGGCCAACUUUCUUGUUUGUUGUAUACUUAGAUGACAUCCAAACCCAACCCUACAAUACCACCUACAAAAUGCUGCCUCAGCAUUCGGCAAGUUAAUUUCACUGCGCCCGGACUACACUCAUCUCAGGUUUCUAACUUGAAGAUCAGUUUUUGCCUCUCUACAUAUGCAUUUAUGAACAAGUGAUUGUGCACUAAAACAGUCAUCCUUAAUAACUAAUAUGAUGACAAACAAUUACGGCCAACCCAAUGUUUUGGACAGCAUAUCUUCAUACACAAGAAGAUGCACUCUACCUAUAGCUAGAUUGGCUUUUGAUCAACAGGUAGUUGGGUACAUAUAACAAGUGACAUCCAGUCCUCUAUGUGACGAAACAUAUCAUUUUUUUUUGUUUGGUAAUAUAUGACGCAAUUUAAAAUUUUAGAGCCUUAGCUACGUACAAAUUUGGAAAAGCUAUGUAAAAUAACAAAUUCCGUUCCUAACCGAGUUCAAUAAACGUAAAGUUGAUUUCAUCAUAAAAAGGGUGUAAUUCACACUUCUAUGACGCUUAAAACACUUAAUCUAAGUAGCAAAAUAACGGGAUCAACGUGCACAAAAGGAACCAUUAAUCAUUUGAAAGAAUAAUAUGCAGAGGGAACUUACAUACAACUCCUAGGUGUUCGACACAUAAAUCAUAUUGCCUUGCCUAUCAUUAGGUUCAUAUUAUUUAUAAACCGUCAACGUGAAAUCCAAAGCAUGUGGACAUCAGUAGCAUAUAGAGGAAAUAGAAAGUCUGUCAUUAGAUAUUUUCGACACUAAGUUACUAACACUUGGAGAUUCGACUUCUUAACUUUUCUAUCUCUGACAGUUGAUAAUAACUUACAAGUUGACGUGAAUGUAUAUAUCAUGUAAUGAGUAUGCAUAAAUGAUGAACAAAGUAAAGUGAAUGUGGUCAAACCAAAUACAACAGUACAGAGCAUGUUGAGAUUUACAGACAUUUCGACAAGAGAAGAAAAUGCAGCCCUGAUCCAAAGCAUAAAGAUGUCUGCACAAUCAAUGUCUUCCUCAUAAAACUUUGGUGUUUGUUCUGCGUAAAAUUCUAUAAUCCAUGUUCUCGGUUUUGGUUAUAUCCCUACUUGUGACGUACUCUCUUUACUAUGGUCACAGCCAUCAAAUUGCAAUGAAACCUUAACACUACGCAGAUUCCUAUUUCGGAUCCCAUGGGCUCAAACUUUUUAUAAGGGUUGGAGAGAAAGUUAGGGCUUAAGAGAUAUACAAAGAACUGAUAUAUCCAGCCAGCGAUACUGUUUUAGCAAUAGAGUUAAUUUGUCUUUUGUUGGAAAAUUACUAUUUUUCUUAAAUAGUUCAUAUUAUACCUAUUCUCUUUAAAUAAACCAGCAUAACAGAAUCUUACUGGUCUGGAGGAGUGAGAAAAUGCACUGAACUUACAAGAGAUGCAAGAAUAAAGCACAAAAGAAAACUACAGAAGGAAUCAGUAAAACAUUUACCGAAUCAUAAAAAAGGACUCUUACGGCUCUAACAAGACACAUAAACGCUUUCUAACAGUUUCUGUUUGGUCUGUUCAUCUGUUGGAUACCGAUUCACACUUAUAGAAAAUCAUAAUUCUCGCAGACAUCAAUUUCCUAUCAUUUACAACUUUUUUUUAAGAAAAGGUUACUUAACUCCUCUUUCUUUCACAUGUUUGGGAUUUUACAAGUAAACCCUAUACUCUGACCCACUCAUUAUUUCAAAUUAACCCUCAAGAACUUUUAAUAAUACAUGGAAUCCCUACAAUACAUAGAAACUGACCUAAAAAGGAUGUUUUGCAUCCCAAAUUCAAUAACCAUAUUUGUGCUAUAACAAUAGAAGAGGAAAGGAAUGAAAACACUUAUAACAAGAAAAUAUCAAUCAAGAAAGAAUUUCACCAGAUUGGAAGGAAUCAUAAAUUUGUUUUGUUUGAGCCCCUACUUAUACUUGAAGAGGUUGGUCACCUGGGUGGUUAAAUUUCCAAAACAGGCAACACUGGAUAAUGUGAGUUUGGGGCAAAAACUAUUUAAGAGAAUCUUGAUGUCAGGCUCACUGGUGAGUUUCUUGGCCAAUUGCUGAAGGAGCAUUGGUAUCGUUGCUAUUAGUAAGACUAGGAAAGCGCGUGUGUGUGUUACGGGGAACUUCUUGUAAGAGAAGCAGCCAAAAGAGGCUUUUUAAGGGAGCCUAUUGCCAGGCACCCCAGUCAGCUUCUAGGCCAACACAGAUUAGAGUUUUGGUAGUUUCUUCAGUAUAUAACGGCUCCUACUAGGCUGAUGCUACAGGAAAUAGAACUGUUAAGCCACACCAAAGCCACCAAACCAACUACAAAUCAACAAUUUAAAGUGCAAAACAAAGAUUUAAUGCAUAAAACCUCAGUUAAAUUACAAGGAUGAAGAUUAUAUAUCAAAUAUGAUUAUAUGAAGAUAUGAUGAAGCAUAAAACAUGAACAUACACAAACAAGACUAAGCUUAAUUAUCUAAAAUCGUUCCAAUUUUAUCUAAAAUCAAAUUGCUUGUGUAGAACAUUUUUUAGCUCCUUAUGAGGGUUUGUUUCUUAAAGAUAUAAUCAUUUCCUCUAUAGUCCACACUGCUAACAAUGAACGAUUUCCAGAUAUCUAAGGCUCUAAGCUCAUGAUUAGGCAACACUGAAUAUGAUAAUGAAAUACAUAUUUCAAAGUCGCAAAUUCCGUUCCUGAACUAAUUCAAUAAAUGUCGAGUUGAUUUUGUCAUCAUAUAAAAGGUGCAAUUCACAAUUCUAUGACAAUUAAAACAGUUAACCCAAUUGCCCAAGUCGCAAAAUUAUGGGAACAACGUGCAGAGAAGGAACCAUUAAUCUUUUGAAAAUAAUAUGCAGAGGGAUAUUACAUACAAGUAUACAACUCCUAGGUAUUCUGUCACAAAUAACAUUGCUUUACCUAUCAUAAGGUUCAUAUUAUUAUUUCUGAACCAUGGGCUUGGGGUUUUAAGGAUAUUAAAUCAACUUUAUCAACUAAUAUCUAUGUUGUCACGGGUGGCGCUAAGGCGAUAAAGGCGGAAUAUUGGCAGCACCAUGCCUCGCCUACUCUAAUCACGCACCAUUUUCGCUUUUAACCUCUAGGCGAGCCUAGGCAGGUCGCUUUUCUUAAGGCGGAAGCAAAAAAGGCGGAAAAGGCGUUCUUCUUCUUCUUCUUCUUCAUUUAUUUUUAUUUUUAUGAUCUGGAGUAGAGAAUCAGACUCUAGAUUUCUAGAAAAGAUGGGACCUUCAUCUUCCAUUUGGGAUAGAAAGUUGCUAAAAAAUGCUGCAGGGGUAUAUUUUUUUUUAAAAAAAAACUGCUAAGAUGUAUACAUAGUUUUCAAAAAAUUUGUUACAGGUCCUGUCCAGGGCGGCGCCAAGGCGACCAAGGCGGUAUAUGGAGUUCUGGCGCCUGGCGCCUCGCCUCAUCCGUGACAACAUAGACUAAUAUUGACCGUGUGAAAUCCAAAGCAUGUCAACAUCACUAGCAUAUAGAGGAAAAAGAAAGUCUGAGAUAUUUUCUACACUAAGUUACUAUCAUUUUGUGAUUCGACUUCUUAACUUUUGUAUCUCUGGAAGUUGAUUAUAUUGGUUACAAGUUGAAAAUAAUGAAUAUAUCACGUAAUGAGUAUGCAUUAAAUGGUGAACAAAAGUAAAUGUGGUCAAACCAAAUAUAAUUGUACAGAGCAUGUUGAGAUUUAUAGACACUUCAAGUCUCAACAAGUAAGCAAAGAAAGGGCAGUCCUGACAAAUAUUUCCCAAAGCCUAUCAGCACAAGAUAAAGAUGUCUGCAUAAUGAAUGCCUUCUUCACAAAACUUGGGUGAGUGUUCUGCCUAGACUUUGGUGAUUCUAUGAUCAUUAAUCUAUAUUGUGAAGUGUGAACUACUAGGGACAUCUAGAAUAUUCCAGUGUGUGAUGUAAUCUUUGCGUUACGGCUUUAAGAAGACACAUAACCGCCUUCUAAAAGUUUUUCUUUGGUCUGUUAAUCACAAUUUUCGACCAGAUUAUUCAAUUUCCUAUCAUUUACAAGUUUUGACUCCUCGUUCUUUCACAUGUUUGGGAUUUUCUAUGAAAACCCUAUAUUCUGAUCACUCAUUAACCCUCAACCCUAUAAUACAUAGCAAAGGAACUAAAAAGACGUCUCACAACCCAAAUCCAAUGAACCAUAUUUGUGUUAUAACAAUAGAAAAAGAAAGGAAUGAAAACACUUUAACAUAAAAACACCAAUCAAGAAAGACUUUCACCAGAAUUCAGGAAUCAAAAAUUUUGUGUUGUUUAAGGCCCUAGUUAUAUUUGAAGAAGUUAGUCGCCUGGGUGGAGAAAUUCCCGAAAAGGACAACACUGGGCAAAGUGUGGGGGCAAAAACCUAUUUAAGAGAGCCCUUGAUGUCACUCCUUGUAAGAGAGCAGGGAAAAAAGAGUUUUUCAAGGGAGCCUAUUGCCAGGCACCCUAAUCAGUUUCUAGGCCAACACAGAUGUGAGUUCUGGUAGUUUCUUCAGUAUAGAAGGGCUCCUUCUAGGCUGAUUGCCACAUUUUAAAAAUAAAUGCUAAGCCGCACCAAACCAACUUCAAAUCAGUGACUUGAAGUGCAAAACAAAGAUUUUAUGCAAAACAUCUCAGCUAAAUUUACACAGAUGAAGAAUAUAUAUGAUGUAUGAAUGCAUCAUGAAACAUGAACACAUACACACAAAAAAAAGAGAUAUAAAUGAGUGAUCAUACUCUCAAUAUAUUUAAUCAAUCAUAUUUCUCACCUAUCUAAAAUUGUUCCAAUCUUACCUAAAAUCAAAAUGUUUGAGUAGAGCAAUGUUUAAUUUAGCUCCUUACGAAGGUUUGUGUUCGACCAGAAAAACUAAUGUCUUCUAUAGUCCACCCACACUGCUAAACAAUGAACAAUUUCCACACAUCUAAGCCGACUAAUACCUAACUGAUUAAACAUUUCGUUUAUUAUACCAAAAUCAUAAUCUAACCUAUCAAAUUCCAAAAUUCUGAAAACAAAUCUCAUUCUUGAGAAAAUUUAACAAUCCAAUAAAAGAAAUGAAGAUAGAAACCUGUAGGAGAAGCCCAAGCAGCAUGAAGAACAGAACGUUCUUGAACAUUAGAACAAAAACCAAUAGUAAUCUUGUUAAGAUCACCACGAAGAACAGAUCCAUUCCAAACAGAAGAUCCAUCAGAAACAGUAACUUGACCAGCUAAUACAACAUUUGGAGCAACAUAUGCAUCAACAGCAAUCUUUGGAAUCCAUUGACCUAAUGGUAUUAUUCUUCUUUGACCUCUAUAAUCCCAUUUCACUCGUGGAUCUGAUGAUGAUGAUGUUAAUGUUGCUUUUGUUCCAAUUGUUGAUUGUGAUGGCGGUGAUGAUGAUGAUGAUGCUGUUGCUGUUGCUGUUGCUACAGCAGCGGUUGAGAAGUUUCGAGAAAGUGUUGUUGCUGGUUUUAGGGCUCUUUUUGAUAAUCGAGCUGCUAAACUCGCCAUUUCUCUCUUUACCUAACAACAAAGUGAAGAAGUGAGGGAGAGAGAAAGUGAAGAAAGAAGAAGAAGUUAACAGGUGAGAAAAGAACUUGGAGGCCCAUAAUAAAGAAAGCCCAAUAUUGAAACUUAGAAAAGCCCAAUUGAAUUCAAAAACUCAGUACUGUAUAUUAGUAUUAUAGUAUAUAAUACCUUCUCUUUCCAUCUUUCCUUCUUUCAUCAAACAACUUUACAACUCUCUAAUUCUAUCUCUUCUUGCUCGAUUGGUUUAAAGAAUAAAAAAAAAAAAAAUCCUAAUUGUUGUUUGUUGAUAAUGGAAGAAGAAGAAGAAGAAGUUUGUUGUUUAUUGAAGAAGAAGAAGAGAUGGUUACGUUGUGUUCUAAGAUCUUGUUUUCACUUAUUUAGAACCAUGAGUCAUGAGUCAUGACACAUAUAACAUUGUUAUGCAGGGUGUUCUGAAAGUUAAUCAAUGUAUUGAAAUCCAUCCUGGUAUUGUAGUGAAGGAAAAUGGUACCAUCAAGUGCACCCCAAUAUAUUCAAGAAUAGUUUCACUAUUUGCAGAGCAGAAUGAGCUUCAGUUUGCUGUGUCCGUCUUAUCGGAGUUAGCGCCACCAUGGAUCCCACUUUGACACGUGCUGAUAGGCUUGUGGGUCAGACUCUUGGGCAGGUGGGAUCACUAUCAUCACAUCAUCACCGCCAUCGGUGACGAUGAUAAUGUUAAUGUUAAUGAUGUUUUUGUCAAGCUUGAGGUAUGUUACUGAAUCUUGAAGCAAUUCUUUCAGCAUUCACUACUCACUAGUACAAUAUGAAAGUAACAAACUAAAGAAUUGAGAAAAGGGGCGGAAUUGGCAUUACAGACAAACAAAGACUACUGGGGAACAUGUAAAGAUGACUAACAUCUUCGUUCCUGCAUUUUAGGGAAAAUUGGUCAAAACCCCCCACAUUUUGACCGGGUUUGGCGAGAACCCCCUAAUGUUGUUCAAGCUUGGCUUAAACCCCCUUUUGUUAAGCACCUCCAAGUUUCCGUCCAUUCAUAGUUUGUUUGCCCAUUAUACCCUUAAUUCAAACAGUUGUCUAAAUCCCCCCAAAAAAUUGUUAACAUAACUUAUUUGACAGAAGUUAAGUAAAUGUUUGAAUUACAAUUUUUAAAUUUUGUUAACAAUUUUUUUGGGGGGGGGGUUUUAGACAAACUGACAGAAGUUAAGGGUAUAAUGGAACUUAGGGGGUGCUUAACAGAAAGGGGGUUUACGCCAAGCUUGGACAACAUUAGGAGGUUCUCGCCAAACCCGGUCAAAACCUAGGGGGUUUUGACCAAUUUUCCCUACAUUUUAUGCCAUCUACUAUGGGUGUUUAUUUAAUGAUUUUAUAAAAACCUCAGAUUAGAAAACCCAUAUUCUAAAUAUUUUAUCAUCAUUUGAGACUGAUGAAGUAUUGAAAUGAACCCAAAAUUUUGUGUGGAUACAUUAUUCUUUGAACUGAAACAUUCACACCAUAUAGACCUGCAAUGGGAACUCAAAAAAUAUUAAAUAAAAUAAGGAAGAACGGGAAAUGCAUGCUAAAAGAAACUCAUUUCCUACAUGUCAUAACAUCUUACUUGUUCAUAUAGGUGAACUUUUUCUUCCUUCAUCGGCUGUUGGGAGUUAGGACAAAGGUUACAGACAGGCAAGGGAAAGUGGCAAAGUUGCAAAAGGAAGAGAUGCUUUUGCUGAACAUAGGCUCAAUGUCUGUUGGUGCCGAAGUGAUUGCAGUCAGGAAUGAUCUUGCUAAGCUGUGCCUCAAGUCUCCUGUUUGCACAAGCAAAGGGGAGAAGGUUGCCCUCAGCUGGAGAGUUGAUAUAAGCACUGGCGUCUCAUUGGAUGGGGACAGAUUCAAGCUGGAAUCACUAUUCAGGUCCCCACCCUGUACAAUUUCUGAUUUCUGAUAGUGAUACUUCCUACAAGUUUUAGAUUGAGAAUACUUUUAAUUGUUCAAUAGGAUUAUUAGUGCACCAAUAGAAUUAGAAAAAUCCCAGUUUCAUUGGUUGGCAAACAUGGCAUUCUUCCUCGAGUGACCUCAUAGGAACAUCGACAUAGUUUGUCAACAUAGAAUUUCUGUUAAUGGUGCUACAGUAUACACCACAGAUUGUUGUUGUCUGUAAAUUAAGUUUCACUGUAAUGUAUAGAUACUACUAAUUCUAAUUUUGAUUUGCUAGGGUUGGAUCUCUGUUUGCAUAUAUUUUGACAAACAACCUAUCCUCAUAGUCUCUCGCUUUAAUUUUGUCUGUAAAGUAAGCACUGCAGGAGAAACAAUGUAAUUCACUUUUGUCUCCCAAUUUUAGAGAGUUAAGGUUUGGUAUGUAGGGUAUAAUGAGCCAACCAAAAAAAAAUGUAGGGUAUAAUGAUAACUUUAUAUACUUUUAUUAAGUUUAGUUGCAUGAGAACUGUAGGGGUACUACAUACUCCAGCCAAUCAAAAGCAGCCACGUGGCACAGUCAACUAUUCAUCAGGUCGCUACGACUACGACCUCUCAUCACCCCGAUCACAACGACUCGACCUCCAGACCAGCAGCGUCCUGCCCACACACACGUGCUCCCAUUCAAUGCACAGAAUAUCUUCGUCAGUUACAUAAUUAAUUCACAGAGACGUUCCUCAUUCGUUACACAAUCAAUCCUCAUUAUAAUGGCGGAGAAUCUGCAAGAUCCAUGAUCCACGCCCUUCCAUCUUCUAUAUAAACAGAACUACGAUGGCUUGAUCUCUAAGUUCAAUUCCCCCGAGCUAGAGUACGUAGGCAAUCUCGAUCUCAACGAGGUGCAGCCACUCCGAUCUCAAACAUUCCUAUUUUGGUCAAGUCUCCCAGGCGACCUGACCCUGUUGAUGCAUUAAUCUAGAAAUAGGUUAAUACAUUUGGCGCCGACUGAAAGGAAUUCGAUCAUAUCGAAAAUCCAACCCUCCCACCCAACUCAAAAAUCAAAACCCUUUCCAAACUCAUCCAUCUCAAUGACUACCAUCCAAGACCUGCAAGACCAAAUCAGAAGUCUUCAGGAGGAAAACGCACAGCUAAGGGCUACGCAAACUAUCAAUCUCGCACAAGGUGAAAAUGGCGGACAUGGAGUCAUUCCUGUUGAUGACUCCAAUCAAAAGUACGAGCAGCUGAGCCAGCAAUUGGCGGAAUUCAAAGCCUCCCAUGCUCAAUACCAUUCCAAGAAUCACACUGCGGAGCAACUUGCUGUCCAGUCCCUCCAACAGUUCCAGGAAUCUCCUUUCUCCAAGGAGAUCCUGGAGCACGAUUUGCCUAACAAGCUGAAUGCCCCCAAGUUUGACCAGUAUGCAGGGGUCGGAGAUCCAACCGACCACGUCAAGGGAUUCCGGAAAUCCCUCCCAUUGAUCAAAGAAGAUCACCUUUUGUGUUUGCUGUUCCAGUCCAGCCUCACCGGACCGGCUCUCGACUGGUUUCACCGAUUGAAGCCAGGAUCCAUCAGCUCGUUCGCAGAGCUCGAGAAACAAUUUGUCAUAUUUUACAUCCACAACAAGAAACGCCCCGUCACCAUCGACUCAAUAUUCAAAGUCAAGCAGCAGAAUGGUGAGUCUCUGAGCACAUUUUUUGCUCGGUUUAAAUCAGAAUUACAUUCCAUUCAGGAUUUCGCGAAGGAGCAUGAGACCUUCGCAACUAUUGCUUUCUCUCACGGUCUGAUCCAAAGAUCGGACCUCUAUAAGUCUCUAGCCAUGAAGAGACCAUCAUCACUGGACGAGCUAUAUCUGAAAGUCGACCGAUAUAUCAAGCUCGAAGAAGCCCUCACUGGGAGGGAAAAGAAUCACGUAGUCAACAAUGUGGAGACUGAUUCCACCAAGCGACCUCGUUCUGACGGAAAGAGGUUUAGAGCUAAGCCGUUGCCCGCUGAGCAACGAGAAUAUCACCGAUUCACGCGACCAGCCGGUUACAUUUAUGAGCGGAUCAAGCACAACCAUUGGUGCAAGGUCCCCAUCUCCAAACAGCUGGAGGAUACAUCUGGUCGCCCGUACUGCAAAGUCCACAAGGUACGGUGUCAUCAGACAGAUGACUGUCGCGUUCUGAAACGCGCACUACAAACAUGGGCCGAUGAAAAGAGGUUCAACAAUUGGAUCCUCGGCAGGAACGAGGAUGCAACAACCAAGCGAGCGAGGAAGCAAUCCAGAACGCCUUCCCGCUCCCCCAGAAGAAGCAGCAGCAAGGCCAGUACGGCCUCAGCAAGCCCAGUCCGCAGCAGAGGACGUAGCCUCUCACAGCGUCUAGGUCCAACAGGUGACCUACGCGACCAGAUCAAUAAAAAGGUCGCAAACAAAGUGGACAGUGACAGCGAGUCAGACGAUCAUGUGGUUUACAUGAUUGAUGAGACCUUCUCCACCCCGGUCUCAAGAGAUAAGAAAAGACGAGUAGAACAUCUUCACCAUGUCUACUCUAUCACUGGUCGAGCAGCUCGUAUCAACAUUCCUUCCCGCCAAGAUUCCGACAUCACGUUCACCGAGGACGACCUCAACAAGGUCGUUACUCCUCACAAUGACGCCCUAGUCAUCGAGCUGCGAAUUGCAGACUACACUGUGAAGAGAGUAUUCAUUGACUGCGGAGCGUCCUGCAACAUUCUCAUGUACAGGACUUUCAAAGACAUGAGGUUGCCCGAUUCAGUCCUCCUCCCAAAUUUCACCCCAGUCUUAGGCUUCAACCACUCCAGGGAAGAUCCUAAGGGAGAAAUAAUGUUGCCCGUCACCGCGGGCAGAAAAGAGGACAAGGUCGUCGUCACGGCCAAGUUCAGCGUUGUCAACAUCCCAAACAAGUACAACGCGAUUCUGGGUUGAAAGUGGAUCCAUGCUAUGAGGGGAGUGCCCUCAACUUAUCAUCAAGUAUUCCGCUAUCCUGGCCCUCAUGGGAUAAUGGAAAUUCGCGGCAAUCAGAAUGUCGCACAGGAAUGCCACGGCAUUAUUGAGGCCGUCCCACCAUCAAAGCCAUCCACCUCUGGAACCAAGGAUGCUGAUGACAAAGGAAAGAGCCCAGUCACAUCAGAGGCUCAGGAGGGCAAUAACAGUUCAAAGAGCCCGUCCAAGGAAAAGACUGAACCCACCAAAUAGCAACUACAGAAGGAGCAAACGAGCUUCCCCAAGCUGAAUCUCGGAAGCACUGAUCUAGGAGUGCGCGUGAACAUUGGGUCAGAAGAUGAUCCAAGAUAUGUUUAUGUAGGAGCUGAGUUGAAAGAAGAUAAGUUCAGUAGCUUUGUAAAUUUUCUUUCAACUAAUAAAGAUGUUUUUGCUUGGUCGUACAUCGAUAUGCCUGGAAUAGACCCAUCAAUUGCAUGCCAUAAACUGCGGGUCAAUCCCAAUUAUCGACCUGUCAAACAGAAACCAAGGAGGCUUGCUCCCAAAUUUCACGAAGCUGUCAACUAAGAGAUCAACAGAUUUAAACAGGUUGGCUUCAUCAGAGAAGUCGAUACCCCAGACUGGCUAACCAACAUCGUACCAGUCCUAAAGAAAAAUGGGAAAACAAGAGUCUGUAUCGACUUCACAAGCUUGAACAAAGCUUGUCCUAAAGAUUCAUUCCCACUGCCACGAAUCGAUAGGCUAGUCGAUCAGACAUGCGGUUUCGAGCUACUGUCAUUUAUGGAUGCAUACUCUGGGUAUAACCAGAUCCCAAUGUACGAGCCUGACCAAGAGAAGACCUCCUUCACAACAGAGCAAGCCAUUUUCUGCUACAAGGUUAUGCCAUUCGGUUUACGAAAUGCAGGAGCGACCUACCAGAGACUGGUCACCAGAAUGUUCGACGACCUACUAGGUCGAACAAUGGAAGUCUACAUUGACGACAUGCUAGUGAAGAGCAGCGAAGAACAGGAUCACUUGUAUAAUCUUGAACAGGCAUUCCAAAGGUUGAGACAAUACAGAAUGCGUCUUAAUCCAGAGAAGUGUCUGUUCGGAGUUGCAUCAGGGAAAUUCCUCGGCUACCUAGUCACCAGAAGGGGAAUCGAAGCAAAUCCAGACCAGAACAGAGCCUUGAUCGACAUGCCAAGCCCAAAGACAAAGAAACAGAUCCAGAAACUCAAUGGCAUGGUGUCAGCUCUAAACAGAUUCAUUUCCAGAGCGUCAGAUAAAUGUCGACCAAUGCUUCACAUCCUAAAGAAGGGAGCUACAUACGAGUGGACAGAGGAAUGCGAAAAGGCCUUUAAUGAUCUCAAAUCAUAUUUGUCUACUCCACCAGUCCUCACAAGGCCCAGCGAUGGAGAUAUACUCGGCGUUUACCUCGCAACGUCAGAUUUUGCGAUCAGUGCAGUACUCUUCAAGGAACAAGAUCAGGUCGAACGACCUAUCUAUUUCACAAGCAAAGUCUUACAACAGGCGGAAAUAAGGUACACACCUUUAGAGAAGUUGGCAUUAGCUUUACUUUACGCUGCAUGCAAGUUCAAGCCUUAUUUCCAAGCCCACACUGUAAAAGUAGUCACCGACCAGCCGUUACGCCAUAUACUAGAAAAGAAAAACAAAACAGGUCGUAUGGCUCGAUGGGCAGCCGAGCUGGGUGAUUACACUUUCGAGUUCGUCUCACGGCAGGCCGUCAAGGGCCAGGUCGUUGCAGAUUUCUUAGUAGACUAUCCAGCAGAGGAUGUCUAUUGGGAACCAGAACCUGAAACAAGGCAAGUCCAGACCAGCCCUCCAGAUACAUGGCAGCUAUAUGUAGAUGGUUCCCACAAUUCCAACGGAAGUGGCAUAGGUACUGUACUAAUCUCUCCUGAGGGAUCACAGCUCGAGAGAUCGACUCGUCUAGACUUUUCGACCUCCAACAACGAGGCCGAGUACGAAGCUCUAAUCCAAGGCUUGCAAAUGGCCAUCGACCUACAAGCAGUUCGCCUCAAAGUAUACAGUGAUUCACAACUGGUAGUCAACCAGAUUACCAACAACUACCAGAUCAAUGGGGUCAAUUUAAUCAGAUAUGCUAGCAAGGCGAAAGAGCUCAUUAGCAAACUCAGCUAUUUCACAAUCGAGCAUAUACCUAGAGAUGACAACAGACAUGCUGAUUCGUUAGCAUUCUUAGCAUCAAAGAUUGAGUCAGACAGGCCACCGGCUCUCACCAUUGCCAUCAACACACAGCCAGCAUAUCUAUUCAAGGAGGAAGAAGUUCAUCAAAUCUCUGAUCUACUAGAAACAACUCAAGAAGACAUCCAAGGAACCUGGGUGGAACCUUUCAUCACUUACCUCCAAACUGGUGUCCUGCCACCCGACAAAAAAGAAGCCAAUCGAUUGCUUCAUAAAGUCUCAAUGUACAAGAUCCAUGAGGGUAAGCUUUUUCGAAAAUCUGCAACCGGAUUGUUAUUACGAUGUCUGAUCCCAAAACAAGGCCAAAUGAUAUUUCAAGAAAUCCACGAAGGCGAAUGUGGAAACCAUUCAGGCGGGCGUACCCUAGCCCAUAAAGCAAUCUCUCAGGGAUACUUCUGGCCAAGAAUGAAGGAAGAUGCAAAGAAAUUUGUUCUGAAGUGCAAAGAAUGCCAGCGAUUUGCUGACAAGCAACACCAGCAUCCAAAUGAUCUCAUUAACAUCACUGCACCAUGGCCAUUCCACAUGUGGGGACUCGAUAUCAUGGGCCCCCUAAUUAAAGAGAAGAAGUCAGAGAAGAGGUUCGUUCUAGUGGCCGUUGACUAUUUCACCAAAUGGAUAGAGGCUGUUGCAUUAACCAAUGUAAAACAAUCGGACGUCCAAAGAUUUAUGUGGGAAAGUAUCAUCACAAGGUUUGGACUACCAAAACGGGUAGUCACAGAUAAUGGCACUCAGUUCGUUGGCAAAAAUAUAAAAGCCUUCUACGACCUGUGGAAAAUCGAGCAUUCAAGGUCAACCCCUAGAUACCCACAAGCCAACGGCCAAGUCGAAGCUGCAAAUCGACAGAUCCUCAAUAACUUGAAGAAAAAGCUCGAAGACCAGCAUGACAAAUGGCCACAACAAUUGGAAAACAUCCUAUGGGCGUAUAGGACAACACCUCGUACGUCCACUGGAAUGUCACCUUUCAGCUUAUGCUACGGAGUUGAGGCAGUUAUUCCCACUGAGUUAACAUUUGGAACGACCAAAUCUCUUCUGGUCGAUACGGAGCUCAACAAUCAAGCCUGGUCGUUUGGAAUCGACCUACUCGAAGAACGACGAAACCACGCCGCUAUAAAGCUAGAACAAUACCAGCAGAGACUCAAGCGAGCUUAUAACAAAGGCGUGCGACCUCGAACAUUCCAGCCAGGGGAAUUAGUCCUAAGGAAAAUGUUCACCAACAAAAGAAAGGACACUAUUGGCAAACUGAACGCCAAUUGGGAAGGCCCUUACAUUAUCACAAAGGUCCAGAGCAACGGUUCCUACCGUCUACAAACACCAGAAGGGGAGAUAGUUAAGAACCCAUGGAAUGCUUUUCACUUAAAGAAAUUUUAUCAAUGAAAUGUAAGCAUCCUCUCAUCGCAUUUCAAUGUAUAAAACCAUUUUUGCUUUCAUCUCUGCUCAAACAUGAAUGGCUACUAAACGUCCACUCCAUCGACCUUCAAAUUAUCAAAACUCCAGUCCCUUUGAUAAUUUAAAUAUUGUUAAGUUAUACCACUAACAGCUUAACCUGGUGCAUUGGUCAUUCCCUUCCCACGACCCAAGCACAGCUAAAUGCAACGCGACUUCACACCCAAGCAGGUCGAGCACAUUUUACUUAUUGUUUGCAGAAUCAAUACAAGCAGACAAAGCAACAUGAACAACAAUGAAAGGUAAAAUGUUGAAUUAACUUUUUACUUGAUGAGAUCCUAACAAUUACAGGUACAACCAGAAACUAAGGCAUACAAGAAGAACUGUUUCAGUGCGUCCUGCUUGCAGCCAUUCAUCUCGUCUACCUGCCUUCUGAACGAGCUACCAGGACUCCCUGGAAACUAGCUGAUCAGAAAGGCUUCAUACAUACUCAUCAAAGCAAAAAACAACUACUGCUGUUAAACACAAAGGACAAAAGGUUAUAAACUCGAGCUCUCAAAACUACAAGGGGGCUCUCAAGAAUGCGACCUGGAAGCUAUGCCAAGUACAAGGGAUGCAAGAAGACAUGCUGCAAGAACAAGGAUCGCAAGAAGCAAACUUUCCACAAGGUCACCCAAUACAAGAAAGGGAAACAAAGUUACCCAAUACAAGAAAGGGAAACAAGGUUACCCAAUACAAGAAAGGGAAACAAGGUUACCCAAUACAAGAAAGGGAAACAAGGUUACCCAAUACAAGAAAAGGGACACCAAGGAAAGCUUACUGUUGCGCAGACUGGUCGCCAGAAACAUCAACUUCCACAAGGGCAUCAGCGACCUGGUCACUAGGGCCCAUCGAGGUGUCCUGAGCUGGUGGCAAAGUUUCUACAGCACCACCUCGCGUCUCCUCUCCCUCGGGCGAUCCCGACACAGCCUUCAAGAUCUGGUCGCUGUAGGCCCUCCACGCCGCAUCAUUGUCAUGACACACCUUCUGCCAAUACCCAACAGAAGCAUCAGAAGCAGCGGCAUCUUCCUUCAGCUGCCCCACGGUCUCCUUCAACUGCUCCACCGUCUCCUUCAGCGCGGCUAUCUGCGCAUCCCUGUCCCUCACCGUGCACUCAGCAACGAGAGCAACAUUCUUGGCCCGCUCAAGCUUCUCGUUGAGGUUCCUAACCUCAAUUUCAGCCUGAGCACCUACCUCAGCGACCAAACGCACCUGUUGGAAGCUGGCAUUCAGCUGCAAGCACAAGCAUAGUUUAGAUAACAAUAUCCAAUUACAAACAAGUCAAAUACGUCUCAAGAUCACACUCACCAUAGAUAGCCCAGCGUUUAUCUUCGAGCAGGUUACCAACAGAGUCUGCGACCUCACUGCUCGAGCAUCAGCGUCCAGUACGACGCCCUCAUUCACAGCCCGGGCAACACAAGGGUCGUCAAUAGCACUAUCGUUAUCAUAAACGACAUGCUUCUGCCCUUGACCAUCCAAGUAGUCGAAUGGCCCAGGACGAAACUCAGACGCCACACCUUUACCCUUCAGCGAAGGCCGAGCAGCAGUCUUCCUGGACAUCACAGAUAUCUCAGGAGAACCCACAGACACUGGAGGAACAGGGGAAGGCAUACUUGGGCGCUCUAUCAACUUCAGGUUACCUGAGAAGGACCUCUUCUUCCCAUCCAAUGCAGCCACAUUAGGGAGAGAGGCCGGAGGACCUACGCCUGAAGGACUAGCCGCUAGGUUACCAACUGCCCGCUCCAACUCCACAGCUCGAUCCUUCUCCAGAGGUCGACCCUUACCCGACCUACGAGGAGCAUCCCCAACUCGAUCUCUCUCAUCGUGCCUCGAGCUGACACUAGCUCGCUCUUUCUCCCCGGCACGCGAGCUACCACCUGAUCGCCCACUACCAGAUUUGUGUACAGAAGUCAUAAAUGCUUUCUUCAAACCCUUCCUCCUCUCUAGCUCAGCCUCAACAGUCCUUGAACCACCUUUGGGAAUAAAGUGCUCCUUUAGAUGAGGUAAGAGCGAGAUCUUCCGUUUGUCCUUCAAGUUACCAAAUCUGUUCAGCACGGAAUUCAGAUCGUUACCCUUCACCAAUUGAUCGUCCCUGAUCGCUGCAACAAAAAUACAAAAGCGUCAAGUCCAGAAACAGGAACGCGAAUUAGCAACCCUAGAACUAAAGACAACAAACUUACGAGCGUCAUUCCUAGUCACAUGACGCAGCUGGAUAUCCCCUUCAACAAUUGACCCAGUAAGCAGCAUGGGAUCUUUCCACCAUUGCUCGCUGCUUACUGGAUAAAUCAAGGGCAAACGGUCUGUCCUAACUUGCAUAUUAUAGCCUGAUAGUUCAACCUUCGAGGAGCGUUUGAAGCUGAAGUGGUUCAGAACAUCCUGUACAGUAAUGUUCCACCUAUGCAGCUUGUUGAGGUCAUCAAUUAGCCUCAUAUUCCGCCAGAAAUUACCAUUCAUCUGGCAGGGGGCUCGACGGAUGGCAUUCAAUAAGUCCACCACCAACCGAGACAAUGGUAGUCUCAGCCCGGCACGGAAUUGAUUCAAAGUAAAGACAGUAGAGGAAGGGUUAUUAGGUCGAUAGUCAGGAGAAGGCAGACGGUCUCCUAGAAAUCUAAUCUCCAAAUGCCUAAUCGACCUAAGCUCAUAAACCCUCCUAACAACAAGAUGCCUAUGUACAUAGUCCAUAUUUAUAACUCUACACAUCACACCAUCGUCGCCCUCUACCAGUUCAUCAUCAGAAGAGUCUGGCCCAUGAGAACCACUACUCUGGGGGCUACCCAACUCCUUACCACGAACGGGAGACGGAGUGUCAGAUCGAGUACUUUCAGACUCAAUCUCAUCAUCACCACCACCACUCAAGUGAUCGUUUUGGGAAUCACUAGCUUCAGACAUUACUCACAAACCAAGACAGACGAAUACAGAAGACGAAAAGGAAAGAAAGUAAACAAUCAAAAGAAAAGAGAAGAAGACAAACCUAACGAGCUCUCAAAGUUCCUCAGAUCGCAAUGCAAAAGCGGCAGCAAUUCAAAUAAAACAGGGAUAGGUAAACCCUUCUCAACGCAAGUACAGUUUAAAUACUGUAGCACGAGCAAUUCUAGCCAUCGGUUCGAAACAGAUGAACGGCUAAGAUCUACCAAAGGAUCCGUAUGCAUUGCAGUUAUUCUCCACUCACAAAACGAUUCGUAUCCACCGUUGGAUCUAUCCACGUGUAAGUCAGAUAUCAAAACAAGCAAAACGUGCGUCAGUUGCCAUAACUACACGGCUAACUGCUCGAGGAAACUCUCCCACUUCCCCGUAAUAGCACCAUCAUUACCACAGGCAGCGCUGCAUGACUGCCACGUGCCAAAAUUCAAAAAGUUUACCUCAAAUCAGCAUCGAACGGUGCAUUAAGUCUUUCCAGCCCGCCUUACACAGCCGACCUAAAAAGAGGGGGCUUAUGUAGGGGUACUACAUACUCCAGCCAAUCAAAAGCAGCCACGUGGCACAGUCAACUAUUCAUCAGGUCGCUACGACUACGACCUCUCAUCACCCCGAUCACAACGACUCGACCUCCAGACCAGCAACGUCCUGCCCACACACACGUGCUCCCAUUUAAUGCACAGAAUAUCUUCGUCAGUUACAUAAUUAAUUCACAGAGACGUUCCUCAUUCGUUACACAAUCAAUCCUCAUUAUGAUGGCGGAGAAUCUGCAAGAUCCAUGAUCCACGCCCUUCCAUCUUCUAUAUAAACAGAACUACGAUGGCUUGAUCUCUAAGUUCAAUUCCCCCGAGCUAGAGUACGUAGGCAAUCUCGAUCUCAACGAGGUGCAGCCACUCCGAUCUCAAACACUCCUAUUUUGGUCAAGUCUCCCAGGCGACCUGACCCUGUUGAUGCAUUAAUCUAGAAAUAGGUUAAUACAAGAACAGAAGUCAUUAGGAUUAGCUUUCCACCUCUAAAAUCAGAGCUAGGGUUUGGUACAUAAUUAGGAAUAACUGGAAACUUUAUUCUUCAGAUUCUACUGUCAAGUUUUAUUGUAGAAAAGGCUCAUCAGGAAUCAUAUAGGGAUGCCAAUGGGACUUUUGUUUCUUUAGCCUCUUAAAUCCAAGAUUCGCGCCUCUGAAAAAUUCAGCAUAACGCUGAAUGCUUGAACUACAUUAUACGACAUAGCUAGGCAUAGCCAAAUAUGUUAUCUUUAUAACUAGAUAAAUAUCACUUGGAACUUUUUGUAGUAUGAAAAACAGUAGUUUUAUUGCAAAAGCAUUGUAAAGUGUAAACCAUAAUUAUGAAGGGAGUUUAUGUUUAUUACGGCCCACCCUAAUCAGUUUCUAUGCAAAAUACAGAUGUAAUUCUGGUAGUAGUUUGUUUAGUACAGUAUAAAAGAAAAUAGCAUCAAUCAAAUUGGCAAUAAGGUAUUUUGUAAUAAAAACAGUGACUGCAGGAUUUUUCUCUACAUUUGAAAUGCAUUCUCGAAACUGUAAAAGAAGAAACCUGUAGCUGUAGGAGAAGCUGAAUGAAGAACACAACGUUGUUGACCUAAUAAAAUUAUCAUUCUUUGACCUCUAUAAUCCAAUUUAACUCGAUGAUUUGAUAAAGUUCAUAUUCAAGGAGACUGCAAAAUUGUCAUGGAGGCCCUCUCUGCAAGAAUCCCGGCUAUUCCCUUUCUUCUAUUAGUUUCUCUUGGAUUCCUAAGAGUCAGAAUGGAAUGACACAUGAUAUUGCUAAAUGGGCUCUGACCCAAUCAGCCAUGGGACCAUAUCCGGAUUGUGUAAUUGUUAACCAUGUGGACCUUAUUUCAGUUUAAUAAAGUUUAGAGUUCUCGGAGCGAAAAAAAAAAGGGCCAUUUUGCUGGUACACCCUACUUUUGUCACGGGUUUUGCCAAUACACCCUACUUUUGCAAACAAUUUGUCUUCCCACCCUUUAACUGUUUGACUCCGUCAGAAGACCACGGUCAACCAUAUUUGACCAGUAAACUUACAAUAAUACCCUCCUAUUUUUUAAUUUUUAAAUUGUCCUUUUUCAAUCUACACCAUUCAUCCAUCAGAUCUAAUCUACACCGUCUAUUUUAUAGCCGUUGGGGAUUAUCAAUUAUCAUCUUCUUCUCUUUAAAAACCUAACUUUUUUCCCAAUUCAGAAAACAAGAAAUUCUUCAAUGGCGUCUUCAAGUUCUUUAAAGGUUUUAAAAUUGUUGAUUGAGUUUUCAAUUUGGCGAUUGAUUUUUAAUUCAUGGAAAUGAUUGCAGGCCCCCAUUAAGAGCCUUAUAAGCAACAUUUCCCCACCUAAGAUCAAAAAUGAAAAAAAGGCCCCAUUCUUGUGUUGAAACAAAGCAUUGAGUUCUUGGCAUUAUAUGCAUUCAUCUCUUGGCAACCAUUUCCCUGAUCUAUGUGCUAACAUUUGACUUUAAAAUGGGGCUUUUUUUGCAUUUAGUUUCUUAGAUAGGAAAAUGUUUCUUUUCGGUCCCUUAUGGGGGUCCAUUUUUUUUUCCCUGUUUUUAAUUUGGUCGAUUGAUUUUCUGUUAAUUAUGUUUUUAAUUUAUCGAUUUAAUUUGUCAACAUUUUUAAUUAUGUACAGCAAGGUUCUGUUAAUUAUGUUUAUUUAGGAAUUUGAAAAAAGGAGGGUAUUAUUGUAAGUUCACUGGUCAAAUAUGGUUGACCGUGGUCUUCUGACGGAGUCAAACUGUUAAAGGGUGGGAAGACAAAUUUUUUGCAAAGGUAGGGUGUAUUGGCAAAACCCGUGACAAAAGUAGGGUGUACCAGCAAAAUGGCCCUAAAAAUAAAACUCGAUGAUUUGAUGAUAAUGAUGUUGCUAAUAACUUGCUAUUGCUGUUAUCGAACUGAGCCCAAAAUGAGGCCCAUGAAUAUGAAAACCCAAUAAGACUUGAUACGUAUGACAGGCACAAGAAUAUGCAAACAUUCUCUUUGCCCCUGAGUUUUGGAGGCCUUUGGUCUCUAUCUCUUCAACUUUUGGAGGUCCCAAAACAGCUGAUUUACUUGCUUUUGCUCAGGGCAGGGCAGGCCUUCCAUAUCAAAUCCUACACAAUACAGUAGUAAUGUACUGUUAUGAUGAUAUCAGACUAAUCAGUAGUAGAGUAGGGAAGGGGAAAAGAACUAGAGAAGAGAUUGUAUGAAAAGGGAAAAGAAAAUGAGGAAAAGGUGAAUGGACGAGACAGAAGAUCGUUUUAAAUUCCCACCGAUUCUAAACAGACCUCCUCCUAACUCCUAAGUCCUAAGUCACUCAUGGUCGAUUAAGAGAAUCAACCAAGGGGUUUGCAUUUGAUCAUUCAUUACUUUUAAGUUUUGAACCUUUUUCACAAAAGGUAUACCUUUAUGAUGUUGCAAAGUUCUGAAAUGUUCCUAUCAAAAAAAAAAAAAAAAAAAAGGUUCUGAAAUAUAUGGAUAUUUCAUAUUUGAUUCGGAUGAUGAGAUACAUUGCCAUACAGCCAUGCUAGCUAGGGAUACUCCAGAGUAAUAACUAAUAAGGGUGGAUGAAAAUGUUUUUUAUUUGUAUCCGAGUACAAUUCAAGCACCACCUCUCUGGGAUAGCCUCCAUAGUCAGGUACUCAGGUCAGGUAUCGUCGACCACUUUAGACUUUUUGCACAACCAAAUCUAUGCAAUGAUGAUUUAAUUAAGUUAAUUAAACUCGGGGAAGGUACAGAUCCAUGAGAUUAUUUGAAUUUUAUAUAACAAUGAGAAAGAUAUCAAGGAUGAAAAACUCAGUACAUCGACGAAGCAAGCAGUGAAACAGGUAUUGCAGACAAGGACAAUAUCAGUGGUUGCUAAUACUAGUUGUACUUAAUUAGAGUUGUAAUUAAAAACAAUCCUCUUGAAAAUGUGUUAGUAGAUCUUAAUCAUUUCCUCGCUCCACAGAUAGUUGAUCCCACAUGUAAAAUUCUUAGGUACUAGCUAGUAUAUAAUUAUAUAUCAUUCAUUGCUAAACAUCAUAUAUAUGUGUCCUCCACACUGCACCUAUGUGCACUCAAAUGAUCAGAUAAAACCGUUAAGUGGAACAUUUUCUUGUACAGUAUAUAUAGUGAUAACUACCUCAUCCAAAUUCAUAACAAGCUUACUACAGAAGAAAAUAAAAACCAACCUAUAUAUAUAUAUAUAUAAUUCCAUAUGGCGAAAUUUGGAAAAUUACAACAUUGGUUCCUUCGAAAAUAAAACUAGCUUAUUGGUAAUGGAUACAUAUUAGCAGCAAUCAAUAUUGAACAUCCUUGUGAUUCCUUCUUUCUGAAUCAACUCGUUCAAGCCUGAUCGUUCUUGAACGUAAGAGAUAUAGCUUGCAGCUUUUAUGUCAACCAAGUCAUCACCUGCACCACCACCAUAUGUUCCAUAGCCUUUUGUGUCGCGAGUACCAUGAUCUGAUGAUUUCACAAAUGACACCUUUUUGUUUGAAGCAGGAACCAAAAACUCCUGAUCAACAAGAUAACCUACAGUUGUAGUUGAAGGUGGCGGGCUAGGCUUAACCUUACUAGUAUUGUACUGUACAGAGGAAGUAGGUUUUUCUGCUGUUCUGUAGAACAUGACCAGCUUUCCCUUCAUGAAUGAUGACCCUUUACGCUUACGACCGGAAUCCAUUCCUGCUUGUAUUAAAUAAAGUUUGUUAAUCUCAAACACCCUACGAUGAAUUAUACUAUACGACAUGGGGGUGUCCAUAUUUAUAGUAUUUUGCUAGUGUGGGGAUGGGUGAGAAUGUGAGAUAGACAUAGAUCAUUGUGGAUGGAAUUGAAGGUGGUCCCUAAUUAACUAAAUAUCUGAAACAGUAUUGUCUCUUGAUCCUAGACUGCAUAUCAACAUAUGGAUUGGUUCUUAAAAGAAGGUCAAAUAUAUUCUCUUGUACCAAGCUGCUUUACAAGAUUAUAUAUGGAUGUGAUUAUAUACCUUUAGCAAAGUGGGUUUGAUCUAAUGCAUGAUUUAGAGGAAAAGUCCAGGUUUAAUCUUAUUGCAUAUCUUUCAGUUUUCUCCACAUCAUUGAAAGAAAGAUGUUCUGCUUUCAUGUAUAAAAAAGUUUUCAAGGAAGUGGAAUGCAUGGAUAAGACCAUUGUCCUUUUCAGACCAUUUUAUUGCAAGGGAUAGAAUCAUAGCUAGAAUAACCAAAAGAAGAUGGUAAUCUUCUGCAUUAAAGAUUAUAUUACAGAAGGAUUAUGCAAAGAUAUGUUUUAUACACUGUUUAGACUAGAUGGUACACAAAGAAGAUGCAGUAACAACUUUCUAUCGAAUGCUUGCCCACACUCCUUGUUGAUAAAUUCUUGUAAUCUACAGGAAUAUUUUCAAUUCCAGAACGUGUUAAACACUCAUUUAAGCAAAAGAUUACGCAAAGAUUAUAUUUUACGAUUUCUCUUAAUAAUAAAUCACAUUCUACUGAGAGGACUUUAGGCUUUUCUCCGUAAAUUUCGGCUUUUUCAUCCAAGUGGUGUGAUUUGGAUUUAGACAGGACUUGCUUUUGCACAACAAAAUCAAAACUUCAAGCAAAUAUUUUCGACCAAAUAAUUAUGCUAGUCAUUUCCAUCAGCUAAGCACAGUUGAUCAUUGAUAUAGAUUUAUGGACUAUAUAGUGUAAUGCAUUCAACAGGGCACAUGAGGGAAAUUUAAUUCUACUUAUCUUCUCCAUUCAUUCAGUUCUAUGCACCUUUUUUUUUGAUAGACCAAGCUACGGUUAAGGAUUGGUCAUGGUAGAGUAGUCAUGCAACUUGGCUUGUGUUGUUGCUUUGGCUGGAUAUUGACAACACAGCAAUAAAAGUUCCACUGCUUUAGUGAUCCAAUGUAGAUAAGAGAUUCUAUCUAUCAGGUAGACAACUCACAUGUCCAAGAGAAGCAACAAGUGGGAUAGAGAAUGUUCAGAUUGCUUUAUUCAGGUUUUGGAUUAAGUAUAGUUGGUGCACCAAUAGACUGGGAAAAUCCCAGCUAAUUUUUUGUUAAACAGGGCAUUUUAGUACAGGGACGUAGGCCACCGGUAGGUGUCGAUAAAGCGUCAAUCAUUAAUAUAGAUACACUACUUAAAUUCUGGUUAUGGCUAAUCAGGGUUGAAUCUCUAUAUGCCUAUACAGUCUUUCUAUUUUUCUCCUGUCCUUGUCUUUCUUACUUGUGAAGUAGCUACUGUAAGGCAAUAGUGUAUUCAUUCUGUCUUCCAAUAAUUGGGAUUAUAUUUUAUAAUUACGAUCGUAAAAGGUUUGGUAAGUAGGGUAUUAAUGAUAAGUUCGGAUACUUUUAUGAGCUUUAGUUGCAGAGAACAAGAAUCAUUAAGAUACACUUAUCCCUCCCAAAUAUUUGGAUUAGGCUUUAACAUCAGACACAGGGUUUGGCAGAUCAGGUACAACUGAGGGUUAGAUUGUACUGUCAAGAAGAUAUAUUGUAGAAAAGAGAUAGGAUCAUUAGGAAUCAUAUGCCACUAGUAUUUAUCUUUUUCAGCCUCUUAAUGUGUGAUGUCAUACAUUCAGCACUCUGACGGCUCCGAAAGAUUCAGCAGCCCUCGUACAAUUUAACGCUGAAUGCUCAAAACUACACGUAUUAUAUAUAGCAUCUGGUCUGGACAUAGCCACUGAGCUGCUAAAACAUCUGCUUUCAAAGAAAUUCUAUGAAUUCGUAAGUUUGCAUGUAUCACUAAUUAAGUUAUCUUAAUCGAAUAACGACUUGCAGUUAGCAUUCUACCAUCCAUAUAUAUAAGUAUAGAACUUGUAGUUUGGCAUUUCCAAAAUGUCCGGGCUGGUGCAUGUUAACAAUUACAAUGCGAAGUAAUCACUACAGAAAUCCUUUUAUUACAAACAUGAAGCACCUAACAUUUUUGGCAUUUGGGGAGAAAAGGGCAAAAAAGAAUGUGAAAUGUCACAACUCUUUACAGCUUUUGAUUUAAUUUACUCUCUACGUCAGUCCAAGGAGUCCAGAUUCCAUAUCUAACUUAAUGGAGCUCCUUGGUUUUUUUUCAUAUCUGUGUGUAUAACCUUACAAGCUUCUUAUCCAAUUCAUAGUGAGGAAUCAUCUUUUCUACAAGUUCUAUAUCCAAGUCAAAACAUGCCUGCAAAACAAUUCAAUAAAAGAAUCCCAGUAUUAAUCAACUUGCAGAGAGAUUUGACAAACAUAAUAACCAGACUGAACUAAAAAGGAAUGUCUGUCUUCUUGUUGUCUAAAGAUAGUAGUACAAACUCUUUCACUUUAAGGCAGUGUUUGGUAAAAAAAAAUGAUGGUACUUCAACAAAGGUGAAGAAAAUGUUCAGUGCAACAUGACACAAUGCAGGUUACAUAGGAAGGUACGUGACUCAAAUUCAAAAUGAUCUCUGCUUACUAUGCUGACCGCCAUUUCCUUCAAAUAGUUUAGGAAAAAUGGCGGCUGUGAAAUAUAAACUUAUAAAGUAUCAAACUGAAUGAUCAAAUCAUUAUAUCAUGACACACAGAACAAUUUUAAGAGUCUUUAACUGGGCAAUAGUAUGCAUGCGACACUUAAAAACACUCUAUCUCUUCAGAUAUUUGUGUAAGAAAAUGUGAGAUUAUGUAUUCGUACCUUGUAAUCAAUGUUCGGAUUAGUUGAUUCCCCGUGUACAGAGCUUUACUUGGAAACUAAAUUCUCAUCCAACCUUUGCAGUAGCAGCAAUAAAAUAGUCCCUUACAAUCUUGGUACUUUCUUCUAGUGAGAGGAAAUGCAGGAAAUAAUAUUUAUGCAUGAGUUUGCCAUAUUGCAAACUGUGCAAGGUUGAGACAGAAUAUUGUAGUAUGCAUGAAUUACCCCUUCUAUGCCAAAGGAGUCGAACCUCUGAGCUUCCAUGAGUUUGUUUAGCAUCUUUGAUCUGAAAAUUAUCUGGCAUACAAGCUCUAGCAAACUCUGUACGUAAGUGUUCCCCGUUGUUUGCAUCGAUAACACCCUCUGCCAUUGUUGUUUUUCUGUGGGUGUGGUACUGUGGUCUACUGCAUCUUCCAACCUUCCAAAUCCCCAUAUAUGAGAGAACCAUUAUAUUUAAAAAUACACGGACGUCGUUUUGAGGAGUCAUGAAGAGGGCCUUCAAAGCAAAGCAUGGUUUAUUAGGUCUAGAGAACAAAUCAAUUCAACCAGUUUCAUAUUCACACACAUGUGAACUCUGCAAGAUGAUUUGAUAUAAUUUCAUCAAUAACUAAACAAUGCCAUAUUGUAUAAUGGAAGAAAAACAAGUAAAUGUCUGAGGAAAUAAAGGAAGGAAGACCUAAAAAGGAUCGAGUUAACGUCGGAGGACUCUAAUUCCUAUUAUGAACCCUGCAAUGAUCCUACCUACAAAUAUCAUUGCAGAUUCACCUAUUUCUCUUUGCUUUUUCUCUCACUGAUGAACUUCAAAUCUUUGCAAACUGCAUGCAGAGAGAAAGAGAAUAAUUCGACACAUUUUACUAUUGGGCCCAUUUGAACGGCCCAUCCUUCCAAUCCCCAAAAGUCAUGUUUUAGGCCAAACCCAACAACAUAUGGGUCUGUUUGAUUGGUAAUGUCAGAAAAUUCCCUGAGAAUAAUAUAAUAUGGUGGUGAAGAUGCAGCUCCGGGAGUGAGGACUAUAUGAUUGUUAAUAUGUUAUCAUCUAUGGAUUAUGGUGGUCGACGCCAUACGCCCAUACUGUAUUUUACAAAAUGCGCCCUGUAGCUAUGAGUCUAUGACGAAAUGAAGCUAGCUAGCUCGAUCGCUUUAGCAAUUCAUAAUAUUGUGCAAUAAAUUAAGUUGAUUAUCUCUAGUUGUAUGUGGCAGUCAUUAUCACACUUUACCAACAUUAUAUGAUAGUUAUGAAUGAAUCAGAUUCACAAUAUAGUGCGGUAUGGUAUGGCUUCAUUAAAGAGAUUUCUACACUUGGUAAAAACAGUCACACUCACCAUGCAAGAAAGUGACUAUAUACGGUGCUAUAUUCUUUACUUUUACUGCGAAAUUAUUUGGUUGGUGCACUGUGUAUGUAAAAGUCCAAAUGAUCAUCACCAUCAACAAUCACAUUAUCUUACAUUUGAUUUUGAUAGGUGGUCAUUUUGUUUUUGGGUGAGCAUAAGCAAAUAAUUAAUUCACCUAGGAACAAAAUUAGAGAACUCGAAGAAACUUUCCACAAUAAGGGAAAUUAGGAGCAAGAAAUUUCCAUCUGCAACCAAACAUGCCCUACCUCGUAGGUGCCAGUUGGACUACUGGUAAAAUCUUUGAGUGAUGAUACGAAGGUUUGGGGUUCAAAUUCCACCAGCAUUAUCAAGUUACUAAACAGGCUUAAUUACUAUACUAUUUUGUAAUUGUCGAUUGGGCUUAAUUGGUAAAACUUUUGGGUGAUGAUACCAGAGGUCUAGGGUUCAAAUCCAGUCAGCAUUAUCGAGUUACUGAUCUCAUUAAAAACAAGCUUACCACAUCAUAUUCCACCCAAAAAAAAAAAAAAAAAUUGGACAUACCCCAUUUGAAAGUCGAAAUUUGAGAUACCCCAUUUAAAGGGAAAAAAAAAUUGAAAUACCCCUAUUUCAAGAUGUGGUGUUAUCUUAGCCGUCUAUCAUAAAACUCACCUACGGCUGUAAAGCUCUUCUGUCUUGACUUUUAAAUGGGGUAUAUCCAAAAAUCUAAAAAAAAAUAAAAAAUAAAAAAACACGCCCUACCUCUUUAGGUUUUCUUGAUGUGUGAUCGUAACUCGUCGUAAGAUCAUGGACCAUGCAUGCGUCCGGGUCACGUUCUAAGAUAAAGUUAAUCAACCUUAGUACAAUCCCAUGUGUUAGUCACGUGACAAUAUAUAGAGUACCACAAAAGUCUAUAAAUUUGGUUCUGUUGUACUUACUUGUCCCAUGAAGUCAUGUUACAUGUUCUUCAACUAUGAAUCCAUUGAUAAAGACUAGUCUAGUCUAGUCUAAUAGUCUUCUUUGUGUAAUUUGAAGAAUAACAAAAAUGUGUUUUUUCUUACUUAUAAAGACAUACAAAAUACAGAAAAAGAAAGACAUAUAGCUAACAUUCUCAUUCUUAUCAACUUUGUUUAGAACUUUAGAUGAUAUUUAGAUCAUAGGAUUUCCCAAUAAUGAGUACUAUAUUAAAGGAAGGAACUCUGGCAAAACAAAAGUUAAUUUGUUAUUGCAGAACAAGUACUUGUAUUGUAAGGGUGAACAACAUGUAAGGAUAUGUUACCUAUAAUUUGGAAAGUUGUUGUUCGUUCUUGUCGAAUCAUAUAUUGGUGCUUCACAUAGUUGCAUGCACCAUGUUUUAAUAAGAUGGUCUAUUAAGGGCAAUCACACUAUCAUCUGUACAAUUAUCUUUUGAGAUUAAAACUUAAUUAAUUGGGAAUUAUUUCAAAUUUACUAAGAUAAUGCGUGUUCAGCUAAGGAGAGUGGGUGCAACCACAAAUUUAGAAUCGAUCUUGAUGCUUCGGCUUGGGGCGACGCUUUGCAAUUUAAGAGUGAAGAUGAACAAGAUAAUGCAAAGUAGAAUCCAACAAUGAAGGUAGCAAACACGACAUUUCACACAUGAAAAAGACUUUUCAGUUCAUACAUAUCUGGUAUCUUCGUCUGGACCACUCAUAUCAAUCAGGGCCUGGACUAAGGCCCAGAUCAUUGACCUGGCGAAAUGAAACUUGAGGAGGUCAGGUGAUGUGUCUUUCAUGGCAAUUUCUAAAAUGGUGCUGAUGUAUGAAGUGUCCUGGGGCAGGGAGAAAGAUCAAAGGAGGAACAGAAUACAUUGUUGGAUAUAAGUAUAAAGUUUAUGCAUACAGACUUUUUCACAAAAUAAUUUUAGCCCAAAAUGUUUCAAUCAAACACGCCCGUUUCAUAUUACUUUUUAGCUGUGAAAUACCUUAUUCAAGCGAUAAAUUAGCUAUUUUGGUCCACAAACUUUCACUAAAUUUUCAAUCGAGUCCACAAAGUUUUAUCUAGUCAAUUUGGUCCGCAAAUUUUCAUUUUGUUUGCAAUUUGGUCUCAAAUGAUUGGAGUACAUAUGACUCAUGACUUCAUUUGAGACCAAAUUGUAAACGAAAUGAAAGUUUGCGGACCAAAUUGACAAGGUAAAAAUUUGUGGACUCGAUUGAAAAUUUGGUGAAAGUUUGUGGACCAAAAUAGCUAAUAUCUUAUUCGAGCCAACAAUUGCAUGCUCUGGAAGGGGGUUACAGCUGGUUAGGGGAAUUCUCACUCCUGGGAGUUAAAGAGAUCUCUCUCUAUGGUGAUUUAUCUUUCGCAUCUAGGUUGNNNNNNNNNNNNNNNNNNNNNNNNNNNNNNNNNNNNNNNNNNNNNNNNNNNNNNNNNNNNNNNNNNNNNNNNNNNNNNNNNNNNNNNNNNNNNNNNNNNNNNNNNNNNNNNNNNNNNNNNNNNNNNNNNNNNNNNNNNNNNNNNNNNNNNNNNNNNNNNNNNNNNNNNNNNNNNNNNNNNNNNNNNNNNNNNNNNNNNNNNNNNNNNNNNNNNNNNNNNNNNNNNNNNNNNNNNNNNNNNNNNNNNNNNNNNNNNNNNNNNNNNNNNNNNNNNNNNNNNNNNNNNNNNNNNNNNNNNNNNNNNNNNNNNNNNNNNNNNNNNNNNNNNNNNNNNNNNNNNNNNNNNNNNNNNNNNNNNNNNNNNNNNNNNNNNNNNNNNNNNNNNNNNNNNNNNNNNNNNNNNNNNNNNNNNNNNNNNNNNNNNNNNNNNNNNNNNNNNNNNNNNNNNNNNNNNNNNNNNNNNNNNNNNNNNNNNNNNNNNNNNNNNNNNNNNNNNNNNNNNNNNNNNNNNNNNNNNNNNNNNNNNNNNNNNNNNNNNNNNNNNNNNNNNNNNNNNNNNNNNNNNNNNNNNNNNNNNNNNNNNNNNNNNNNNNNNNNNNNNNNNNNNNNNNNNNNNNNNNNNNNNNNNNNNNNNNNNNNNNNNNNNNNNNNNNNNNNNNNNNNNNNNNNNNNNNNNNNNNNNNNNNNNNNNNNNNNNNNNNNNNNNNNNNNNNNNNNNNNNNNNNNNNNNNNNNNNNNNNNNNNNNNNNNNNNNNNNNNNNNNNNNNNNNNNNNNNNNNNNNNNNNNNNNNNNNNNNNNNNNNNNNNNNNNNNNNNNNNNNNNNNNNNNNNNNNNNNNNNNNNNNNNNNNNNNNNNNNNNNNNNNNNNNNNNNNNNNNNNNNNNNNNNNNNNNNNNNNNNNNNNNNNNNNNNNNNNNNNNNNNNNNNNNNNNNNNNNNNNNNNNNNNNNNNNNNNNNNNNNNNNNNNNNNNNNNNNNNNNNNNNNNNNNNNNNNNNNNNNNNNNNNNNNNNNNNNNNNNNNNNNNNNNNNNNNNNNNNNNNNNNNNNNNNNNNNNNNNNNNNNNNNNNNNNNNNNNNNNNNNNNNNNNNNNNNNNNNNNNNNNNNNNNNNNNNNNNNNNNNNNNNNNNNNNNNNNNNNNNNNNNNNNNNNNNNNNNNNNNNNNNNNNNNNNNNNNNNNNNNNNNNNNNNNNNNNNNNNNNNNNNNNNNNNNNNNNNNNNNNNNNNNNNNNNNNNNNNNNNNNNNNNNNNNNNNNNNNNNNNNNNNNNNNNNNNNNNNNNNNNNNNNNNNNNNNNNNNNNNNNNNNNNNNNNNNNNNNNNNNNNNNNNNNNNNNNNNNNNNNNNNNNNNNNNNNNNNNNNNNNNNNNNNNNNNNNNNNNNNNNNNNNNNNNNNNNNNNNNNNNNNNNNNNNNNNNNNNNNNNNNNNNNNNNNNNNNNNNNNNNNNNNNNNNNNNNNNNNNNNNNNNNNNNNNNNNNNNGGCCACUAUUAAUUACUAGCACAAUUCAAAGACAUCACCCACAAAAAACUACCAAACUAACUGAUUACAAAAGUACCUAUCUUAGAGCAUCUCUAAUGGGUCUCCCAAAUAUUGCUGACACAUGAGACGAUUUAGCAUACACGUAGGUGCCACCUACUUUCUCAUCACUUUUUUUUUCACGUCUCCUAUACCUAUAUCAGGGGUAACCCUAACGCAAAACCUUUUUUUUUUCUAAAUUUUAUCUUCCACGCUAGUUGGAAUGUUUUUUCCCUUAUCUUUUUGUUCCACGCUGGUUGAACCAGCGUGGAAGUUUUGGGCAUUCGCACAGGUGGGCUUUGAUUGCGGACUGGACUGGACUUGGUCUGUUUUUUUCCGCCAUUCUUUCCCGCCACUUCUCAUUCCCUCCCACUCUUUCCUACCACUUUUCAUUUCCCGCCACUAUUUGUUGGAAAUAGUUCCACGCUGGUUAAACCUGCGUGGAACAAAAAAAAAAAAAAUGUUCCACGCCGGUUUGACCUGCGUGGAACCAUAAAAAAAAAAGUUCCACCCAGGUUGAACCAGCGUGGAACAUUUUAUUUUUGCCAUUUGCUAUAAUUCUAUCCCUUGUUCGAUUUUGGGCGAAGUUUUAGCAGACCGGCCCACCACGUCCUACGUGGAUGGUCGGCUGCUAUAAUUAUAGGAGACGCGUUAAGGUCGUGAUUUUUUGGGAUUUCCUAAAUUUUAGAAAAUAGGAGACCCAUUAGAGAUGCUCUUAGCUUCCACAUGUGAUGUUCACACCAAAGUACUUGACCUAAGAUAUUGCCUUUGUCUUCCUAUCUAUCAAAUUUUUUUCGUAGCAUUUAAACUCCUCUAACUUAUACCAAAAGCAAGCGCACCACACAUCCUAGCAAUCAUCCAAAUCUAGCACUGCCACCAUGAAAUGGACUACUUUGGAUGCUACCAUUGAUCUACAAGGACCAAUCACUAACAAAUAUCACAUAGACAGUAACUUCUGAUUUCCUUUAUAUAAAAGGCGAUACAGCUGCCCCCGUUUGCCUAGAGAUACACUUCAAUUCAUUAUUCAUUGCCUCAUGACCCCUUACCAACACGUAUCUCGAUCAUGUACCAUAUCACAAUAUCUUUGGCAACUUGGUUUUAAUUUCAACUAGGUGUUAAAGUCAUAUAUGAAUGAAUUGAAUGAUAUAAUGGCUGCCAUAUCAAAGUAAUGGGGCAAUAAUAUUUGAAUUUAUUUGGGGAAGGGGGUGGGACUAAAUCACUAAAUGGGCAUCCAAGAGAAAGCUAAGCAGCUAGGAAAGGAGAUGUGACAUCCUUAAAGAAAUGUACUAAAAGAAUAACAUGGUCCACAUUUCUUUCCUGGCUAAGGCUAAUGGUGUCUGCCCUUAAAUGGAACUAACAGUGUCUUUACCAUUGACUUGUGGCCCCAAACAUUUUGAUUUUAGCCAUCCUUUUCCAAUUACAUCAUUGUCCUAUAGAGCUGUUAUUUGAUCAAUAUCGUAUGCUAUACUUUUAAAUAUCUAUGUACAUAGUUUUGUAUAAUGAUUCUUAAUUAAACAGAAAGAACUAUAAGUAUUAGAAUGAUUAAACAUUACUUAGACUAAAUUUAUAUUAAGAUAGGUAAGGCUUUGGUAUCCAUGGACAUUGAACUAUCAAGGUGCUUUUGGCUUGAUUGUUUAUAAUCUGGUUGAACCAAACAUGUGACAUUGGCGGGACUCAUAAGUAGAUUUCUGAAAGAUGUUGACACAAUGACUGGACCAUCUGAGUUUAAUGAUCCUGACCUUACUAGGUUAAUUAACUGCGUAAACCAACCACUCAAUUUGGUUUUAAGGAAAACUUGCCUCAGAUUAAUAGGGUAAUUAUGUGGGUUAAGUUUUACCAAUUAUGGACAAAUGCAAAGAAUAAUUAGCUGUUUAAUAAGUACUAGUUAUGGCCUAAUUAGGCGUCAACAAUUGGAAGGUUUAUUAACCUGAAGUACCAAUUAUAUGCAUCAAGGUUUACCAAACAUUCUAAUUUUUUAUAGUCAGAAAUAAGGUUUUUUUUUUUUUUUUUUUUACACCAGGAGAAUUGAAGAUGGCACACAAUUAAUAAUGGAGGUACAACAUUUAGCUAUCAAAUUCAAGUGUGAUGUUAACUUAACAAUGGACAAGUACAUUGUUGUUAAGUGUAUAGAUGAUAGAACUACAAACAAAAGACAAACCCAAAUUUCAAAUCUUGUUGUCAUCUUUCUCACUUUGCCUAUGGUUAUGGUGCAUUUAGCAGCCAUGAUGCCUUGUUCAAGCUGUCUGUGAGCAAUGACUGGUUGCUCAUUUCUAUUUCUCACACCUAAAGGAUUGUGAUUUUAAAAUUUCCUAGCGGCGCCGAAGGUAUUUUAAUUACAUUAUUUUUUAAUUCUUUGAUUGGAAAAUAAAAAUUGUUUAUGGUCGGCUGUUUGAUUUGGAAAAAAAAAACUAUAAAUCUAGCAGCCGUGGAUUUAUGCACUUGCGGUAUAUAUAUCUAUAUUAUAACCGACACUUAUAAAACUUGGUAAAGAGACAAAGGAUGGUCAAGAUUUGCACAGGAGAUUAUAGAGAUUGGGAUUUAAUGAGAUUGCAAAUAAAUGGUCAGGAUUAAACUUAUUGAUAUAUAUAGUUAAGAUUUGGAGAGGAUUUAUACAGAUUGGGUUUAUCCACAUAUUAAACAAGUUAUUUAACCCGUGCAAUACACGAGUGUUAUUUUUAUAUGUGAGUUUUACAUGUUAUAAUUUGAUUUUGAUUUUACAAUUUAAAUUAAUUUGAUGUAAAACUUAAAAAUAAACCAAUAAAAUUAAUACAUAUAUUAAUUUUGUAGUGCCCUCCCCCCUCCAAAAAAAGAAAAAGAAUACAUAUAUAAUAUAGAUUUUUUAUUUUAUUUUUAAGUUUUAGAUCAAAUUAAUUUAAAUUGUAUUCUCAUUUUUUAUGUAGUCAUCGAAGAUGUGAUAUGAAAAAUAAUAAUAAUAACUAUCAUUUUAUAGUGUUUUUUGAGGAUUUAUUUAAUAUAUUUGUUUACCUAUAUAAUUUUCUUAACAAUUUAAAUAAUAUAAAUUGAUGUUUUUAAUUUGGAGUGUAAAUUAUAUCUCCAAGCUCACAAUCUAAAUUCUUGACAUUAUUUUGCUUAUGUUACUAUAUUUUUAUGUUUUUUAACAAAAAAAUUUAAUUUUAACUUUUGACAAAAUACCAAUAUUUUGGAUAAAAUGUUCAAUUGAUUUGGUUUGUAAACAUAUUGAUUUAACCAAGUUAUAGUGUUUACUUCUUUUGAUUUUUGAACAUAUUUUAGAUAAAUUUUAGUUAUGUGAUUUAACCAAGUUAUAGUGUUUACUUCUUUUGAUUUUUGAACAUAUUUUGGAUAAAUUUUAGUUAUGUGAUUUUAAUAAAUCAUCUUUUAAUUUUGGUUUAACAAAAUUCUCUUCAAUUAAAGCAUCAAAUUUUUCAUAUCAAUCAACUUUUGAUGUUUACAAAUUAGUGUUUAUCUUAUAUUGGUUAACUUUAAAUAUUUAAUUUGGAGUGAAAUUACUUAAAUAGACUUAUGAAUUAACUAUUGCGUAAAAGUUCUAAAAUGACCUUUCAAUUAUAAAUUUUAAUCAAAUUCUUCAAUUAGAGCAUCAAUUUUUCUAUAAUUUAGAGAGAGAAUAUUUGCUUAAGGGCAUGCCCAACUUUAAUAGAGAGUAUCUAUCAUACAACUCUAUCUGUCUCAUACGUCUCUCCUGGUAUCAAUCAGUUCUAGUUUAUUAUCAAACCUCUAUCACCUCGCUACUCUCAUAUUUUCAUCAAUGAACACUUUGUUUUUUCUCUCUUUUUCAACAAAGAAAAAUUUGAAAUUCAAGUUUUUUUGUGUGAAUUUGAUUUUUAUUUUCAGUAUCUAUAGCGAAAGUCAAUUAUACAAAGAAAUGAGUCUCAUACGUCUCUCCCUAGUAUCAAUCAGUUCUAGCUUAUUAUCAAACCUCUAUCACCUCGCUACUCUCAUAUUUUCAUCAAUGAACACUUUGUUUUUUCUCUCUUUUUCAACAAAGAAAAAUUUGAAAUUCAAGUUUUUUUGUGUUGAAUUUGAUUUUUAUUUUCAGUUUCUAUAGCGAAAGUCAAUUAUACAAAUAAUACAUAUAUAACCCAUCCUUAAAUCUGGACUAUAUGAGCUUUAUACAAUUAAUUAAUUAAUAUUUCUAUUUUUAAUUUGAUAUUCGACUAAUGAUUCUAUUAGUGAUUUCAACCUAAUACUAUCGUUGUUGCUUUCAUGUCAAUGUUUCAAAUUUUAUUUAUAAGUGAAUAGUUUUAAUUUCAUCUAUACAUUUCCAAAAAAAUCAAAUUUUUUCGCAAACAACAAAUUUUGUUUUAUGCAUGGAUAUAAUGGUGUGUUGAGGUGAUAGCAAGGACCAUCACUAAUGUAAGUACUUACUUUUCAACAAUAUUUUUUGUGUGAAUUGCUGGAAAUUCAAGGACCAAAUUAUUGUGGAACUGGAUGACUUAUGGAUUAUCACCUAAUGAAGCCAAGCUUUAAUUUGAAAAUAAUGUCUUCACCAAUGGUAAAUGUUGAUUGAUAACUUAGAUAUAUUUUUUCUUUAUAUACAAAUAGUUGGAUGAAUGUCGUAACUUCUUUGUUGCAACCACACAAAAUCAAGAAGUAAUAAAACCGAUAUUUAGGAUAUUUAGGAAUUCAAAGGAGCUUACGAGAUCAGCAGAACAACUAUUCUGAAUAAUGAAUGAACCAUCAGAUUCACCAAGCAAUCUUUCAAGCUCUUUGAAAGCGGCCUUGGAAAUUUUUGACUAUAGCUAUGAAUCUAAUAAACAAUGAAGCACAGAGGUCACCCAGUUCACUUUUGCCCAUAGUAUAAAUAGUCUUUCACAACCUCUACAAAGUUUUAUCAGAAUAUGAUUAAUUGAAUACUUUCAGUGCCACAGGUUGGUUGGGUCUAUGGGUCUGCAUGCACAGACGUUCUUAUAGGACAAAAAAUUCAUGCAAAGGGUUGGUUUACAAAUUUUUGCACGCCGGACACAUUUUCAUUCUUAGGUUGUGCGAUGUUUGCAAGACCUAUCAUUAAUAUUCAAACCGGUCUUCUGGAAAAAAAAUUCAUCAGAAAAUAAACAAUUUUCAUCACCGUGUUUGGUGAUCUGUGGUUCAAGCAAUGUUUGGUUACACUUAAAUUUGUAUAUGUUGGGCCUUGGAUACAUUCCUGAAUUAAUCUACUGCAUUUUACCAGCCUAUUUUAUCCCCAACAACAUAUAAUUCUUGCACAAGGUUAAUUGUGCAUCAUAACUUCUAUUGAACUAAUUUUAGUGCAAAUAUGUGUACAUUUAAUAAGCAAGAAUUUCACCUGAACAUUGUAUCUGAUUAAAGGCCUCACUGGUUGUUCAUCUUAACUACACAAUUAUUAGUUUCAAUUUUCUGAAUUUAUUAUUUGUAAGCGACAUUAAAUCUAUCAGGUUACCAUGUAGUCUUUUAUACUACUAUCAAACCUCAUAACCUUUCAAGUUCCAGUCUUUGACAUGACCCUCCAUCCUUUAAGUUCUCUCUUUCUAUAUAUAUAUUUCUAGAAUUGCAAACUUUUGAAUUUGGAUGCACCAAAAUUAUUCUCUCAUAGGAACCAAUAGUCAAUUGCAAAAGUAUUUAUUUUAUCCUUUGGGAAGACGAGCAUCAAAGGAACUAGCUAACUGAGAUUGAGUUUGAAUUUAGUGUUUACAAAUUUUACUUUGUUGUUUAUAUACAAUUUAAUCAAAGAACGCCUCCAUUUUAUUAUCACUUUAUUAUAAGUCCCAGAAUUAUCGGCCAUUUGGCUUGAUUACUAUCAUUUUAUUCUUUAAUUAAACAUUAUAUUUCAGCGUAUGUAGCAAGGGGUGGGUGGUAUUGACGUACUGUCAAAGAAAUCCAAGGAAUUGUGUGGCAUUGUUCUGAAAGUUCACAGGAUCAGACAAUAUACUGGUUUAAGGGAUGCAUACUAAAUUAUGACAGAAUGAUGGUAUCCUUCAAGAUGAUUGGGUGGUAAAAGUAUAUUUUACAGAUAGAUCUGAUAUAGAAAUAAUACCGUAGAACAAAUUGUGAUGUAGGGAAGAACGAAUGAUUGGACGGGUAUGACGUAAAAAGUUUACUGAAGUUGGUUUACGGUUGUUAUUUUCCUUUGUAUUUUGCAGUCAUUGGGUCAUACCUGAUGGUGCGUCAGUGAUGCUGACCAAGAACUCCAUCAUGCUUUGAUGAGUUUAAUGUUAUAUGUACCAUCAGUGUAAAGUUGAGACUGAUGACAAUUGUAGAUAGGUGCUUCUGAGUUUGUAGAUAUAUGAUUAUGCUCCUUAAUAUAAGUGACAGUAAACAUCUUUAGCACAAAAUUUAUAAGAGUAAAGUUAAAUCCGUGCUUCAUGGGUUUAUGCUACAAUGGUAUUAUGAUGAUUAAAAGCAGACAAAGUAGCAGUCUAAGACUAUAUGUGUUGAAUGCAUACAUGUACAACAAUAGAUAAAGCAAGAGAAUAACCUAACCGAGCAACCAAAACAAGUAGGUAAUAAAUAUCUCGCAUGUAGUGGAAAUUAUGAUGGAGAUUUGGAAUAACAGAAGCAUGACAUUAGAACCUUGAAUUCAACUUCGUCAAAAUGACGAAUACCAAUUUUAAUUUUGUUGUGCAAUGUGAAGAUAGUUUAUGGGAAACUCAAUCAUUUAAGUUAGGCUUCUAGCCAUGGUUUAGGAAAUAACAAAAGGUGGGACUGAAAAAUAUACAGGGAAUCCAACAGGGUGGCUGACACCUUGCAAAGAAUGAUAUCCCUGAACCUCUUCUUAUUCGAACUUUCAGAUCAUUAAACCACGAUAUGAGGACUAUUCUAUCGUACAAUGUGAUGAGGGUUGAUUGACCAAGUUGAUCAAACCUUCAUAUAUGGAAUAUGACAUGAAGACUAUUCUAUCAAACAGUUGUACAAGCCAUACUUGGAGGCAUAUUUUCCAGAUUUUCCAAAGAAGAUAACACCUACACAUCCCUUCAUUAAUUAUGGCAUAGGAAAUGACCUUAAAAAUGCAUCCAAGAAAUGGAAUGACUAUGCAAACAUCACAAUAAGACAUUGCAAAUGGUGUGAAAGUAGGUUCAUCAUCAAAAGAAGGUGAUCCACAUAUAUCCUAUGCUAUGGUUUAGGGUCAAAUGCUCAACUCGGGGAUUUUCUUGACAAAAAAUGAAGUCAAAAAAUGGUCUAACAAGUAUUUUCAAGAAAGAAUGGAAUAUGUGAAACUAAUAGAAAAGAUUCGUGCAGCUGCAAUUGAAAAUAUCAAUUCAGAAGACAUAAGUCAUGGAGAUGAAGCUAUGGAAAUUUAAUAUAUUCUUUAGUUUAUCCCUGUUAAAUUUAUUUCUGCCUACAACAAAUAAUAGUAUAGGAUUUAUUUUUCAGUAACAAAAAGGUUUAAUUAUCUAUAUAAUUUACAUAUAGAGGACUUUGCAAAUUAUAUUAGAGCAAUCACAAUUUUUUGGCGUUUAUUAUCACUGAGUUACUCAAUAGUCAAUACAAGUAUAAAAAUAAAUUCAAAUUAACUAUUUUAAUUAUCAAUUUAACUAUCAAUUGUCUAUUUUAAUCCUUUAAAUUUUAGAUUUGUGUCCAGAUAUAAAAAUUAGUAGUUUAAAUAUAAUUAAAAAUAAGCGUCCCGGAGGGACGGGUCAUACCUAGUAUAUAUAUACAUUCAUUUCUCAAUUAUUAAUUAUGUUUAAGGCUUCAGAUUUUGCCAAGGGCCAAAAUAAUCUUGCAGUGAUUAAUAAUUAAUUACCAAACAAGCAAUAAUUAUUUUUUUUUAAAAAACAAUGGUAUAUAAAUCGAAUUUUCAGAAAAACGAGAUCUGUACAUGUCGAUUUUUUGUUCUAUGGUUUUACCAGUUGCCAGGUGACGUUCGACCGGGUAAUUAAAUUAUUCCAAAUUAUUUAAUAAAAUUUUAAUAAAUUAAUAAUCAUUUAAAAGAAAAUAUAAAAUGAAAUGACAAGACUCAAAAAAGGCCCAACACCAAACUGGUUUGGAUACUCAAAGCCUCCAUCAGUCCAUGCAUUGCAUCACCAAGAGGCAAGAAGCCAAGAACAAAACUUUUUUUUUUUUUUUUUUGAUUGGUAAGCGAGGUUGAGGGGACCUCUAUCUUUUUAAAUUACGUGUGAAAACUUAUAUCAACAAUUAGCUGUUGACGUGUUUCGAAUCCACAACCUCUCCACUUUUGUGAGAGGGGUGCUACCAUUGAGCCACAUGCCCAUUCGCAAGAACAAAACGUUUGAGUCCGUCCCCUGCCAAAAAUGCACUCAAAUCUACCCAAGUACAACCCUAGUAAAAGAGAACUCGCAGGAUUACUUUGUUCAACCAUUAAUAUCAUCAUACAUUAUGAUCAUGAUGAUGGGUUCAGUGGACCAAAAUGUGGAGCCAAUGAAUAUGAUAGGAAAGAAAAUGACAACUUUUUCCAUAUCUCUUGUAAGUUUAUCUGCAUUUUUUAACCAAAUAAGUAAUUUCAUAUAAAGACUUGAUUCAAUACGAGUUUUUGUAUGGAUUCUUUACCAAAGGACUUAUUGAUGAUAUAUGAUGAGGGUUUGCUUUGCUUUCUCUGGUAACAUUUUUUUUAUUCCAUUAAUUGGUGCUCCACUUAACAUUUCAAAUCCAUUCAUUCUUUAAACAUAAAACUAGAAAGAUUUCUUUCUUUUUUGUUACUUUCAAUAAAAUGUUGCCUACUGUUUUGCUGCCAAUACCCAUUUCAUUGCUAAGAAUCUGAGCCACUGUUAAAAGUUACUUGCUUCUUUACCUAUUUCAGUAGAACAUCAAACAAAUAUUGUAAAAGAAUUUUUUUUUCCCCUUGUCUUUUAAGUACUUGUGACUUUGUUUGGAAAAUUUUAUAUAGUAUUUCUUGAAAAAGUAUUUUGCUUGGUUUUGUUCAUAAUGUCAAAGCUUACAUUUUCCAUCUUCUAGAGAAUUUUUUUUUUUUUUUUUUUUUUAGAUCUAGCUAGACUUCAAAAAUAGGUUUCCAUUGACAUACAUUUUUGUACAAUUUUAUGUCUAAACAAUUUUGUCGAUGAUAAUUAGCAUGCGCGCAAUAAUUAUUAAUCUUAAUAGUUAAAACUACUAAUGAUGAAUUAUAUAAUUAGAAGACUAACUUGUAUCAUGACAACAUGUACAUUUGUACAAUCAAUCAUCAAAUCUAAUAGUUACCCCCAGUUAUGGAUAAACAAACGAAAUAGAUCGAUAAAAAGGUUAGAUUGCAAUCUGUUGAAGUCAAUCAGGUCUCACCAGAUAACUUCUCUAACUUGAAAAGGAAUUUUGGCAUUUAUUUGAUUGUUGUACCAAAUCCCUUAUAAAUUGCUUUAGUUUUGUUGGUUGUGGAUUUGUGGUCCUCCUUCCUUCCUUUUGUAUUUUUGCAGUGAGUUCUCUAGAGUAGUAAUUCAUAUUUCAGAACAAGACAUUAACAUUCAACUGCCUAUGUUCAUAUUUCAACAAAUCAAAUCAUUUUUCUAAAGUAUAUAUAUAUAUAUAUACACUAUCACUUUGGAUCACAAUUUAAUUACCCCUUGAUCAUAAACCUUUUCUUUUGCAGAUUUUUGAAGAGGGUAGAUAGGGACAUGCAAUAAAAUGAUUGGUGUCGCGCACGUCUUUUUCGAUCUUUUUAUUGAUACAUAUAUUAUUAACCCUAAUUGAGAAAAAAACACCAUAUGUGUUUAGCUAUAAUCAACCAGAUGAAGAAGUACUGCAAGAUCAAAAUGAAUGUUGACAGACAUUAGGGUACCUCAAUUAUUUACAAAGGUAUAUAUGUAACUCCAGCUGUGAAGCAAAUGGUUGGGAUAGUUUAGAUGCUCUAAAAAGGGGUCCAUGACCUGUUGUACUUGAAGCUAAGUAUAAAUUUCCUACACGUCAUAUUUACUAAAUUUGAAAGAACUUUCCAUAUUGCAAGAUUAAUAUUACAAGACUCUUUUAGUCAUGAAUUUUAUGAGCCGUAAAUGGUCAAUUCUUUCCUUGAAAUGUAUCAUAGGGGAAUUCCAUUUAUUUGUUGAAGUCGUUUGUUAUUUGAACUAUUAUAGAGAAAUUAUAUAUUCCAUUUAAACCAUGGUUAUCAUAUUCCAUUUUAUUUAAACUACAUUAUAUAAGACAAAAUGUGUUUAUCAUUUCAUUCUUCUUAAUAUAGCAAUUGAUUUACACAACUAUAUAUAUAAACCACCCCCUCUAGCUAGUUAUCAUAGUUUUCAUUAUUAUUUUCUAGUGGUUCUUAAUCAAUUACCAUUUCUAUAAGGAAGAGUUUGUAUGAAAAUUAUGUAUGAACAAUUGAACAUAGUAUUUGACUUUGUUUUGAUCAUAGAGUUUUCAGUUUUAGUAGUUGGUCUUCUCUCACAGGUCACAACCACAUUUUUACAUCAAUGUGGUAAAAUUUUUAUCCAGUUUGACACAGUGACACACAACCUUAUUAUGUCAAUGCCCUAACAAUGUAUAAAUGCUUAAUCAAAUUCAUGGAAUUUCGCUUUAGAAUUUUUCUAGACCCUAUAGUCUCUAGUAGAUAUUGAUAAAUUCCUACCAUUUACGUAAACAUUAGUAAUGGAGUAAUGCAUCAUAAUCAUAUGUUUAUAUACAGCUCUAGCUACAAAAAAAAAAAUUACUGCAAAACCACUCUAUAUUUACUGGACAGUCAAAUCACCUAUAUAUUUGAAUCUCGAGGACAUAGAUAAUUUCACAUCAUUGGAAUGAAGAAAAGUAGAAAACAUGAUUUUUUUUUUUUUUUUUUACCCAGCAGAUUAUAUUCACGUGAUGAGCAAUAAAACAGUAAAAAACCAAUGGAUUUAAUGGAUACCCUAAAUUAAUUACAAGGGGGUUUCGCUCUGGUUAAGGUUACGUCAGAUAGAUAGUAAAAGAAAGGUUUCUCUUUUGGAGGGGUCAGGUCAGAUCGAAUUUCAGACAUAUAACCACUUAAUCAAUCGACACGUACGUAUUCAUACUUUAUUUAAAACUUUUUAUUAAUUACUUUUCUUCCCCACUCAUCAAAUCUCUCUCAACUCAACUCUGUAACUCUGUUAAUAACACAAGAGUAGAGUAGCUUUUUCUCUCUCUUUCUUUCUUUUCACAAUUCACCAUUCACCAUUCACCAUUCACAUCACUCUCUUUUUCUUUCUUUCUUUGUUUCUCUCUCUUCACUAGCUCUUUAUUAUCACCAACAAACAAAAAGAGCUUAACCAGAAGAACUACUAAUAAGUUGAGUUAGGGCAAAAACAAAGAGAGAAAAUUAAUAAAUUUGGAACUAAGAGUAGUAUAAAUAAGAAACAAGAGUGUUGAAAAGAAGAAACAGAUUUGAUUGUGUUUUGUUUACUCUAGCUAUCUAGUUUCUUUCUUUCUUUCUUUCUUGUGUUACGUUUGUUUGUGUAUUAAUUUAAAAAUGGGAAGAGGAAGAGUUGAGUUGAAGAGAAUUGAAAACAAGAUCAACAGACAAGUUACCUUCGCUAAACGUAGAAAUGGUCUUUUGAAGAAAGCUUAUGAACUUUCUGUUCUUUGUGAUGCUGAAGUUGCUCUUAUUAUUUUCUCUAAUAGAGGAAAGCUUUAUGAGUUUUGCAGUAGUUCAAGGUACAACAACUAUAUAUAAUUCUUUCCCAUCUCAUCUCUGGUUAGAAGUUAGAUCUACAAACAGCUAAUUAGCUAGUAGUCUUUUUUUUCUUAUCUUUUCUCAUGUUUUCUUCAUGUUUGUGUGUUUAUAGAAAUUAUUUUGAGUUUAAACACUUUUUUGUGUAUAGAUCUGUUUGCUAGCUACUACUUCAAAUUGUUUUAAAACUAUAAUUGAUUAAAUUAUCUGUUUUUUUUCAAAAAGGUUGAUUCUUUUUUCUUGUCAAUUGGUUAUUUGAAUGUAAAGCUGGUUAUUGGACUGGAUUUUAACCUUCUUUUGUGUACUUGCUGGUUCUUUCAGUGUUCUUUCUUUGUUUGAUUUUUAAAAUAGUUUUCUUGUUUUUUUUUCUGGUUUUUAAUUGUAUGUUGUGUCAAUCAACCUUUGUAAAGUUUUUAUCAAAUCCAAUUUAAAGAUUUCUUUCUUGUAAACAAAGUUGAGUUCUCAUCAACUUCAAUCAAAUGAUUUUGGAAAACAUCAAACCAGGUUCUUAAUUUCAUCUCUCUCUCUCUCUCUCUCUCUCUCUCUCUCUCUCUCUCUCUCUCUCUCUCUCUCAUGUCUCAGCUUUGUCUCUUUGAAUUUGAUGUCUAAUUUCUUUGCUGCCUUCUUCCAAGUGUUAUUUAAGAAUUUAGGGUUUCUAUAAAGCUUUAACUUUUCAUUUUUUUCAAUUUAUGUGAAUCUUCUUUCUUUCUGUGUUUGUGAAAUCUGGAUCUGGAUGUUUGGAAGAGUUUGAGGAAAUUGUACUACCUAUAAUUCAUUAGUUCCACUUUCUUAAGAUUUGUUUUUUCAAUCACAAAAUUUAACAAAGCAUCUUCAUCAUUGUCUUUGAAUAUAUUCUGAUAUAUCACAUAUAUACUACUACUUAAUCCUCUUCCUUAUCUGCUGUUUUCUUUUGUUUUGAAGAUCUGUCAGUUAGACAGUUUUUUUCCUUUCAACAAAAUUUUGAUGGAUUAUUAUAGAUCAAACAAUUUAGAGCAAGAUUAUGAAAUCUAUGAAGAUAUCUUGAAGAUUAUGAAUUUUGUAAAAUGAUUUUCUUGAUAAUUUUGAAUGUCUAUGAAGAUCAAUUCUAUUAGUGUAUGUAUGCUGCUCUAGAAAUCGAUUUCCAAUACAUGCAAAGCAUUAAAAUUGAAAUCCAAAUCAAGAUGUUGCGAUAAAAGAGUGUAGGAGUUAAAUUAAUCUACUAGUAAUUUGUAACUUUUUUUAUGGCAGCAAAAUUUACUUGGUUGUUCAUUUUUUCUGUGCUUUGUGAGAAUCCUCAAUUGUACAGUGGACAUAUGUGUGAUUUCUUUGAAGAUACAAACUGAGAUUUGAUUUGCUUCAUCACAGAUCUACCCCUAUCCUUUUUCUUUUCAUAUUUUCCCAUUUUAACCAUUUUCUUGUGUAUUUAUUUUCACCACUCAUCCAUGACCUCAUUCUUGACCUGCAUAGUUUUAUUUGGAUUUUGAUUAUUGAUUAAUUUUGCAUAAGCGGAGCGAUGUAUCAGCCCAUAUACCAUAUCUGCAAGACUACAAUUCAAUCGAAAUAGAAUUGAGAGUAUGAUCAUAUGAUAAAUGUGGAUAGUUUGUUUUGAAAAGUAAGAAACACAUAAAAGUGUCCUCAGGGUGCAUAAUUGUCCAAUUUUGAUUAACUCAUCAGAGGUAUAACUGACUUCAUACCUCUCAAUCUAAAUUUCUAGCUUAACAAACUCAUAGAUUUAAAAAAUAAAAUGACUUGGGACACUUAUUAGUUGAUUUGAGUUGUAUGUCUGAAAAUUAUGAGUUUAUUAAGAAAACUAAUUAAGGGUCUAGCUUGGUCAAAACUGGUAAUUAACUAAUAUGAAUUGCAUCUAAAUAAGGACAAUGCAACUGGACUUUAAACUAAUGCAGUAUUAUUCUAAGCAAUUUCAUUAUGAACUAAUUAAGAUUAGAAGUUGCUUAAUUAGUUAAAUUUAGAGCCAAUAACGGUUUCCAAACAUGUCAAGAGCUUUAAAGAAAAGAUCAUUGUAAAUUCUGGAUUGGGUUUGUCUUAAUUGGUUAUUAGUAUGAGGGUUUUUGAAACAAUUGUGGAUUAGCUAUAUUUAGUUUUAGAGUGAACCCUACUUCCAAGGUUCAACCUGGUUAAGAAAUUAUUAAGAGGCUAGAUAUCGAUGAAAAUUAUUUGGUAUUAUGUAGCAUAAAACUAAAGGUUGUGUUACUAGAGAUAUGAAAAAUAAAUCAAUCACUUCAGUGUGACUGGUUCUAUGAAGAAAAAGUUAACUGGAUACAAGCAUACCACAUUUAGUCUAUUGAACAUGUCCAUAUCAGCCAGAGGGCUGGCAGAAGUUUUUACUAUAGGAUGAUUCUUUAAAUCACGGUGAUGCAUUAAUAGUUUUCAAUUCCUUGAUCUAUCUAUCUUCUGUGUGUGUUUGUAAUAUCCUACGCGUUUUUCAUACCUAAAUCAAUUUUUUUCGAUGUGUUGUAGCAUGCUUAAAACUCUCGAGAGGUACCAGAAAUGUAGCUAUGGAGGACCAGAGCCCAAUGUAUCUGCACGGGAGGCACAGGUAAAUUUCACUGCCCUUCAUAUAUUCCACUAGUAUAAGUAUAUUUAUACCGUUAUGUAAUCCUUACUUGCAGUUUGAAAAUGUUAUGCUUGUAAUUCAUGUGUUAAGUACUUCACUGGAUAAAACAUUCUUGUGUUGAGCAAAAAGAAGUGCAUGGAUCUUGCAUUAUUGUUAACUAGAGGGUGCAUAACCAUGCGAGUAAUUAAGAUUCAAAAAUAUACAUCUAUUUAAUUUAUUUGCACACAAAUCUGAAGUAAGUCUUGUCCUGGUGCUCCAACCUUAUUAACAAUGGUGGUUUAUGCCUCCUAAUCUCUCUCACUUUCAACCACGUCAUUGAUCUCUUUUAGGCAACACAGUGCACACUAGAGCAUACUUAUGCCGUAAAUGGGAUAAAAACUUAACUUUUGGAUUUAGGGUUUUGAACUCCAUCCUAUAGCAAGAUUUGUUUUUCUUUGUAAAGGUUGCUUCUAUUUCUCAAAUGGUCUUCUAGGCCUAUCUCAUGCACUUGACUUGUGGAAUAUAAUUGAUGUUUAAUUAUCUUAUUACAGACACUAUAACCUCAUAAAUCAUAAUAUGUGCAAACCUAUGUUAUACUCCAUAUUUGCUCAAUUAACACAAAUUUGUUGCCUCCCUCUAUUUUGCUUUUAAAAUUUUACAUCCCAGUUUGAUUCUCAAACUUAACAGUUCAUCAUAGAAGUAUUUCAAAUGAAGUUAACAUGCUUGUUUCAUUCUACAAGAGAUUUGAAUCUCUACAAGAAUUCGGAAUCUAUACAAGAGAUUCUUCAAAUAGUAGUAUACUAGGAACUUUGAUAUAAGUUUAGAAUCUGUAAAUAUGUUCCUUGUUUGCUGAUAAAUAAAUACGAAGAGAUUGAUCAAAAUAGUCAGUACAAAAAGCAAGAACUCUCGUAUAUAAUUUCAAAGCCGAUGCAACUUUUGAACUCUAAAUACAAGUGUUUGUGCAACAAGAUUAAGCUCAUGCUGGAUUGAGUUAGGAAUAAGAACCCUAAGACUAAUAAAACAGCAAAAGUAUAAAAACACUUUCUUUGAAUGUCAACUGAUCUGUACACCAAAAAGUCGAAAUCCCUUUGAUUUCUCUUCUACUACGGGCUGGCCCAAGCUGAUUACAACGUUUUGCUCUUCCUCCAUUUGUUUUCUAUCUCUAACUAAACUACCACUAAGACCAAGUUGCAGGUCUACAUUCUGUCUGAAAUAGCCACUAAACCCCCCAACACUACCAUUAUUGAUGUUUUCAGAUGCAUUAUACCCCACAUCUAUCAUGCGGAAAGGUGGGUGUUCUCUAUGUUCACACAAGUAAAAAGUAAUCACAUCCUUUGCUUUCAGUUCCUUCUCCUUAACAAAUCUAUUCCAACCUCUUGUAAACACAUAACUCUGGCUACUUUUCCAAUAACAAUACCGAAACUUCCAAGUUUUCAUCUGCCUAUCAACAAAAGGUAGCUGCAAAUCAUCCACAUCGCCCCCAUCUUCUUCCUCCCCUUCUUUACCUUCAGACACCUGAGGAAAGUAUUUAACAGCAUGUUUCUUUGGGAUUACAAGCCUAUUUAGCUUCCCCACGUCGCUCGGCGUUAACUCCUUUUGAAAGAGUUGAUGGUAAACAAAUCCUCCAUCCAUUAGUCCUCCAUUCCCCAGGUUAAGUUCUACUUUAUCUUCUAUCUUCUGAGUUUGAUUUCUCAGGAAUUCCAUAAACUUCGAGUUAUAAGACCUAUCCUUAAUCAUACUUAAUAUUACCUCUGUCUUGUAUAGAUCUUGAAACUUGGGUUCUUGAAUGGUGAUGUUUGUUAAUGGAAAAUUUCGAAAAGAAUCACCACGAAGCUUGAGGGCAGCACUGUCAUAAGCCAUUGCAGCUUCUUUCUCAGAGUUAAACGUACCAAGCCAUAUCCUUUCAUGCUUAACAUAUAUUUGUGCUCCCCAAUGCCCGUUUUGCUGCAAGACCACCCCUUUGAAUCUAGCAGAUGCUGAGUUAUCAUGCUUCUGCCGCUUAUUAGGAUGACAAAGAUUGCUAUUGCUGUUGCUGUUUGAAUCUGAAGCUUCUGCCAUUACCGUAUUCGAAACCAUACUGACCAUCUCUUCUUCCAUAGGAACCCUAUUCAAAAGUAAUCAACAAUAUGAUAAGCCAACCAGUAAUAAUCAAUAUAACUCAGCAAUACAUACACUAUUUAAUACAAGUAAUAAAUAAAUCACAGAAAGAACAAUUAAACAGUUUCUCUUACAUUCAAGGGAGAAGAAUAUAUAAGUGGUUUAGGGUUUCUUUGACAUUGAUGAUGAGAUAGAGAUAUUAGAGAGAAAAGGAGGAGAGAGAGAAGUUAAUGGCGUUAACAACAAUAAGUUUUCUCUUUUAUAGAAAAAAGGUAAGCUUGAAAGCUCCACCAUUAUUUUGGUUAUAAAAUAAUGUAGAAGAUCUUUGUUGCUGGAAAAGGAAACUAAUUUUUAAUUUACUAAAAGGAUAACUAAUUUAGAAAUUAGUCCAAUAAAUUUGACAACUGUAAUUAAUAAAAACUUAUUUGGAAACUAUCUUAAUUAAGGAAACUUCUUAGAUAUUUCGGAGUUGGAUUGAGAAAUAUCAGGGAUUUUUAGUAUUAUGAAAUAGAUCUGUUUAAUUUGACUUAGUAAAUAUUUUAUAUUUAAUUUACUAUAAUACCCAUGCUUAGUUACUUCAAAUACAAGUAAUCUGUUUAUUGAUUUUAUUUCAUAAAGGGUAUUUUUGUUAUGUUGUUAUGGGGACAACCCAUUUAAACAGAAAUUAACAGAAUAUUCUGGACUGGUCUUCUAGACUGAUCUAGUUCUAUAAACCGCAUAAAAUUUGGUUGGUAAUUCAGUAAUGGGGACUGUUAGUCGACAUAUUCCGGUGCACCCCCUUACACCAAUUUAGAUUUUAGGGUACCCUCAGCAAUCACAUCAGAUGAAUCAAAUAAUCAAAGUUAUUUUGUUUAGAAAAAAAAAAUAGUUGGUUGAUUUUGGUCAUCAAAUCAUAUUUUACCUAAAAAGAGGAAUUAAUCCAAUAUUUUGUUGCUUUUUAUAAGAAAAUUUUGACUCCAAAUUACUAGACCAGGUAAAAAUUCUCUUUUACAAUUCACAUACAUACUUGGUUUGCUUAGUUGAGCACAUAGAGUAUAUAUUUUUCUCUGAUUAGGUAAUUUGCAUAUCUGACUAUUUUAUUCUAUUUUCCUCUAUUCUGUCCUUAAAAUAAAAUCUGACUCAAAUACACUAUUUAAGGCUACAUUAGAGAAUCUGGAUCCUCUCAAAAUUUUCCAUAUUUAUGGUAUAUUAAAAUAUCAGAAUUUUUUUUUUCUUAAUUUUAUUUGAGAAAUCAUCAUAAGUUCAUAAUCAUAUGGCUAAUAUGUCUUGUAUCCACUGGGAUAAAAUAGUCAGUUUAGUGUAUAACAAGCAUAAUAAUACUGGAGAUUAGGGAAAUGGUAUUUAUAGCCCUAAUGGAUUACCCAGUCUUGGGUUUUAAUUAACCUACUGCCCAAGUAAAAAUUUAUCCAAAGUGUAAAUAAAUUGUAUCCAAGCAAAAAAGAACUGCCUGGAAUUUUAUUUACUUGCAGAAUUGUAUUAAUUGAUUGGUCCAUGGUCACAUUAUCUACCCAGUGGCUCUUGUAUAUCAAUCAGAUCAAUUGACUAUUGUCUGUAGUGGAAUUUUCUUAUGUUUUAAAUGAAACAAUGUGCAUAACAACUGCUUCGAUCAAACUUCAAACCUCGUCAUGGACUCAUGGAGUGAUAUAACAUGACAGCUUUAAGAUUCCAUAAUGUUAAAUUGGGUUUAAACUUUAAACUGUGGUUGAGAACGUACUGUAUGUUUUAGAUCUGGUUUAUGGUGCUUAUAAUUAAGCCUCUCCUGUGGGCUGUGGCAUUGGCAUUUCUUAAAUUCUUAGUUACACACUUACACACUCAUGACCCGAACAGGAAAACUGAUUGCAGUCUCUGUGUUUUCUUACUGCAGGAGCAUAGUAGCCAUCAAGAAUAUCUGAGGCUCAAAGGAAAAGUAGAGUCCCUACAACGUACUCAAAGGUAAAAUUCCUCAACUGUGUUUCCUUUGUCGCAAACUAAGAUCGAGCGUACUUACAUCUGUGAGAAGUGAAAAUAGUAAAAGACAUCAUGCCAUUAUGAUAUCAUUUGUUUAAUCAUCUUAGGAACCUUCUGGGUGAGGAUUUGGGACCAUUGAGUGGAAAGGAGCUGGAGACACUCGAGAGGCAGCUGGACUCGUCUUUGAGGCAAAUCAGAUCAACUAGGGUACCAAAAUAGAUUUAACAGAUUGGUUAAGAUUGCAGUCAGUCAUCUCUAAAUCUUUACCAGGCAUGUACUAUUCUGUCUCACACAGCUUUUGGUUCUUUCUUUUGCAGACGCAGUACAUGUUAGAUCAGCUUACUGACCUUCAGAGAAGGGUACACAAACUUUGAUGCUGAAUAUCUCUCUUAGUAUAUGUUAUAUUUGUAUCUAAUCGUACAAUUAAUAAUGUCUUAAAUUUUGAGUGCAGGAACAAAUGCUCAGUGAAGCAAACAAAAACUUGAGAAGAAGGGUAUGCAUUUUCCUGGCUUGUUUUCGGCCCUGUUCAAAUUUGGCCAUAGACUUCAUAAUUAGUCCAAGCUAUUUCAUUAGAAAUAACCGAAGGUCUUAUACAAGCUCAUUUGAUUGUUAAUUAGUUGGAGGAAGGUACCCAACCAAAUCAUCAUCAUUGGGACCCAAACAUGCACAAUGGUGUGACCUUUGCUCGGCAGCAGGCUCAGGCUCAGGGUGAAGGGUUUUUCCACCCUUUAGAAUGUGAACCCACAUUACAGAUUGGGUUUGUCCUCCAUCUUCUGCAUCUGUUUACCCUUUCUUUCCUUAAUAACCAUGAUGGUCUCAGUUCAAUAUUUUCAUGCUGUUUUGCUAUAACUGUUAAAAUUGAACUUGAAAUAUAUGAAUUGAACUUACUUGCAGAUCAUAUCAGAAUGAACAAAUAAGUGUUGCCACAGCCGGGCCAAGCAUGAAUAAUUACAUGCAAGGUUGGUUGGGUUGACAUGCAGUUGAAAGCUCUUCCGCGAGUGGUGUCUCUCGUACCUUAAGAGGCUAGCUUUAAGCUUAUUCUGACAAAGCUAGGAACAGAAAUGGUACAUCACUAAUUAAGAUAAUUUUCAUGAAAAUUCACCACUAUGUGAGAGCAUUGUAAAUCCUUGUUGUUUGUUUCUGCAUGGACUUUUCUCCAAUGGUGACUUAUUUCCCAUUGUAUGCUUUUGUUACGGAUGGUGUUUAAUUUGUAAUGAUCCAUCUUCUUGUUGAAUAAAAACUUUAAUUUGCUGAUAUAUUUCUCUGUCAACACAGUACAGUACAUACUCAGGCACAUUUGAAAAUUAACAGGUGAUCGAUCGAUCUCAAUUUCUAGGAUGUUAUAUAUAUAUAUAUAUAUAUUUUAUAUAUGGUCAGCUGUGUGACUGUCCGACAGAGGUGCUUAGUUAGGGACAUAGGGUAUGUAUUUGUGUUUAUAGGGCAUCUCUUGACUGUUGAACAUUUGCAUUCUACUUGUGAAUAUAAUCUCUGUCAAACAUUCAAACUUGUAAAUCAGAUAAGUAUGACAACAGCUUAGAAAUGUAACAAACCUGGAUUGUUUGGUUUUUCAACAAACGAUAGCUGAGGGUUACCAAAACAAACAAAAAAAAAAAAAAACAAAUGAUAGCUGAGAUUGCUAAAGAGCUAAAAUUUUAAAAAAAGUGUGGAUGCCGAAAAUUUCGUUAUUUUUAACUUUUCAGUAAUAUAAUCUCAUUGCCGAUGUAUAUAUAUUUGCUGCGAGAAGACGAAAAUUGACAUACAUCCAAAAUGCAUUUCUUUUGAGUUGGAAAAUAAAAAUAUACGAGUAUUUAUCUAGUUUGAGUGGCGGCAAAGAGUAAACAAGUGCGGCUGCAAAUAGCUGCAUUCCAAUUUCAAUUUGGUUGUUUUCGUUAUUUUCCACCUGCUACAUUCCGAAAUAGAUAUUCUGUUGUGUGCUGCGUAAGUAUAUAGAUAAUAGACUAGACUUUCUCUAGUUUGGCACACGUGUACGUGUACGUGUACGAGGAGAAUUCUCAAUUUAUUUAUUCUAAAAGAUUGUUUGUUUGUUUGUUUUGUGUAAAACUAAAAAAAAAAAACAACACAACACAAAAACACGUUGUCGAGUUUAUCCAAUUACCUUGAUUUCUUCAAUUAUCCAAACAAAAAAUCUACUAAUAUCUAAAGAAAGAUUCUUUAAUUUCAUCAAACCAAACCCUCAAACCCCCCAUAUCAAUUCUAAAAAUCAAAACUUUUCUUUGAAAUUUUAUCAUGAGAGGAUUUACUGAUCAAGACCAUCAUCAUCAACAACAACAACAAUCUUCUUCUUCUUCUUCUUCUUCAGUGAGGGUAUUUAAUGAAUUAUGUUCAUUAGUUUUAAAUAUCAUUGGGUAUCAACCAGUACCACCAUCUCUUGUUUCAUCAGAUAUUGAUCCUAAUUCAAUGGUUUCAUCAUCAAAACAGAUUUCUCCAUCAGGAUUUGCUUGUUUACUUUUGGGUAUUUCAUUGACUUUAAUGUUAUGUGGGUCUGUUACUUUCUUGAUUGGAUUUAUUUUAAUGCCUUGGGUUAUUGGAUUUCUCUUCCUUUGUUACUUUCUUGGAUUGGGUCGAGCUAUUCUUUGUCCUCUUUCUCCUAAAGAGAUGUCUGGUAAGAUUCUUGGGUUUUUUUAUUUUUGGGAAUUUCAUGUUUUGUUUUAAUUGUUAUUUGGAAUUGUUUUGUUUGUGUUUAAUUCAAUUUUUCCUCUAUAGAAGACUAGUUUGAAUUUGCAAACAUGUUAACCAGAAGUUUCAGGCCAAUUUGUAUGGUUUAUAUGCACGAUGUUCUGACACAUUGAUGCUUGCAUACGGUUUUGGGUUAGAGUUUCUUUUAAAUCUUAACAUAUGAACAAGAAGAGAAGAGAAAAACAAACAUGAAACAAACAAUGAGUGCGAUGGAGUUAUAUACUGUAUUGUCUCUUCUCUAGUUACAACUGAGAAAUUAGGGAAAUAAAAAGUUUGUUCUCUACGGGAUAAUCACUUAUGGAUCACUUCUGCUUCUGUUGCUAUCUUCGUUUGUCUGACAGGCACGUACUUCGGAACCAAACCUUCUGUAGUACGUGAAUCAUUGCAGAUUCUCUCCUUGUUCAGACUGCACACCACUAUAUGACCUUUUCCCCUGAGGCCUGGAUUGAGUGAUACCAUGUACACACCCUGUCUAGGUAAAUUUGUAAAAGCAAUCACAUAUUUGUCCUACUUAAUGAUUACCAAUAUUGGUUUUCUAUUGGCAAGACUGAAUCCUUAUCUGCAAUAGAUGAUUGCAUAAUGAAGGAAUGAUUCGGGAAGAGGAAAAUUUUAUACAAAUCGAAUCCCUAAUUUCUCGCAGAUCUAUGUUCAGGUUUGAAGAUAUCCCCUGCUAUAUCAUUUUCUAUGUUAAUGAACAGUCUUCUACUCUCCGUAAUAAAAUGAUAUAUGACAGUGUUUUAAUAAAAUUCACAAUAUGAAAAGUAGAUCUCCUUGAGUAUUUCUGUAUCGCAUUCUGAUCAAGAAGCUGUCCAUGGGAAUUGGUUAUUGGCGAUUACUUAUCAUUGAGACCCUAUAAUUGAGCCUUGAGUUGACUCGCCUAAGAAUAGAGACUGAAGUACAGUAUUUGUCCUGCAUAUAAAAUCAAUACAAUCCAACGUAAAAGUUUAGGUACCGCAUUUGUCUCUCCUAUUACACAUGAUUAUCUUCUACUAAAGGUGGCUUCAAGUCUAACCUCCAUUCAAACUGCAAAAUCCUCAGAAAAUUUGUGCAUGCUUCAAAUACACGUUGAAGUAUCACAUCUUCAAGGAUGUCUCUAGAUUUAGUUUCGUGUGUAUUCUUUAGAUGAACUGGGAAGAUCCAGAUCAUCAGAAGAUAAAAAUCCCCCAAACCAUAGUGGUCAUUUAGUUUUGUCUCCAUAGUACUCUACAACCUCCACCGCCCAUCAGCACAAUGCCUGUUGACUUUCAUGUGCUUCUUAAUUGAGAAGACAAUAAUUUGGAAACACUUCCUAUUAUUGGAAAUUUUAGUUCUGAAAUUUGUGUCUCCCUAUCAUUUCAGUUUUGCGAUCUGUUCUCCCAUUGAAUGCCACUCUUGAUUCCUGUAACACCGUUCCUCUCCCUCCCCCCACCCCCUCUGCCAAUACAACUUGACCAAGGUAUUUGAGGUCUUCUUUCUUCACAAUUUAGGAACUUAUCCCCCUCUGUCAUUUCAGUUUUGCGAUCUGUUCUCCCAUUGAAUGCCACUCUUGAUUCCUGUAACACCGUUCCUCUCCCUCCCCCCUCCCCCUCUGCCAAUACAACUUGACCAAGGUAUUUGAGGUCUUCUUUCUUCACAAUUUAGGAACUUAUCCCCCUCUGUCAUUUCAGUUUUGCGAUCUGUUCUCCCAUUGAAUGCCACUCUUGAUUCCUGUAACACCGUUCCUCUCCCUCCCCCCACCCCCUCUGCCAAUACAACUUGACCAAGGUAUUUGAGGUCUUCUUUCUUCACAAUUUAGGAACUUAUCCCCAAAAAAUGUUUGUAAUGCCCCAUAUGACCCCCUCGAGACCCCAUGUCAAUCUUUACUGUCUCCUUGUUAACUUUCAAGCUAGAAGCUACAAUCGGUAGCUUGUCAAAGAUUCACAGCUCAGCUCUGAAGAGAUGAGGAUUGUUUCAAUUUUCUAGUGUCAAAGAUUCACAACUCAGCUGAGAAAAAGAUUGGAGACAGGUCCCCUUUUCUCUAUUUCACAUCGGUAGACUUCACUUUUUUGCUGCUCAUUUGGUAAACCAGAAAGAAAAAAAAUUUGAAAUGGUGAUAUAUUAGUUUAACAUGUAAAGUCCAACGCAUUUUGGAAACUCUAAGUCCCAACGAUCAUACAAUUUCGACGCCAGCCUUUGAGACAAAUUACUCUAUUAUCAUAUUGGAGUGAAAGCUAAGCCGUGUAGUUGUUUGAAACUGGAGAGUAUAUUGUUGUUUCUUCUUGAACAUGUGAAGUCUUGUAUGCAUUUUGGAAGCUCACUAGCAACCAUUGGAGGUGAACAACCUGACAUUCUUCAAUGGGUUUGUACCGCCUGUGUCUUCCAUCUUUAUCCCAAGUCACAACAAUUACACCCUUUUGACGCAAGCCAAUGUGAAGUUACUUUAUUACGAUAUUGGAGUGAAAGCUAAGCUUUAUAGUUGUUUAAAAGUGGAGGGUAUAUUGUUGUAUUGAACAUGUGAACUCCCGUAUGGAUUUUGGAAACUCAACUAGCAACCACUGUAGGCGAACAACCCUGACUUUCUUCCUUGGGUUUGUACCACCUGUGUCUUCCAUCUUUAUCCCAAGUCACAACAGUCAUACACUUUUGACGCCAGCGUAUGAGAUAAAUUGUCUAUUACCAGAUUGAACUUUGAAGUGAAAGCUAAGCUUCAUAGUUGUUUGAAAGUGCAGGGUAUAUUGUUAUUUCUUCUUGAAAAGAUCCCUCGCUAAAUAGUGACUUACACAUACAGUUUACAUAUUACAUACACAUACUACGAGAAUGAGGGUGUCUAAGUGCAGUUCAACGUGCACAUAAAUUUUUUGAGUCCUUAAUCUGUAGUUUCAUUACUUGUUACCUUUGCAGAUAACAAUUGCUUAGUACAAACACAAGCAUUCACAUACGAAAAUGUUUUGAACUUUUGAUGCUAACUCUAAUUGAACGCUCGGAACAAGGGGAGUAGCCUAUGACUGACAAGUGACAACCUUGACCUCUAUUUAUAUCCUUAUAGAACCUCUCAUUUCUUCAUUAAUAGAGGAUGGGAACUAUGGUAAACAUGUUAUUUAUACUGCCUACCUUGUUUUAAGUAUAUGGGGAAAUUUCACUUCCACAAAUCAUUUUUGACAUCAAAGGAUUGUUAUUUGUUAGUGUUAAUUAUGGUAGAACUACAAAGAUAGGCCAUUUUGGUAAUAUGCUUUCUUCUGGGAGUCUACUAUGUACAUUUUCUGCUAUCGUUUUAUACAUAUGUUAUUAUUAUUUGUGAAAAUGGCAGCAAUAUAAGCACUGACUCCCUGCUUUACAUUGGCUUCAGCAUGGAACUUCUCUUGAAGCUGAAUUAGUGGUGUUGAAGAAAUGUAGGAUUGGGAUAUUACAGGGACCAGUUGUGUUGUAUGAGGAGAUGGAUGAGGCGUCUUUAAGAUGCAUUGACAGUGGACUUUGUUAAUAUGUUUGGUCUUCUUUGUUCGCACCUCGGUAUCCAAUGCCAAAGGAUAAUGAAAAUUAGAAAACAAUUCUUAUGAAAGAACCUGUACUAUUCUUCAUGUGUUGUAAAUUUGAUGAUAUUAGCUUACGAGUAGUGAUUUCAGUGAUACUUGUUCCUUGUGGAAUGGUGAAAGUGGAUAGCUAUCUGUUUGUUAGCCCUUAUCAUGGUCUAAGAUUUUAUAAAGAAUCAUAGGAGUUGAGUACUUGAGUUGGUGUUUUUCACUUUCUUUUAUAUUUGCAGAACUGCAGAAUACCAUCUAUAGCUUCCUUUUGCAUAACAAUUACACCAAGUACAUACCAGGGGCAUACCCUACUGUGAUAACAAGGGAUUCUAGUCUCCACCUGAGCUUUCCCUAUUUAUUUCACACAGUUUUGCAGAAGUCCCUGUGGCUAUGGUGUUAAUCUUUCCGUCCAACUCAUUGGAUGGAGCAAAUCAUGAUUAUGGCAAUCACUGAACAUAUGAGUGGUGGUUGGUCAGAGCUUCCUGUUGAUGUUCUACCCCUGAUUGUAAGUUGUGUUAGUGCUUCGAACCAUCAUGUUUGGUUGGUUGGUCACAUUUGCGAAAAAUAUACCUAGUUAUCUACACUACCCAAUCAUCUGAUGACAUUUUGCAAUCCUAAGGUGGCAUUUUCACCUGCAAAUCCGCCAUUAGAAAUUUAGUGGUAUGGUUCGGCCGAACCGAGUAACACCGCUUUGGGGGGGGGGGGGGGGGGGGGUGUUUAGUUAUGCCAAUCUAUGGCCCUGCAUUCCUGCAACCCUUGAAGUGAUCUUAAACAACCAUUUCAAAGUUUAAAUAAGGACUAUACAGUAGAUUAUUAUUACUUAAUUACAUGCCGUUAAGAUAUUUGAUGUUGCUUUUUGCAAUGAAUAAAAUAUUGUCUGAUGAAAGAACAUUUUCCACAAAAAAAAUAAUAAGAAAUACUACUACUACUACUAUAAAUCAUCAUCUUCCCAAAAUGAAUCCAAUCAAAUAAAACUAAAAGAAAAAAAAACAUAAUCUUGAUUUUUGAUCAAAAUACACAAACAAAGUUGUGGUUGUGGGGGGUUUGGGGAUGAAAAAUUUAGAUCAUAAAUCAUAUGAAUAUAAUCAACCAGUGUAGACAUGAACACCAAUGGCUAUGAGGAAAAUAGUGAUAAGACCAAAGUAAAUGAUAGCAUGAACUAGAAUAGAUGCUCCACUUGUAUGCAUGUUUCCAAACUCCACAACUCUUCCAUUCCCUGGUAGCUGAAACAAAAGUCCUGGUUGUAACAACACAAACAAAACUACUGCUAUAAUCACUGGACCCCAAUCUGCCAUUUUUCAAGAAGAAGAAGAAGAAGAAAGAUCUGAAGAACAGAGUUGAGUGUUUAAAAUGGGGAAUUUGUGAGUAAUUUAUAUUUGUUUGAAGUCCGUCUUGGAGACUGAAGUAGAUUCUACUUUCUAGAUGGACAUAAACACGUGGCCACUAUAUUUUUUAUACUAAUGUCGAUAGACAUAAACACGUGGCUGCUACAGCUACGAUUAAUCCAUACAAGUGUUGAGAUAUGUGUCAAUUCCAAAAUCAACCGUCCAUAUGCAUAUGCAAUGAUUUAAUUUAAUUUUAAUUAUCUUGUGGGGAUUUUGGAAAUAUUUCGUCAAAUUUACAACUGGAUUUUUGGAUUCUUUUUUUUUUUAUAUGAAUUUAUCAAAUAUAUUCAAAUCAUAUGAUUAGAAUAGAUUAAGUAACAAGCAGUCAAGCAUACCCAAUUCUUUAGAAUAAAAAAAAAAACAGAUGACCAAAUUAUAUUGACUUAAGUCAAUCAACCUUUAUUUCUGUUAGAACUUAGAAGUGUCAGUUUUCAUUUUUUAAAGCUUUUACGAUCCACAAAAAAAUCUUAUUGUCCAAGUACCGAAAGGAGAAAAGGAAAAAGAAAAAGAAAACCCCACUUAGAGAUUAGACUAUAUCACCAUCUUGGAUACAUGAAUAACAUUUUAGACUAUAUGUUUACACCUAAGUAUCUCCUUUUUGAUGUCCAAAUUUUAGUCACUUAAACCAUAUGUUCUUAAAAAAGCUUUAGAAGAAGCUAGCCUUCUAGCACAAAGAUUAUGGAAAAUGGAUUUUUAUUUAAGCUAAAAGCAAUACAUUUAUCACUUUAAGCAUAUAAUCACAUUCUAUUUAAUCUCCUUUAACUCCAUCUAUAUGCCUCAGAUCCCUUUUCCACAAAUCAAACUUUAAUUUGUUCAAAGCAAAACCACACAACCAAGUAUUCUAAAUCCAAUACAUUGCUUCUUCCUUUCCACAUGCCAUUCUCUCAUCUUUCUUUCCCUAGCUUUUACGAAUCCGACAGCUCUAACUUCCUGGCUUGGCUUAUUUUGGCACACAUAAAGUAAUUGCUUACACUUAAUCAAGUCACACCACACUAAUCUUUUUUAACGUACACCUAGCUAUCUUGUUUGCUCUCUUAACUAAGUUUGGCAUCCAUGCUAGUGCUAGUAGCUAUAUAUAAAACAAGACUUUGUUGUAUCUUUCUUCUCAUUGAGAUAAAUUAAACAUAGCAAACAUAUGGCUGCAGACUGGGGACCUGUUGUUGUAGCUGUGAUUUUGUUCAUCCUUUUGUCACCAGGACUUCUAUUCCAAUUACCAGCUAGGGGAAAGGUGAUAGAGUUUGGUAAUAUGGGGACUAGUGGGCUAUCUAUUCUUGUUCAUGCAAUUUUAUUUUUUUGUAUACUCACUAUCUUGGUCAUAGCAAUCGGCGUGCAUAUACAUUCCGAUUAGCUCAUCACCGGAAGAAAUAAAAUUAUCAUCAAGAUAUAUGGAGCUAGCUAGGUGCAGCAUUAGUUUCUUUUGGAGUGUGUUAAUUUGUGUAAUUAAUUACCUAAUUUCGUUGUUAUUUUCACCUCGGUUUUCUGUUAUUUGUAAUUCAAUUCUUUGAUUGCUUGUUGAAUGUUAAACUAUUAUCGGUUUUUUUAUGAUAAAAAUAUAUAAACAAAAUGUAUAAUGUUCGAAAAUACUACUACUAAAAGAUCAAAAGCAUUCACCACAUUUUAUAGAAAGCAUUUAACCUCGAUAAAAAUAUAAAAUAAUCAAAAUAAUACUGAUCAGAUGCAAAAAAGAAAAAAAAAAAAUUAAGAAUUGAAUGGUGUAUUCUUUUAGGGAUUUUUAGACUUAACCCCCCUUUAAUGGUCACGAUUUGAGUAAACCCUCCCAUUUGUCCAAGUUUGGACUUUACCCCUCUCCGCAUGUUUCUGUCAAAUUUAACGUCAAUUUUGUUUGUAACUUCCCAAAAUAUCCUCAAUUGCUGCUUUAGACUUGACCCCCCUAAAAAUAUGAGAGAGGGGUAUUUUAAGAAGAAAAAAUAAAAAUAGACGUUAAAUUUGACAGAAGUAAACCGAGAGGAGGUAAAGUCCAAACUUGGACAAAUAGAGGGGUUUACUCAAAACGUGACCAUAAAAGAGGGGGGUUAAGUCUAAAAAUCCCAUUCUUUUAUUGCUAACAUAAUAUUCAAUCAACAAACUAGCAAUAUUAAGACAUUUGGAAUGAAAUCCACUACUCAUGAUCAUGCAUGAUCAAAUGCCUGAAGGCUUUUGUACUGUGGCUGAAACCAUGUGAUGAACUGGAGGUCGAAAUGGCUUGGGUUGAUUAGUUAUUUAUGGGAUCUGAACCAGAAGGAACUUCAUGCUGGGGAUUCCAUGUUGGCAUUAUCACCAUUAGAUGUAAAUCAGCACCUUCAUUUGUAAGAGGCCGAAAUGGUGUGGGUGAACGUUCAUGGACCAGAAGAAACAUCACGCUGGGGAUUCACUGUUGGCAUGAUCACCAUUGAUUGUAAAUUAUCAGCGACUUCAUUUGUAAGAGAUCCAUAAUCUCUUAUUGCAAUGGACUGCCAAUGGCAUUGUAAGCUAUACAAAGCACCAGAAAUAGGAGGGUAGAAAGAAUGCUACAGCAACUCAGGCAACAACUGACGAGGUUUGAAGCCUAUGAUAUACAACAUACUUUUGAUUAUCUUGCAAACCUAGGUAGAUGCAAUCAAGGUUUAACCUUCUGUAAUCCUUUACAAAAGGAAAUUUUGUCACUUGUAGACAAAGAUGCUGUAGGAGAUGUAUUCAAUCGAUUUUGAAGCAAUAAAAUCUGGUAGGGGUCCAGCCUAACCCCAGCUUACCUUUUGAAAAAAAAAAAAAAAAACAUAGCAUACAAAGAAAUUUCCUAAGCCCCCACCAUUAUAAUUUUUUCUGCUUAAUAGCAGAAUUGUAGAAACUAGAAACCAAGUAAUUUCAAAAAGAAUGGUUUGUUGUUUUAGGCUUAGUUCAUAUGGGUUUAAAUAGAAAAAUUUCUUGGUAUAAGCUUCAGUCUAUGAUAUCAAAUCAUAUAUACUACAGUAUUAUAUUGGGCUUUAGAGAAAUUAGCAGUACUCAAUGGAACAAUUACGCUCAUGCAUUAAUUCUUGCGAAUUUGCUAAAAAAAUUCACUCAAUAUUCCUGAUCAGAGUUGUCACUUGUGAACCCAAGUAUUGCGAAUUUGCUAAAAAAAUACACUCAAUAUUAAUUCCUGAUCAGAGUUGUCACUUGUGAACCCAAGUCUGGCCGGAUAACAAACUGCAGAUACGUAGUGUUACAUGCACAAUGUCAAAUUGAUUUUUUUGUAUAAAUCAGUCUCACAAAAUUCCUGAAUUCAUAUAUCAAGAGCAGUAUAGCUCGAGCACCUAAAAAUAUCAAGGGCACCAUAUACAGGGCACCAUAUACAGGGAUCACAACUUGGUUCAGCACUAGUAUUGGACUACUAUCAUCCUCCGAGAUCAUGUUGGUUGGUCGGGUUGGAUGGAGGAUCAUUGUGUAUGGAGGUUUUGCACGCAAUGGCCAAAACCAUGUUGGCAUGGGAAUUGGUACAUUGUGAAUUGUCAGGUGCCUUGUGGUAUAUUAUGAGAUAAUUUAUCAAAAAAAAAAAAACUUCACCUGUAAAAAAUUCCAUAAUCUCUUACUGCAAAAUAGCAUUAAAAUCCUCCAUCAGUCCAUUGUUCCGAAAUAGCAUAAACAAACUUUUCAGGUGGUUGUUCAUGGUUUAGAAUUUAGAUAGAUAAAAAGUUUCUAGGAUAUAGGUACCAAAUUGUACUAGUGCUGUAGUGCUGUAGUGAAUGGAGAUCAAGAUCUUUCAAAAUUCUCAAAAUAAGUAUGAUGCAUCCUUUGGGGACAAUUUAAUUGAAUCAUUGACUUGUUAUAUGUUUGGACUUUGGAUAGCAAUUAUAUAUCCAUCAUGAUUUGUCCAUUGAAUAAUAAGGUAGCAAACAAAGCAGUGCAUACUACAUAGUACAUACACAGAUACACAGCAUGAGAUUAGGCCAGACCUAGCAAUUGCACAAGUUGUUCAGGCAUUUGGGCACAAGCUGUACAAGCAUUGGAGAAGCGGCACUGGUACUCCUCAAUAUGGAAAUGGAAGAGUUAUGCUCAAAUCUCCUCAGAGCAACCAAUUCAAGUAGUCCCUUAAUUAAUUGGUUUCAUAUUACAUGAAAAUAAUACUCAGAUAAGAUAAAUGUUAAACUACAAUUAAUAAUAAGUGUUACCAACAAGCAUACUUCUUUGUUAUAGAGGAGGGGUUUAAGAUCCAAAAUCAAGUGUCUAAAAUCUAAAUAAAAACAACAACAAAACAAAGAUUACAACAACAUUCAAGAAAAAUACCUACUACAAGAGAUGAUGAUGAUGAUCAUGAUGAAGAAGAAGAAGAGGGGUACUGUCAUAGACUCAUAGUGUCAUACACUGUGUCUGUGUGCUCUUUAGAUUUAGGGGUAAAUGGGUGGGUUUGAAUUUAACCCGUGUAGAUAUGGAUCCGAACAGCCAAGAUGAGAAUAGUGAAGAUACCAAAGAAGAGAAGUGUAUGGAUGAAGAUAGCUUUACCAUUUGUUCUCAUUCCACCAAAAUCCACAUGUCGGUGGUGCCCUGGUAACUGAAAUAGUAAUCCAGGUGAUAGUAGUAUGAAGAGAACCACACCAAUCAAUACAGGUGCCCAGUCUGCCAUUGUUGAAUAACACAGAAUAGAAUAAUCUCAACUGAACUGAAGAUCUAAUUAAUAAAGCUAGCAAGGUUUGAAGAUGGAGAUUAAUAAAGGAAAAGAAGUACUAGUACUUACUAGUAAUAAAGACAGAAGGUUGCGAGUGAAGGAAGAAAGGAACAAAAACUAAUUCAACUUCAUCAAGGAAGAAAUAAGAAAUUGAUAGUGGAGUGCAACUGUGCAACUUUAUUGAUGGUCGACAAAAAAAAAGUUAGAUACCCAAGUCCCUUAAUUAAAUAAAUAAAAAUUAAAUUUAUGCUUUCCAGUAGGUUCUAUUUUUUCUCUAAAAUAUGUGUCAAAGCCAAACGAGAACCAUGCAUCAGCAUGUGUGUAUGUCUGAUGUCUCCAUCCAUUUCAUUUCUUAGGAUGAAAUCAGUCUCUUGUCUUGGCUCUAUUACCAGUUCUGACUUUUGAUAACAGUUCAAUUCAAUUGAAUGGAUAAACUCUCACUGACCCUGCUGAAUGCUGAUCUAGGGGCGUAGAACUGGUUUGAAAACUUGGUUAAGCAUGCAUUGAAUUGACAGGUUGAGAGAAAAAAAAAAUAUGUCUAUGGGCAUUUUACUUUUAUUAGUGUCUAGCCUAGCCUGGGAUGAAGUUUAAGGUGUUUUGAGGCUGGGAGCCGUGUAACAUGGAGAUGAGGCAACCAUAAUAUAUACUGUAUGUCUGUAUGGCAAAUGCUUUUGCGAUUUUUUUUUGUCUCAGUACUAGUAUCAUGGUGACUUCUAAAAUUUCUGUGGCACAGGACUUAUAGGGGUCUCAGAAGGUUUUGUUUCCCCCAUGAAAAUAAAUUGAAUCUUCAAGUGGAACUCAGAAGUACUUCAGAGUUCAAACCCAAUGGAUUGUCCCCAAGACAAGGAGAUCAAAUUAGGGGCAUCAAUUGUGCAGACCCCGUUAAGAAAAUAUCUUUACCAUAAGCUAAUCUUUCCACUAGACUCUGCAACUCAAACUCAAUACUGUAGCCAUGCAAAGUCCAUCACAGCUCAAUGACAGGCUUUGUUCAGAUAACUAGGGGUGAGGAUAACAAGUUAUUAACAACACUGUCAAUGUAGGAGGUUCUUGGCCAAGAAGAUAGGUUGUGAAAUAGAGGUAAUAAAGGUGUGUCCCAAAAGCACCAAUGCUCUUGUACAUGUUCAAGUUUAUAGUCUGAUACUCUGAUGUAGUAUGUACUUAGUAGUUCACAUUUAUAAGCAGUCCAAGAAAUAAUUAGGUUCCACUGCCACCAGGCCAAUAAGGUAACGUUCACAGACACACAGAAUAUAUUCUCUUAACAAAUACUGUAAAAGCAUUUUUAGAUUGCACUGAGGACCAUAAUGGGGAAAGUCAUAGCACUGUCCAAGCUUAAUUACUUAGCAAGCCUAGAACAAAUUUCAUUCUUUACAUGGUCUCACCACACAGACUUGUAAGAGUAUAUCCGGACCUACUCAUGUGCUCACCCACAUACGCACACACAUAAGCACUAUCAGCAGGAUAACUUUUGCCAGAGGAUGUUUCUGAAAACGGACACUGUGCAGGAACAAAUAAGUAAUAAAAAACCUAAUCAGCAGAACAAAGUAUCAGUACAAUAUCCUAUACGAAUAUGGGGAUCCUACUUCUCACACCAAUACAAAACUCAUAUCAAAGUAUCUCUGUAAACUUUCACAAAAUAAUCAAAUAAAUAAAUGUACACUUUGCACCAUCCAAAGCAAUCACAAACCCAACCUUUCACAGUAUUGAAUAUGCAACACUCCGGAGAAGUAGCAAACACACUUCUGCAUACUUUAUGUUUUACACUAAGGACUAACUAUAUAAGCACUAAGGACUAACUAUAUAAGCACGAGAGAGAUGUGUAGGAGGGGGAGUUUUAGCAGGAACAUCAAGGCACAUAUUUGGCAUGGUGGUAGUGAAAAAGCUCAAUCCCCGUCUACAUUUUAAAUAUGAAAUAGUAUACAAAUUUGGAAGUUCCUUUACACAUGGUUAUUACUUUAGACCCACAAUGCUCAUAUUUUUUCAUAAAAUUAAGAGUAUUAACAUAUCACAUACCGUUAUAGAGGCACACAGAGAGACCAUGCAUCAUUACUAUAACACUUCCCAUUUAUUGCUACGGUAUUUUAACACCAUAACAAUUGUGAUCUGACAAAAUAAACAAACCACACCCUUGUAGACACGAAAAAGAGGUUUGAUUAAGGAUACAAGCGUGAGGAAUAGAAUCCUAUUCACCACAGAAAAUGAGAUUUAAAUGUAAUUAUUCACCACAUAAGGCCUGCUCAUACCGAUUCCUACCAACUUUCUCAAGCACGUAAAAAGACUUGAAACUGCAAGUUAGCAUCAUGGAAUAACUUAACACGAUAAAGAAACCAAUAUGCUUGCUUAGUUUGUGGCACUUGUGUUUUGAAGGGUUGGUAUUCCAUUAAAUAAUUUAUCCAAAUACUGCCUAUGAUAAUAUGUUUACUUUGACAUAGUUCCUUGCAAACAUAACACGACUCAAAUUCAAUAAAGGGCAAUCGCAAAAUAGAUGCAUAUAUACCAAAAAAAAAAAAAAAAAAGAGGUGAACUGUUUUGAAUUUUCGGCAAAAAUGCAUUUCAGUCCCAAGGAAUUGACCAAAAUGAAGUUUCGGCAAAAGUGAAUUGUUCCUUCCUCAUGCUUGAUUGCUCAGUUUCAGUCCCACAAAUUGUACAUUUAUAUACACUAUAAAUAAUGUAAGAAAAAUCCUUCAUUUUGAAAUUAGAUCUUGAAUCAACAGUACACAAAUAAGAACGUACAGUAACUUCAGCUUAUUUAUCAACUUAACAAUUAGUAGUACAAUUCCACAAAUUGAAACCUUAGAAAUGAACUUAAUUAAGCUUCUACUACUAAGUAACAUUAAUUAAUUAUUAUUUAACGUCAUACAUUAUAACAACAAAUUAAACACAAAGAAAUCACAUAAAAACAAUUUACAGUAAUUAUUAAUUGGAUUAGGAAUUAAGAAUCAAAAUAAACAUGGAAUUAAUAGCUAAUAAGAAGAUAGCUAUGAGAAUGAAGUAAAUAAUAGAGUGAAUGAAGAUAGAUGCACCACUGGUUUGAAAACUUCCAAAUUCCACAACUCGGUUAUGACCAGGUAUUUGAAUCAGUAAACCUGGUGAUAACAACACGAACAACACUACUGCUACGAACACUGGUCCCCAAUCCGACAUUUUUCUUUCUUUCUUUCUUUCUUUCUAUGUUUCUGUUGAAGAAGAUUUGAGAAGAAGAAGAAGAGAUAAGAGUUUUGGAUUUGUAGUAGAAACUAGAAACUAGAAAGUAGAGAGUAAAAAGGUAAGAAAGAGAAGAAGAAGAGGUAGCUUACUUACUUACUAGACUAGAUAGAUUCUCGGGGUAUUUAGGUUUUAGUCACUAUAUGUAUAUACUAAUUAGGGAAAUAUCACUUUUGUUUUAUUAAUUAGGUUUUGAUCAUUUGGUCUAGCUGAACCGGAUAAAAUGAUAAAUAAUCUAAAAUGGCAAAAUUGCCUUCACUAGAAUUUCACGUAAGAAGCACGAGACGUAUGUUUAGCAGACAAUGUAAUGACACGUUGCAUUGUUGUUUCACCAGAUUGUAACACGUGUGUUUGGUUUGAAUUUGUUGGUGUUUAAGUUUAUCACGCGCAAAACACGUGAGUUUCAUAGGGGUAAUUUAGGCAUUUUAAAAAAUAAUCCGGUUAAACCCGGUUUUUUUAUAACUCGGGUCAAACCAAGUGAUUAAAACCUAAUUAAUAAAACAAAAGUGUUAUUUCCUUAAUUAGUAUAUACAUAUAGUGACUAAAACCUAAAUACCCCUAGAUUCUCUCACUCACUCCCGCCGUCCCAUUUGGCCAUGCUCUUUUGACACGUGAUUUUCAUAGGUAAAACAUUUGUAUUACGGGGCAGUGUUUUACAGGUCGAUUAAUUGUUUCUGAAUGGGUCGGGUUUUGUUUUUGGGCGAAAGGCCGGUUCCAGAGACCCAAGUAGUGAAUUUUUGGUUUCAUGGGGAAUACAAAAUUUGGUCAUAUUGGUUAUCAUAAAAAAAAAAAAAAUUGGCCAUAUCGUAUGCAAUAUAGAAAGUGUAUAUAUUAAUGUAUUUAGAUUUUUUGCAAAGUAAUUUUAAUUAAUCAUUUCAUGUUUUACAUGUCUAUGUGCUAUGGCCAAGGACAAAGCCAGGAAUUUGAGUAUGGGGUGGCCACUGGCCAGAGCAUAUGAAUACUAUAUGCACAUGGGCACAUCUUUUAGGGUGGCGAAUGCUUAUAAUUAGCCAAAAUCGUAACUAUCUAUUAUACUAUAUUAAAGCAGAAAAUAUCUCUUCAAUUAGACUAUUAAUUAGAUUGAAAUUAAUAGUCUAAUUGAAGAGAAUUUUUAUUAAAUUUGGGAAUAUUUGUAAUUACACAAAAGUGGACCACCGUCACAGAUAUAAUCAAGCCCAAUUAGACUAAAUCAUGAGAAUAAUUAAGUCCAAUAAAAAAAAUUAAAAAUAUACCCAAUCCCAAGCAUAGGUGAAAAAAUCGUUUAGGGGCGGAUAUCCGAUCUGCCAAAAACCGGAUUAUUCCGCGGAUAUCCGACCUCCCGUGUCGGAUUUUUGAGGUUUGGUAAAUUCAAAUGUGCCGGAAUUUUUCGCGGAUAUUCGCGAAAAAUUCGGCAAAUUGGGAGGUUUUCUGCACUUUCCGUGUUUUUCUUCUGAUUUCGAUAUAUAAACUUAUAAUUAAAAGAAAAACAUACAUUACAAAUUAAACACACGACAAAUCAUACAAGGAAGCUAAGACGGAACUAUUACACAAGAUAGUUUUACUCAUAGGUGAAAAAAUCGUAAAUAUCGGGCGGAUAUUCAUAGAACUUUUAUAUGUUUACAAUACAAGAACUAAACACAAACAACCUCAUUACAACUCAACCCAUAGUUUUAUUUUAAUAAUCAAAAUAAAAGACAUGCUAACCCCAGAAUGAUAGACGCCCCUUGUCAAACCGAUGAGCUUCGAGUCGCAUACGUGUGGGGACGAACUCAGUACAGUAAUAUUCCCAUGACAUUGUUUGCUCGUACGACCUGAAUUGGUCAAUAUGCAUAGCAUAUACAUCUUGAUCCAUACAAUACGGAGCAAAUGAUUCAAAGAUAGGAAAUCUCGAGUAUUGUUAAACCGGCAUUAAUGUAUCGGCUGACUGUACGUCCGACCCACUUGUCAUUCGUUUCUUUCUGAUAUAUUGCUCUUGGAGGGCCAUGAAGUUCGUCGCGAAAGUUUCCAAACGUCUAGUGCCUUUUGGACCUUUUUUUGAUAAUCUCAUCGAAAAUUCUAGUUCGGGGGGAUUAAAAAUAAAUGUGUUAAUUUUAUAAUCGAAAAUUUCAUAAAUUUCGAUAAAUAUCGGUUUUUUGCCUAAUAUUUCGUGAAUAUCCGAUAAAUGCCGACCGGCAUGGGGUGUUUUAAAUUCCGUUUAUAUGCCGUAUGCCGUACCGAUCCGAUCUCCAAAAAACCGGAAUAUUUCGCGAAUAUCCGGUCGGCAAAAACGAUUUUUUCACCUAUGAUCCCAAGUAGAAUAAAAUACAGUAAAACCUCGAUAAAUUAAUAGCCUUGGGACUAAAGAAAAUUAUUAAUUGAACGAGAUAUUAAUUCAUUGAUUAAUUAAUAAACUAUUAAUUUACAUAAACAAUAUAUUUUCAGGUAUAUCUUUCUUUUUGGGGGGUAACAUGAUGAAACUGAACAAUCGUUUUAUUCUAGAACCCGUUCCACGAAAAAAAACACUAAAAUCGAUAAUGAUAUUGGAAUAAUUUUUUCUUGCAAUACAAUACAACACCAGAUAAACUUAUCACACUACAAAAAUUCAGAGACGGGUUCAAACCAAAAUCAAUUUUGAGAAAAAACAAACAACAAUUGACUUUUAUUAUAAAAAAAUAUAAAAUAUAUUUGUAUAUCAAAAAAAUAUUAAUUCAUAUAUUAAUUGGGCUUUCAAGGAUUUUUCUAAAAUGUAUUAUCUAAGAAAUUUAGCGAAAUAUUAAUUUAUCAACCUAUGCCCAAGUUGGGACCAGUCAAAAAUAUUAUUUAAAAAAGAUAAUUAAUUUAUCGAGUAUUAUCUUAUCGAGGUUUUACUGUAUCUCUUCGAUUAAGCUGAAAUUGAUAACCUAAUUGAAGAGAAAUUCAUUCAAUUUUGGGUAUUUUUGUAACUAUACAAAAUAAAUAAAAAUGGGUCAAUAUGUAAUUUCACAUCUUAAAUACAACCACUUUCAUAAGUAACCCUAACUCGAAUUCUUUAUAGGCAGUAAACCAAAUUAUCACCACUAGAUCUAAUACCAGUAAUUGACUACCAUUGAUCAAAUGCCCUAAUUCGAAUUUCUUUUAAUUCAAUAAUUUUAACUUCAAUAAGUUUACCAGUAAUCUUUUUUGAAUAAGUAGUUAAAUAAUUAUCUAGUGGAAGUAGUAAUUUACAAGUAUCUCCAAGAUUUACAUUGAAAUCACCAGAUGAUGUACUACGUUUGUACAACUUCUCCAUCUUCUUCUUCACUCAAAGUUUAUGUCUGUUUAUAUGCUUAUAUUUGAUCCAUGUAUAUUUUAUGUUUGCUGAAGAUCUCUCGACGACACAGAAAUCAAAACUCACCAGUAUUCUAAGUCAAAUGGGCACGUAUACAAGUUUAUUAAUAAGCUCAUUAAUAAUAUUAAUAUGAUAUUAUUGUGGACACACAUCAAAAAUGUUUGUGAUGGCCAUUUUCAAGUACAUUCUCAAUUUGACAAAAAAUAUAUUUUGUAGGAAUAUGGAGAACCAGUAAUCUAUUAUUUUUCUUGCACUUAGUAAACAUUGACAAAUAAAAAGUAAAUGAAAAUAGAAAAUAAACUCCAAUAAAGAUGAUGAUAUAAUCUUCAAUGCAUUUUAAUGGUGGGGAUAUGAAAGGGGACCCAAGUAGUAAGACCUAUUUACUGCAAUUUCAUGAAAUUUGAGUUUCCCUUAAUUUGUGAUCUAAUGUAUGUAAAUGUGUUGCAGAUAGGACUAUACCAAAAAAGGUUGUAAGAUUCACACAGACAUGGAUCGUAUGGUUGCCUUCCGGAAAGGCUUAACUACAUGGGCCUAAAGGGAUUUCUCUGUCACAUUACAAGUAAGUCAUCUUUAUCAUCAUAAUAGUUUGCUAAAUAUUUCGAAUUUUCAGGAUGUUAACUGUUACAAGGCAAUUAAGAGGCGCUCGACUGCUAAUGGACUACUGUGAAAAGGUUGUUUCUCAAAGUGAUGAAGCCUCAACAACCGAGCCAGACCAAAUUCUAAUUGAGACUUUGAGAAUUGAGAAUGCUGCAAAAUCUCACUCUCCCAGAUAUCUUCAACUGUUUUAGGUUUAAUUUCCAUCUAUAUAUAAUAAUCAUUCAAUUUCAAUACUCAAAAGAUUUAUAAUAAUUUUAAAUGAAAUCAUACCAGAUCAUAGACUUUUAAAACGGGCUAAAUAAAUCAUUACAAGUUACAAACCAAAAGCAACAUAAAACCCCAAAAACAAAACUCUAAAACAAUCAGAUUUGCCCGUGCAUUAUACGGGCUUAAGGACUAGUUUAUUAGUAUAGCAAUAGAAAUAUUUUGAGCAUUGGGGCGACUGGUACAGUGGUACCCCAGGCCAUGCCCUAGAUCCAUCUCUUCCUAAAUAUAAAAUCCUCUCAUCAUAAAUUAGCUUGUUCAAAUGCAUGGCGGAACAUGAUUAUCAUCCACGUAAAAUAGUUUUUUUUUCUAGCUUUAGGCCUUCUAAAGUAUUCAUUUCAAUCCGUUUAUCAAUUGGUUUAUGACUUGUGAGUGCAACUUGCAAAACGUACAGUUUGUUGUAGACUUGUAAUUGCUUGAUGAAAUUGAGACUGUUGUUAGGGGUGUUAUGUGAGCUGAGCAGCUCGAGCUCGGCUCGUGUUCGGCUCGAUUAAAGCUCGGCUCGGGCUCGCUCAUCUUGUAAAACGAGCCGAGCUUGAACAGAUUUAAGGCUCGUCUCGAGCUCGAGCCGAGCCCGAGCUUUAUUCGAGCCGAGCCGAGUAGCUCGAGUUAAAUAAUUAAAUUACGAGCCUACCCCCACUAAUAUAUCUUAUUCUUAUCCUACCCCAGUAUAUAUCAACAAAUUACAAUUCAACAUAACAGCUUCUCCUUCUUCUGGUUCUGGAAACCUAGCCGCCGCCUGCCCGUCUCCUUCUUCUUCUCUACGACUCUAAGCCCGUCUCCUUCUUCUUCUCCAAUUCAAUCAAUCAAUCAAUCUCAUUAAAACUUGUCACCAAACAAAGGGUACCCACCGAUUUGAAGAAGUCAUCUGAUUCGAAGAUUGCUCGUACUAGUAGUUUGUUUUGCCAAGAUCGAUUUGGAAUAAAUUAUUUACUGCUCAUCUACUUUGAAUUUGGAAGGAGAGAGAUUGGUAAAAAAAAAAAAAAACUUUUACUGGUCAAUCCAAGUCAGUCUGGUUUCUAAAUAGUUGUCUGUUGGGGUUGUCAGUGUAGAUCUAGAAACCUUGUUUUAGCAAUCUUCUAAGAUCUACUAGAUCUGUUCUUCUUCUAAAAAAGAAAAUCUUUUAUUAAAUUCGGUUAAUUAGUUCCACACCUACUUGGAUUCGUAUAAGUCCUCUCCUGUUAUUUAAUCCUUCUUCUUAUUCUAAAUUUUCUACUCCUCUUCCAGAUAGAUCCAAGCUUUCAACUUCUUCAAAUCCCCUUUUCUUCUAAAUCACUUUUCUGUCUCCGAAAAUUGUUUUUACCAUGGAUGAACAAUUUUCUCGUUGGUCAGAACUUCCAAGUUGUCUUUUAUAUGAAAUAAUGGAUAGAUUAUUAUUCUAUGAUGAUUAUGUUCGAUUUUCUGCAGUAUGUGUUUCAUGGAGAAUUGUAUUUGUUGAAGACAAAAAUAAUGGUUGUUCAUCAUCCAUUCCAUUGCUGUUGGUUCCUCCUCAUGGACAUGAAUUAGUGAUAGAUUGUGGAAGUGGAAUGUGCAUAAAACCACCACCACCACCACCACCUCUAGUAGACGUUCAAAAGCAAAAUCUAAACAAAGUAACCAGAUUCUGAAUUCCAUUGAUCUAUGUUUCCAUUUCUCAAAGUCUUUUUUCUGAAUUUUAAUAUAUGAUUCGAUUGCAAGAUUAUCGGAAGAUGUUCUUGAGUUGUGUAAAUUUCUUCUGGUGUAGUUAACUUAAUUCAAUUUGAUCGUUUUAAACAAGUUAGAAAACUCAAUAUUGUGGUGGUUUUGGUAUAGGGUUCGAGCUUGAUUCGAGCUAAACGAGCUUGGAGGGCUCGAGCUCGGCUCGAGCUAAACGAGCCUAACGAGCUCGAGCUCGAGCUUAAUAAAUAGCUCGCGAGCCGAGCUUGAACAUAAAACCAGGCUCGAUUCAGAAAUUGGGCUCGGCUCGAGCUCGGCUCGUAUUAAAACGAGCCGAGUAUGAGCAUUCAAAGCUCGGCUCGCUCGGCUCGAAUAACACCCCUAACUGUUGUUGUGUUAAUUAUCUAAUGCCAGGUAAAAUACAGUAUUUUGAUAUUUUGCAAUGACAAGGACAAUCUUGUCAUAUUAUUGUACAACACAAACCCAAUGUUUGUCCGCCAUAAAAUUAAAAUUUGACUUUAUUAGAAUAUGAAAGAAAACAAUAAACGUGAAAUAGAAACUGGUCAUUUUCAUAAAAAAAAAAAAAAAAAAACUCGUCUUCUCUUCUCCUCUAAAAUUGGAAUUUAUAUUUUCCGUCGUUUAAUUAUAGCUAACAUCUUCCAAAUAAUCGCUUCCCUUCGAUUCGAUUCGAUUAUAUUAGAUUAGUUGGCGUCCAUUCAAAAUAUACACUUUUUUUUUUUUAGGGUUCUCUCAUCUCGUGGUUUCUUUUGCACCAUAAACAAUCCGCCGGUCGGUUCAUCUUUCUUUCUUUCUUCCCCGGAACUGUGAAUUCCGGCAACAAUCAUUCAUUUCUUUAUACCGUUCACAGCUCCGGUAAUGAUGAUUGAAUGUUUAAAUCAUUUGAAUCGUUUAGUGAAUUGAUGAUUGAUUUAUUAUUGUGUAAUUGAUGCAGAGGAGAAGACUUUUUUUAUUAAAAAAAAAUGAAUGGAGGUGCUUCUUCUAGAAAGAGUUUGACUUUGACUAGCUCACCAUCUUUACCAAAUAAGAAGAAUAAUGGUGUUGGUGUUGGUGGUGGUGUUGUUUCUUCUGAACUUGCACGGAGAAAUUCUGUUUCAUCUCGAGCUGCCUCGUAAUUAUCAAUCUAAUCUUUUAUUAUAUCUAUACAUGAGAUUGAAAUUUGAAUUCUAUUAAUGAAGUUUGUUUUAUAUUAGUUUUAUGGUUUUAUAUUUAAUAGAUAGAUUGUUUUUUCUCUAAUCUCUAUUAUGUAUGUAAUCCGGUAAUCAUAACAAGUUUUGUUAGAUUUUUUUAUUAUGAAUGAUUUAACAUUGUUGGUUUGAUAACAAUAUCAUUUUUACAAAACGAAUAAUAUGAAUUCAGACACAGUAUUAUAGUGAAUUAGUUCGAUUUUAGUCUUAACUUCCAUGAUUAAACAAAUGGCAAGAUGUUGAAUUUUUUCUAUCUCUGGAUAUCAUGAUUAUGAGCUGAUCAUUUUCAUCCUUGUGUUUGUUCACAAACAUCUGCAUAAUUUAUCUGCUGCAGAUUCUCAUAUUACAUAUUAUUAAAAUUUCAAUUGAACGCCCUACAUCGAGUUUAUAGGCUAUUGACUAUAGUAUUGCGCAUGUUGAUGCUCUCAAUUCCUCAUUGUAGACCUCGUAAUUUACUAUAUGGUCUUGGAAGUUACAUGCUCUCUUCUGUUUAUAGAUCACCGGUACUUAAUGUAUGGUCAAUUUUGUUUAAUGUUCAAAACCGGUCUUCAAUUUUGUUUAAUGCUCUCUUCUGUUUAUAGGUUUUCAUGAACACCUGAUAGCAUGCUUUACUGUUAACACACUGUACAACUUAGCCUUAGGUCCCUAGAUUUUGCACUUGUUAAGUACAAACUAAGACUGACUGACAAAGUUAUCAAACCAUGAACUCUGCAACUAAGACAGUAGAAUCCUUUUUGCAGCAGCAUCUAUAGACCUGGAAUUGGAAUAGUUACGUAUUCCGAGUGCUAGUAAUAACUUUCAUAAAUUUUCUCUAAAACCAGGGCAUCAGGCGAGCGUACUGUAAAGCGGUUGAGACUUUCAAAGGCCCUUACAAUACCAGAAAAUACAACUAUCUAUGAGGCAUGCCGUCGCAUGGCUGCUCGUAGAGUUGAUGCUCUAUUGCUAACUGACUCAAAUGCUUUACUUUGUGGCAUUCUCACCGACAAGGUUGACUCAUGUUUAUCCCUUUUUUCAUUGUGAUGUGUUUGUUUGUGUGUGACUAUAUUUUGUGAAGUCUCGAUUUAUAUUGUAAUUAUCUCUGAUUCAAGGACAUAGCGACAAGAGUCAUAGCUCGUGAGGUAAACAUUGAGACCACACCUGUUUCCAAAGUCAUGACAAGAAACCCCGUUUUUGUCCUUUCAGACACACUAGCUGUGGAAGCCCUGCAAAAGAUGGUGCAAGGUUGGCAACAUUUUUUUGUUACCAUUUCGAUUUGGUGCCACAAUCUUGUACUUUCAUCUCCCCUAAGAUUAGAAUAUGUUUAUCUGCAGGAAAAUUUAGACAUUUGCCUGUUGUGGAGAAUGGGGAAGUCAUUGCUUUACUCGAUAUAGCCAAGUGCCUGUAUGAUGCUAUAGCACGUAUGGAAAGGGCAGCUGAGAAAGGAAAGGCCAUUGCAGCAGCUGUUGAAGGGGUGGAAAAACAUUGGGGAUCUUCUAUAUCUGGUUGGCACAGUGUUACAUAAUAUAUGAUCUUGAUGCUUUGUUUUUGUGCUUCUUCCUUCUUUUGAUUGUUGAUCUCGUGGCUUUUAUUUGAUGAGGUCCAAAUAAGUCUGUUGUCGUUGAUGUUUGAUAAGUUAGUGCUUCUAAGCUACAAGGAACUGAUAUGAUGUUGGCUGUGCAGGUCCUAAUACGUUCAUUGAAACUCUUCGAGAGAAGAUGUUUAGGCCCUCUUUGUCUACUAUCAUUCCAGAAAAUUCAAAGUAGGUAAUAUCUUUGCGUGUCAUUUUUUUUUUCUCUCGGUUAUCUGUAUAUGCUAUGUGGACCAUGGAGUCACAUUACGUCUUUUGAUUGAUUCGUGCAUGGUAAUUUUCAGGAUAGUAACAGUUUCACCUACUGAUACAGUCUUAACUGCCGCUAAAAAGAUGCUUGAAUACCGAAUAAGUUCAGCAGUUGUUACUGUUGAGAAUAAACCACGGGGAAUACUAACGUAAGUAUCUUCUAACUUACAUUCUUCUCAGUCAUAUAUUCUCCCUUCCUGUCGAAUGAAGAUUUAUAACACAAUGUUCAUGUGCUUUAUAUUGCAAUCCUGGGAAAUAGUUCUGCAUUCUAAUGUAAUUCUGAAUUUCUCACUAUUUUGACUUAGUUCAAAGGACAUACUGAUGCGGGUCAUUGCCCAAAACCUUUCGCCAGAGUCUACUCUUGUGGAGAAGGUAUAUUAUAUCUACCAUCAUGUUUAGUUUUAGGUUACCACUAUCCAAAAAUUUCCCUUAUGAUUAAAGUAUCUGUGUUUUUAUUGAAAACAUAAUCAUGUAAUGUGCUGUAAUGUUGGUAGAAAUUGUGGGUUCAUGGAUUCUUUUCAUACUAUAUUAUUGUUUUCUUGUGAACAAAUCAAAAUUAUCUGUAUGUUUAAACAACAUUUGAACUCUGAUAACCAGGUCAUGACUCCAAAUCCAGAAUGUGCAACAGUUGAUACACCAAUAGUUGAUGCUUUGCAUACUAUGCAUGAUGGAAAAUUCUUACACCUUCCUGUUGUAGAUAGAGGUAUCUUUCUACUCUCAUAAGAAGAAGUAAUAAGCAACUAAUUGCAAGCUUACAAAGAUCGCAUUUUGGCUCCUCAAUUUUGACAAGAUUGAUCUUUUUUUUUUCUUUUUGCUUUUUUUUUUGGCAGAUGGAACUGUUGUUUCUGUCAUUGAUGUAAUUCAUAUAACCCAUGCUGCUGUAGCCACGGUAAGCUGUUUUUUCUCCUAAGUGCCAUUUACUGCAAGUGUCUGCAACCAACAUGCCUUUCAUUAUAUGCUUUAAAUGGGUAUUUCUAUUUCCAACUUGAAGAGUAUGGAAUGACUUUUGAGGAGGUAUCCUUUCUGUCUGUUAUUGGUGCCAUACUGCUAUUGAAUCUAUUUUGCAAAUACCUUUGUCAAUGCUAUUUAUACACACUUUUCCCUAGUUUUGUUAGAAUACCAAAAUAGUAUACCCGCUUAAAUGCUGCUACCUCUGGUAAUGAGAAUAGUAAGACCAGCAUUGCUGCAUUAGUAAUGAGAUUGGGGUUUUAGCUUUGUUUAUCAAUCAUAAUAUUGCAAAAGGUGUUAUCAGAUUUUAAGUCUCAUAUAAUCUGUAUGCUUGAUUGAAAAUUUUAUAAACCCCUGGUAUUUGUUUUAGUCUUUCAGAGUUGUUGCAUUUUGCAUCUUGGUCUUUCUUGCCAGCUUUUUACUUCAUCGAUAUACUAAUCAUUUUUUCAACUUAUUUAUUUUACACAAACCUUAUAUCUUCAACUUAUAUUGAUUUUGCAGAGCUUACUCAUACUUGACAACUAGUGUACAGUUAUCUGUUUUCAAAGAAAGUAAUAUUUAUAGACAUUGUUUUGAUAAAGAUUUGUAGACAUGACUUGCUGAAUGACCACAAGCUGAUAGAUAUGCCCAAUAGCACUACAAAAGAAUUUUUGCCGUCCAUAUAUUCCAUCGAUUUAGGGCCAGACAGGUUUAUGGGUUAGUUCUGCUACUUCCUCUAGGAUAGCUUUGUUUAAGACAGCCCAAACAAUUGGUAAAUGUUUGGUUAUUUUUGUAUUGGAAUCUUCAGAAAAUAAAGAUUCCUUAGUUUCUGACAUUUUGGGGAGAUAGUUCAUAGUGCAGUGGUGGGAAAUAUGAAAUCUAAUGAAAGCUUUGUGUUUUCGUUGUUGAAAUUUUUAGUGUUCCUCGUCCAUGGUAGUCAUUGUAUAUAUUAAGGGAUUCGCCUCAGUACUCACGGACUUUCUUUUUUAGAUGUUUAUUUUACAUAUUAUGCAAUUGAUGUCUGACAUAUAAUGUGUACUGUAGUUUAGAAACACCCCUAUAAAUAAGAAAAAGCCAAUCCAAGUUUCUUCUUCAGAACUAUCUUUCCCUUCAUUUUUCCUCUGAGAUUUGAAGUUUCUGCUAUGAAAUUUUGGAGCUUUACUUGAUACAGUAGUAAUUUUCAUCAACUAGGUUGGAAAUACUGCUGGAGUUGGAACUGAGGCAACAAAUACCAUGAUGCAAAAGUUUUGGGAUUCUGCUAUGACACUAGGGCCUUUGAGUGAUGACGAUGACUCACGAAGGUUAAACAUUUCAUAAAGCUGUGGCAAAGUGUUUACAUUUAUCUUCAACUCUUUUAUUUUCUUACUUACCAGAAGUUAUGUUCCAGUGAGAUAUCGAUGAAAGUGGCUUCAGAGGAGACAGAUCCAGGAAGAUCAUCUAGUUAUCCAUCUUCCAUCCUACCUUAUUCAUUUGGUUUCAAGAUCGAAGACAAAAAGGGGCGGCUGCAUAGAUUCAACUGUGGUAUUGCUCCUCAACUUUAUGACUCGAGGAGAUUUAAUUUAUCAUCUGCCACCAUUUGAGUUUGGGUUUUUUUUUUUUUUUUUUUUUUUACUUAACAGGGUCUGUAUAUAGUGUCUCUUACAAAGUAAUCAAUGAGUUGAUUAUCCUUUGGUCCUUUUAGCAUACCUUUAUGUUCAGUUUCACCUUGUGACUUAACUUUGAUAUCCUUAUUAGGUGAUUAUUGUUCAGUUUAUAUCAUUGAUGGGAAUAAUCUUGAUUGCAUCUAAUACUUUUUUCAGAUACCCGGAGUUUGACCGACCUUAUAACUUCCAUUCUUCAGAGGAUGGGAGAUGAUAUUGAUCGAAACCAAUUGCCACACAUUCUGGUAGGUUGAUUUAUAUAUGGAUCGUUUAUCCUUGUAACAGUUGCUCUACUUUAUUUUGGUUACAUCUAUUUAUUCUUGUUUGUGACUAUGUUUUAUAGUAUGAGGAUGAUGACCAUGACAAAGUAGUACUUGCAUCAGAUGGUGAUCUUGUAGCAGCUGUAGACCAUGCCAGGCAAGUUGGUUUGAAGGUAUGGUCGGUAUUAACAUAUUCCCUUGAUGAUGGUGCUGUUAAAGAUUUGUAUUCUUACCAUGAUCAAUCACAAGGAAAGUUAGGAAUUAUUUUAACAGGCUGAUACACAGGUCACACUUUAAGAUCAGUGAGGCUUGCAUGCCUGCUCCAUUAAAUAAUUCUGACCAUUCAUAAUUAUCCUUUGAACAGGGCUUAAGGCUGCAUUUAGAUUAUUCAGGAACUGGAGGUUCAUGGAGGAGGGGCAGCGGCAGUUUGGACUAUGCACAUAAAGAUGCGUGGGCCACAGCUUAUAGCACAGUUGCUGCUGGAGCUGCACUGGUUGCUGGGUUUGGUUUGUUGGCCUAUCUAAGAAGAUCUAGCUAGCUCUGAUGUGGUGUUUCUGUUAGUAAAAAAUUUGCCAACACAGAAGUCAGCUUGGAGGAAAAGGCUAUGUGUAUACAAUUGAUCCUUCGCCUUGUAUACAUCAGUGUGCAAGUUUAACAAGAUGAUGAUGAAAAGUUGCAAAAGAAGACCAAUUAGGAUUGUUGAGGGUGAGAGCUGCGAAACUAUGACUCUGCCCAUAUUAUUUGGAAAAAAGAAAACAGUGGCUACAACAAGCUCAAUGCUUGUUUAUUAUAGCCUUAUAGGAUAGAUAAUAGAUAUACAACACGGUUCCAACAUGAUUUUGUAAUUUGAGCUUACAGCUAAUUGAGAAUCAGCAUUCAGCACUACUAAGCAUUUAUUUGUAGAGUGACUUCAUACAUUCUUUUGUGGAUACUGUUUGUAUUUUGUAGUACAUAUAUUAAACCAUCCUCUUCUUCUUGAAUCUGAAUCUAGGGCUAAUCUUUCAUUUUGAGUGUAUAUAACAAAAUAUGAAUUAUAUACUGUACACAUAAUUUUCUUCAUUCCAACAGUUGAAAAAAGUUUGGUCAAAAUUGAACAAAGUCAAAAUCAAAGAAAGGGAAUAAACAUUGGUGUGCUAAAAAUGAAGUGAAACUGGAAUGGAGGAUCUUUACCUCUAUUCCCUCGUGGUCAAACUAAAAAGAGUACGGAGUAGUGGAGUGGGAGUGCUACACUGUAUCAAGUAAUCAAACUACUGUCAACUUGCUUUCUUUCUUGUCGGCUGGCUGUGUAGUUUGUUUAAAAUUGAAAAGUCCCACCACAGAACACACAACAAAACAACACAACACAACACAACUACUCUCUUUACCGCGAAACCAACUAACUACCUUGGCUGGAAGUCAAUUCGAUCUCCUUGCAAAUCAUUUUAGGGUUCUUCUUCUUCUUCUUGUUCAACAAUCAUAAUAAUAAUUCUCUCUAAUUGCAAACUAUCGUGACGAAUUCCUUCUCAAUUAGUAGCUCUCCGGUUUCUUUCUACAACUUCAAGUCGAUGCAGUCUCCUGGUAAGAUUUAAAUUCAAGCUUAUGUUUUCUUUUAAUUAUUAAUUGAAUUUUGUUUAGUAGGUAUUGAUUGAUCUUCAAUUCAAAUAGCUAAUAAGCUAAUAAUUGUUAAAAAGAGAGUUUAAAUGGAUAGUAGAGAUGGUGUUGAGUUGUGACAGUUGCAAUGAUUGCUUCCAUGACUAUGAUUUGCUGUGUUGGUGUAAAGUCAAGUUAGGUAGAGUUGCUAGCUUUGGUGAUGUUUUUGAAUGGUAGAAAUGGGGAUGUUGGUGGUUGUGGCAGUGGUUUUAAUUGUGUUUUUGUUGUUGGUGCCGGUUGCAGUAAUAGCAAUGUUGAUGAGAGUUUUAUCAUAGUGGUUGCGGUGAAAAUGAUGCUCAUACAAUAGUUGUAGUGAUGACUGAUGGAUGUUGUGUAAACAAGGGAGUAGAUAUCUGUGAUGGGACAGGUGGAUCCAAUAUAUACAAGCUUUUGUGACAAUUGCCUAUGGGUUAUCACUUUCCGGUAUAAGUUUCUUUAACGCCUGUUAACAAUCACGAGUUCUAGAAACUAAAAGGACCUUAUUACGAUGAUGUGGGUAUAGUGAGCAACUCUUGGUCAUUGACUCAUUGUAGAUAUCAUGAACGGAAGAUAUGCAUCAGGCUAUAGGAUUCCAAUAAUGCUUGUUAACAAUCAUGAGUUUUGUAACAAAUUUUUAGAAAUAAGUUAACUUCUGAUUUGUUAUUUGUUAGUAGCUGGAGGGUGAUAAUUCGUUUGUUGCACAUUCGUCAAGAUAUAGCUGCCUUUAUGGUGCUAAUGAAACUAGAGGUGGUAUGUUUACAAGUUCGGAAUCAUAAUAUAGGUUUUGUAGUUGGUCUUCAUGCCAUGACAUUAUCGUGGAUUAAGGGGUAUAUGAAUUAUAUGUAUUUCCCUGGCACUAGAUCUUACUAAUAUCACUUCACUUUAAGUUUUCCAGAACAGUUCUUGUUUCAAAUCUAUCCCCUAAGAUAUUCGUAGUUUGAUAACAAGGGGAUUCUCAAUAAAUUUCUGCGUAAGAAGAUUUGGGUUAAAUGUAUCCCAUAUAGGGUGACAUUUUCCACUUGGGUGGCAUGCCUAAAAAGAUUUCUGUCCAUAGACAAUCUCAACAAGAGAGAGAUAGACAUUCAAAAUGGUGUGUGUUUUGCAAUACCAUUGAAGAGGAGGUGGACCACCUAGAGUAAAUUGACCAAUCACAAAGAGGGUGUGGAAAACUCUGUCAAAUAGGCUAAAUGAUCCACCAUUCAACAAUACAACCAUAGUUGUCAUAUCGGGUAUCGAUUUUGAUUUUUAAUGUAUCGUGUAUUGUAUCGUAUCAUGUUUCGUAUGAUACACAUAAAGGUUUUAUAGUAGCGGAAAAAUAUAUACACAAGUUUUACAUACAUAAAACAUGCACAGAUCCAUGUAAUAAAUCACUCACAACCCAUUUUAGAAGUAUGGGUAUAAUAUUAUUGUUGGUCUAUAAACAAGUGUUAUGGGUUAAAACCUUGUAAAAGUUCAUUUUAUAAUCACAUUAUGCCUUGAUUUGAUUGUUUAUUAAAUAGUUACAUCCCAACUAAAGUUUAGAAGCUCAAAAUUCUUGGUAGCUUACUAUUAAACAAAAUAAACCAUAAACCAUUAUACAUAAAAACUAUUUUAUUUUUUCUGUCUACCUCAUAACUCUUUUUAUAUUAAAACCAAAAUUUUCAAGUCCUUAUUGUAUUUAUAAAAUGUUUAAAUAGGUUUAUAGGUUGUACAAAACAAUAAAAUUGGCAAAAAAAAUGAGUUAAAAAUAGUUUUCUAGUGAUAAAUUACGUUAAUCACUGUAUCGUCUGAUACGCGAUACGAUACGCCCGUAUCAUACUAUACACAUAAUGUAUCGUCCGAUACAUGUAAUUUUUAUACGCCGGUACGUAUCUAAAUCCCUUCGAUACGAUACGUAUCGUGUAUCGUACGAUACAGACAACUAUGAAUACAACAUUCAGGAGGCAUUAUGGAAGGACAUUCAUCAUCUCUCUCAAAAAGCUAAGUGGUUGGUGAAAGAUGUACUAUAGUAUGGGCACUUUGGAAUGAAAUAAGAGGUUGCCAUGUUUCUCUAUGUUGUAAAAGAAACAUGAGAGUUGAGCUUGCAAGACUUCAUUUGUAAUCGCAAUACCUCGGUAGUGUAACAUGUACACACUGGUGUUGUAAAUUGAAGCUAUAUCUACCUUAGUGCCUUGAGAAGGAGGUGUGGAAGGGGAAUAUAUUUAUUGUAAUGUUUGACUUCUUAGCAAAAUACCUUUCGUUGGUGAAAAAACGUUCCUGGCUACUAUUGCGUGAGAAUGAUGGGAUAGUGUAACCUAUUAUGUGCUAUGAUUUUCUUCGUGAUAAUUUAUUUUCUUAUUGUUGCACUCUCUUGAGGAGUAUGCCAUUCAAGGUAAUCAGUAAUUUAGUACAUACUUUCUGAGAAAAGAUUGCAGGCCUCACUCUAAAACUUUUGGGUUUAUCUUUGACUUUGUCGGGGUGGGCUCAAAAUUUAAAUGUUACUCUCUUAUUUUAAGCACAUGUAAAAAAUGUGUAUCAGCUAUCAGUCCUUCACUCAAAAAGUAGCUCAUUAUUUUGACAUUUUCUUUGAAAUCACUUUUGUCAAAUGGUUUUGAUUAUUUUGUUCUUUUUCAAAAUCUAGGAUAUGAUAUCAAGGAGCUGGUUCAAGAAGCUCAUUAUCGUUGGCUGAAGCCUGCGGAAGUGCUCUUUAUUUUACAGAAUCAUGGGGAUCACCAGCUCACUGAGACUCCCCUUCAAAAACCACUGAGUAAGUAUCACUUUUCAUUUGUACCUAAUUCUGUUUGUCGAGCUGAUCAUGCAAAACAGGUUGUUUUUUUCCCCUAAUCUUAUGUAGAUAAUCCUAGUUCAUUCAUGUUAUUAUAAUUUAUUUUUUGAAGUUAGUUAAUUGGAUCUCUUGGUAGGUGGAUCAUUGUUCCUUUUCAACAAGAGGGUCCUUCGAUUUUUCCGUAAAGAUGGUCAUAAUUGGCGAAAAAAGAAGGAUGGGAGGACUGUUGGGGAAGCACAUGAAAGACUUAAGGUUUGUUUAGGUGUAUUAAACAAUAUAUUCACCAGGCUUUUAAUUAGAAAAUGUUCUCCUUGUUAAUAGUUUGAUGUAGUGUUAAACAAGAAAUAGAAAUGUGUUGGCCUUGGUUUCAAAUUUCUGAAGAUUAAAAAUACGAUUAUAUGAUAUUUAUCUCCGACUUCCAAUAUGUGUAAUGUUGUGACUAAUAAAAAAUGGUGGACUAAAUGAAUGGGUAAUUUAUUGAUAUAAACUCUUCUGAUUAUUUUUCUUCAAAUGGAAUUGACUUGUUUGGACUUAUAUGUGUUAUGUUUAUUUGUUCGGCAGAUCUUUAUGGUAGAUAAAAUUUUCUUUUGAGAGGUAAACCAGUAUGAUAUAUAUUAUAAUGAAAACACUCCAAGUAGAGAUCCAAUUGAAAAAAAAUAAAAAUUACUACCAUUAAAACACAAUUUCAUUAGAAAGUGUGAGAGGUUCUCACUAGCCCAAAAUACAAGGUGUGGCAUCACUCAUUCUACAUAAAAUAUGAUAUCCUCCCUUCUCAACAUAAGAUCACCUAAUCUUAUUCCUUUCGUACAAGGUCUGUAGGAAGUCCUGUUCCAAGCAUUGGUCUUGAUGUCACAAAUAAUUGUAGCUAAGUUAAGUUCACGCCUUCAGAAAUUCUCUUGUUUCUCUCUCUCUCUCGGAAUUCCUAACAUGGCAUGAAAAAUAGCGCUCUCCAGGUCUGUCAACCCACCCUUGACAGGUUGGAAAACUUCCAGUUACCAAACAUGUCAUUCAGAUCCAUUUAUUUUCAGACCGAAAUUGCAGGCACUUUAGCAAACCACCUGUUUUAAAAGGAUUGCCUCUAGGUACCAUUUAAAUCGUCUUUGAUUGUUUGUCAGACGCGGUAUCUAUCAGAUUAAACAGACUAAAGCGGCUCUUGGCUACCCGUUCAACAACAAUCGCAGCACCAUUAUCUAGAUUGCAGAUUCUAAGAUUGUUCUAUUUCCCUUGACUUUAGGCAUCCAGUUAGAGUACUCAGAAACAAAAACCCUUUCAUUCAAAACUUUACAGUAAGCCAUUAAGAGGACUAAAGAGUAUGAAGAGAAAAGUGAGAAGAUUUACCUUUAAAAUAAAAAAGGAGGGAGUAUGAACCAAGCUGCGGGGAUUAAUAAUGGUAGUACCAGUCUCCUGCCGCAAUUUGCAGUGGCUGGUGCCUUACAUAACCUUAGUUUUUACCGUUUCAUUGUAAUAUGUACCUUGCUGUAAUGCCUGAUGCAAUUUUGUUCUAUUUGCGUUGAUAAAGAGGAAAAAAAAAACCCUUCACUCCAAUCAAACCUUACUUCUAAACUCAUUGAUGAAGAACUCCCGCACAAAUCUGCUCCUGGGAUAGGUUCUAAACAAGUGAUCAAUUGAUUCUUCAUCUGCGCAAACAUAGUCUGCACCUGUUUACCAUAGGGAUACCUCUCUUCUUGAGAAUAUCGACUACCAUACAAUUUGAUCGACAACGAUUCUACUUGAUUAAGAUUACGUAGUUUCCUAGUACAGUACUUAGGAAUAAGUGGGUUGGCAUGCCAUGUGUAUUUAUUUAAUUUCCACACAUAAAUCCUAUUAAUCAAGUUGAUGAAAUCCUAAUUAGAAUCCAAUCCUUAUUUCCUUUAUAUUAAGGAAACUAAACAAAAUACACAUGGCAUGCCAACAAACUUAUUCCUAAAUACUAGGAAAAUAAUCUUAAUCAAAUUGAAUGGUAUUGCAAUCACGGUGUUGUAUAAUAUUCACGUCUUCUACAUCAUCAAUGUGAUAUAAAAGUUCUUAGGUGUCACCGUUGGAAAAAGGGUCCUUUGUAGACCUUACAAAAUUGGUAGUAUAGGAAACUGUGAUCUAUGCAUCCAAUAUGUAUUUAUACAAAAUAUAUCACAGAUUGAGGGUCGAAAACAAACUGCUACAUAACCUUGUUUUUUCACAACUUUUACCCUCAAUUUAUCACCUUUUUUGUCGCACUGUUGCAACUUUAACAACGCCUUUUUUUUCAAUUUUUUUUUCCAUUCGGCAUGCCUCACACAACAUCUUGAGCUUGGUCCAGUAUAAAAUCACAAAAUAUUCAGAGUAUUUACACCUGCUUGACAAAUAUUUUGUGACUUUAUUACAUUUCAUUGUUGUAGAUGUUUCUGCUAUUGAAAUAUAUAUUUAUGUGUGGCUAGGUAGGUAAUGUUGAAGCUUUGAACUGUUAUUAUGCCCAUGGAGAAGUCACCCCAAACUUUCAGAGACGGAGCUAUUGGAUGUUGGAUCCGUAAGUGAAUUUGUUUAUUUAAUGAGUUAUGAUGGAUGUAUGUUUUGUUUUCCUUCUACCGCAGAACUCUAACAUCUCUUGCCAAUAUCUGUCAUCUUCUAUAUAUUGCUGUAUUUUAUUGAGUUAUAAUGGAUCCUUAAGUUAUUGUCCACAUCUCACUAGAUGACUAGAAUGAGUAGAUGUCAGAGGUUGUCUUUCAAUAAAUCAUGUAGAGAAUUUGUGUGCAGUAAUAAUGCAAAUGUAGGUUAUUGGUAUCACUUACACAAAACUUUGACCCGAUGAGUUCCACAAGUUAAGGGCUCUAUUUUUGGAGAAGGUGUUUUCUUUUGCGACUUCAUAGUGAUUCGGGAUAAUAUUAUUAUGUAAUUGUGGUUGCAUCAUUGUGUUCAUUGUUAUUUUUUGUGAGGAUGUCCCUCUCAGGUUGCUCCCAUUGUGUGAGCACUGUCGAGGUUGCAGUUGUAUUUAUUGCCACACAUUCUGACAUCGUUUUUAACUAAUGAAAGAAGUGUAAUUACAAAGGAGUAUCAGAGUUUUAGCUCUUUCUGAAAUUUUGACCACUUCAGAUGUGGUGAAUAAGUUUCCAAAUCAAACUUUAUUGAUUUUGUUUUACUUGUCCUCAAGUUGUAUCUUAUUUUUUCAAUUUGCAGAAAUCACGGCGCGGGGGGGGGGGGGGGAUGGGUUGAUUAUUUUUCCUUUAAGUAUAAGAAGUCGACACUAUUCCAAGUGAAUAUGUGUCAUAACACACAAUGUUCUGACCCAUAUUACUGUUAGGUAUGGAAAAGUUGCUUUGAUUAGUGCCACAAAAUCAACUGGACAAACUCGUAGUAGCACUAAUUGAUUAAAUAACCAGGGUAGCCAAUUAACAUUUUAAAUCCAUCUUUAUGAUCAGUUAAGUUUUGCCAUUUUGAUAGAAGGUUAUAGAGCAUACUUAUUUAUGUGAGGCACAUCUCCAAGAGAACCACGUGUCUACGAGUGCAUUGGAUCAUUAUUUGUGAAACAAGUUGGGAUAGCCAAUUAAAUAAUGAAAUGGUAAUUAAAUAACCACGAUAGCCAAUUAACAUUUUUAAAUCCAUCUUCAUGAUCUAUUAAGUUUUGCCAUUUUGAUAGAAGGCUAUAGGACAUACUUAUUGAUGUGAGGCACAUCUACAAGAGAACCACGUGUCUAGGACUCUAGGAGUGCAUUGGAUCAUUUUUAUUUGUGAAACAACUUGGGAUAGGUUUCCCAUGCCCCAGUCGUCAUAUUUUAGGAUUACAAUUGUUUAGGAAAGUUGCAUUAGGUUAGCAAAUAGCAAGUAACUGCCAUGUCGACUCAGUACAAUUUUAUUGUUCUAGUAGAAACUAUCCUUGAGAUUGAAUUGAGAGUUCUUAAGGUUUUGAGAAAUCCCUCUAUUGAGUUAUGUAUUUGAAAUUCAAUUUGAUUGUUGUUAGUUUCAAGUGUUGUUUUUAUCUUUGUUCUUGCUUCUGCGACAAGGAAUCCGUCACCUAUGGUUCAUGAAUUUGAAGUAUUUCAAAUACUCCAAUGGAGCGAGAAUGUUUGUAUCCAUUAAUUGGUGGAUAUUCUCCACACUCGCAAUACUUUUCUAAUUUUGUUCUGUUACUGAUGUACUUUGAUAAUAGAUUUUGAAACAGAGGUUUCUUUUGAAACAUUGCGAAUUAAAUGUGAUAUACAUAAAUGUACUCUUAGAGAGUUCUAUUAUAUUAAGGAUUGUAUGCCCUAGGGGCAGUUUAGUCUUUUAGUAGUUAUUUAUUAAUAUAAUGUGCAGAGAGGCUGACCAUAUAGGUCGUGCAUCUUUCUCUCUCUUUUCUGUCUGCUUCUCUCUCUUCAAUACCUUAGUUCUCAACUUGGUAUCAAAGCCAGGUUUAUCUCUCCUUUUCCUAAAUUUUUUUUUUUUCAGGUUUUGUGAGUCAUAAAGUGAUUGGUUUGUAGGAGUUUCGCAGAUCCGUCCCUUUUUCUUUUUUCUUUUUUUUGGUGUUUGUUGUGAUACUUAAACCAAACCCUAGAUGAUUUGCAGUGGUUGACAUCUAGGGAUUGAUGUGUGCGUGAUCGGUGUGGAUUUCAGCUAGUUUUUUUUCUGUUUGUGGUGGUGUUCAAGUUGUGGCAGCAGCUUUUCGUAGGUGUGUUUGCGUGUUGUGAAAUCCACAGCCAUCCUCUUUGUUGUGUUUGUGGUGGCAGUAAAUCGGUUUUUUUUCUUUUCUCUCUAGAACAUGGGUGAGGAAGCUAAAACUAGCUCGAAGCCUCCUUUGUAUUAUGUUAACGAUGAUCUUGGAAAGCCUAUUACUAAUAUUCGUUUGAAUGGGAACAAUUAUUUGUCUUGGAGUUAUGCGGUUGAACACUUCAUACGUGCGAAGAAGAAAUCUAAGAUUCUUAAUGAGGAUCCACCAAGUUCUAGUGAUGCUUCCUAUGAGGACUGGAUGACUUCUAAUUCCAUGGUUCUGACCUGGUUAUGGAAUAGUAUGGAACCCAAAGUUCUUACUAAUGUGCAGUUCCUACCCACGGCAAAACAGGUUUGGUCAUCGUUGAAGGAGAUGUAUUCUCAGGCGAACAAUAUAAGUCGUAUUUAUGAUUUGUUUGAGUCUUUGUUUAAGACAAAACAAGGAGAUCGACCACUUGAUGAAUAUUAUAGUACUAUGAAAGGCCUUUGGGAGGAACUUUUACUUUAUCAGCCGUUUACAAUUGAUCUGGAGAAACAAAGGCAACAGCGUGAACAGUUUCAGGUUGCCUUACUACUGAAUGGUUUGAAUUCUGAAUAUAGUGUUUAUAAAGAUCAACUUUUAUCCAGCGAAACAGUUCCUUCUGCUGCCCAAGCCUUCUCUCGUCUUCAAAGAAAGCGACAAGAACAUGGUGAAUCUGUUUCCGUUGCUAAAGAGUCAUCAGCCUUACUCUCUACUUCUAGCACUCGUGGUGGUCGUGGUCGUGGAGGUCGUAGCAAUUAUAAUAGUGGUAGAGGCAAUCGUGGUCGUGGUUUUGGGGGUCGUGGUUACUCUGGUACUGGUAGAGGUAAUCGUGGUAUUGAUGACAGGAAGUGUAGCUUCUGUGGUAAAGAUGGGCACACUGAGCCUUUUUGUUGGGAUAAAUAUCCCCCCUCUACAGAUGCCAAUAAUGCUUUGGAUCAAUCUUUUGGGUCUUCUGCUGUUGCGACCCCAGCUGUUCAAUCUGAAUCUUCACCAACUGACAUGUUGGGCCAAAUUUUGAGUCGUCUCAACUCAUUAUCUGUGUCUUCUACGACACCUACUGCUACCAUGGCGAGUUCUGGUAAGUCUGCUUGUUUGGCGGUUCCUUCUUCCUCUUGGAUCAUUGAUUCUGGAGCUAAUGCUCAUAUGACCGGUAAUUCUUCCCUUCUUUCAAAUUUUGUGCCCACUAAGAGUAGCAUGAACUUAGCUGAUAGUUCUUCCCGUCCUAUUCUUGGUACCGGUGUUCUUCGUCCUACCAAGUCUUUAUCAUUAAAAUCGAGUCUUUAUGUUCCCAAUCUCUCAUUUAAUCUUGUUUCUGUUAGUGAACUUACUAAAUCCCUUCGCUGUUCGGUAACCUUUACUCCUACUGGUUGUGUUUUUCAGGACCUCAAGACGAAGAUGGUGAUUGGUUCGGGAUAUGAGCGUAAUGGGUUAUAUGUUUUGAAUGUUGAAGAGUCCAGUUCGAUGCUUGCUUUGAGUGCGUCUGUGUCUCCCCUUCAAUGGCAUUGUCGUCUUGGUCAUCCAUCAUUGGUUAAGUUGCGUCAAUUAAUUCCUAAGUUGAGUCCAGUGUCUGUUUUAAAUUGUGAGGCAUGUCAAUUGGGAAAGCAUCAUCGUAGUACCUUUCCUAGUAGGAUUAAUAAGAGAUCUUUGAGUCCUUUUGAUGUAGUCCAUACUGAUAUUUGGGGUCCUUCAAGAAAUAAAACUUUAAAUGGUUUUCUUUAUUUUGUUGUAUUUGUUGAUGACUUUUCUCGAAUGACAUGGUUGUAUUUGUUAAAGGAUCGUACUGAAUUACCUCGCAUAUUGUCUAUUUUUUAUAAUGAAAUCAUAACCCAAUUUGAUAAGAAAAUUAAAAUUAUUCGGUCUGAUAAUGCCUUGGAGUAUACCCAAUCUUGUGUGAGAGUUUUUUGUGAAGAUCGAGGUGUUAUUCAUCAAACCACUUGUCCCCAUACCUCUCAGCAGAAUGGCAUCGCUGAGCGUAAACUUCGCCAUUUACUAGAUGUUACUCGCACUAUGAUGUUUGCAAUGGGUGUACCUAAACCCUAUUGGGGUGAUGCUGUUUUGACUGCUAAUUAUCUCAUUAAUCGUAUGCCAUCAUCAGUUUGUGAUAAUCAAUCUCCUUUUGCAUUAAUGUACCCGUCCCAUCCUUCUUAUGCUUUACCGCCGCGCGUUUUUGGUUGUGUUGCAUUUGUUCAUGUUCUCGGUACUGGUCAUGACAAGUUGGAUCCCCGUUCCAUCAAGUGUGUUUUUGUAGGUUACUCUCGCACUCAGAAAGGGUAUCGUUGUUAUAGUCCCGUCACUCGUAGGUAUUAUGUCAGUGCAGAUGUUACUUUCUUUGAGUCUACAUCUUACUUUUCCUCUUCUGGCCAGAAGUUUGAUCCAGACUUAGUGUCAUGUCGUGAGGGGGAGCUUUUAUGUCCAGCGUCUUCCCCAGUUGUUCCUAUUCCGGUUGUUCCUAGUACAGUGGUUAAUGAUGUGUCUGGAAGAGUUCCUCUUGCCUAUGUGCGAGGUAACAUGCCCAUUUAUGCUCAAUAUCGUCGUACUUUUCCUCGGAAGAUUGCUAGUGACUCAUCCCCGACUCAACCAUCAUCUUCUACAGAGGUUUCGUUGGUUCAUAGUGAUCAUGUUACCGUUGAUAUUCCAUCUCUUGAGGUUAAUCUUGAACCUAUUGCUAAGCGAACCAGGUCUCAAACUGCGCAUCCUAUUGCUAAUUUUGUUUCUUUUCAUCGUACUAGUCCUGUUUUUCGCACUUUUUCUUUGUCUGUGUCUACUGUUCCAGUUCCAUCUUCUCUUACCAAGGCACUUGCUUCUUCUGGCUGGAAAUUAGCUAUGGAAGAAGAAAUUUCAGCACUUCAUGAUAAUAAGACUUGGGACCUUACACCACUUCCACCAGGGAAGAAAACUGUUGGUUGCAGAUGGGUUUAUACAGUGAAGUACUUACCAGAUGGUUCGGUUGAACGUCUAAAGGCGCGUUUGGUCGCGAAAGGGUAUACACAGACCUAUGGGGUCGAUUAUGUGGAAACGUUUUCUCCUGUUGCUCGGCUUAACUCUGUUCGAAUCCUGCUUUCUGUUGCUGUCUGUAAAGGCUGGCCACUUUUUCAGUUGGAUAUUAAAAAUGCUUUCUUGCAUGGUGUGCUAUAGGAAGAGGUGUACAUGGACCAACCACCUGGGUUUGUUGUUCCUGGUCAAGAAUCUAUGGUCUGUAAGUUGAAGAAAGCUAUUUAUGGAUUAAAGCAGUCCCCUCGUGCAUGGUUUGAUCGAUUUAGUUCUGUGGUUCUUCAAUUUGGUUUUCAUCGCUCUGUUUCCGAUCAUUCUGUCUUUGUUCGACAUUCGGCUUCUGGCACUAUUAUCCUUAUUGUUUAUGUGGAUGAUAUCAUUAUUUCUGGUGAUGAUGCAGCUAGUAUAUCUGAUUUGAAGACAUAUUUGGGUCGUCAUUUGCAUACGAAGGAUUUAGGACUUCUUCGCUACUUUCUUGGGAUUGAGGUUGCUCGAUCUUCUGCUGGUAUCUGUUUGUCUCAACGUAAGUAUGUUCUUGACCUUCUUACUGACACAGGGCUUCUGGGUGCCCGUCCAGAAGAUACUCCUAUGGAUCCUACUGUCAAGCUUGAUGCUGACCAGGGGGAGGUGUUUUCUGAUGUUGGUCGCUAUCGGCGUCUUGCUGGACGUCUUAUUUAUCUUACUGUGACUCGUCCAGACAUUACUUAUGCAGUUGGGGUGGUUAGUCGGUUCAUGCAUGCUCCGCGAACUCCUCAUUGGAAUGCCGCGCUUCGUAUUUUAAGAUAUUUAAAGGGUUCUCCUGGCAAGGGACUUCUUUAUCGCCCCACAAAAACACUAGAUAUUUGUGGUUUUUCAGAUGCGGAUUGGGCAGGUGAUCGUUCCAAUCGUCGGUCGACAUCUGGGUAUUGUACCUUUGUUGGUGGUAAUUUAGUCACUUGGCGUAGUAAGAAGCAAAGUGUUGUUGCUCGGUCAAGUGCAGAAGCUGAGUAUCGUGCUAUGGCUCACACAGCUUAUGAAAUGUUGUGGGUUCGACAUCUCUUGACAGAUAUGGGUGUUCCUGUUAUUUGUCCUAUGUCUAUGUAUUGUGACAAUCAAGCUGCGAUCUUUAUAGCGAGUAACCCAGUGUUUCAUGAGCGCACCAAACAUAUUGAGGUUGAUUGUCAUUUCAUUCGUGACUUGAUCAUCUCCAAGCAAAUUGUAACUCCAUAUGUGAAGUCUGAAGAUCAGUUGGGUGAUGUUCUUACUAAACCUUUGGAUGGUAGUAGUUUCUCUGCUAUGUGUUUCAAGCUGGGCAUGUUUGAUUUGUAUGCCCCAGCUUGAGGGGGAGUCUUAGAGAGUUCUAUUAUAUUAAGGAUUGUAUGCCCUAGGGGCAGUUUAGUCUUUUAGUAGUUAUUUAUUAAUAUAAUGUGCAGAGAGGCUGACCAUAUAGGUCGUGCAUCUUUCUCUCUCUUUUCUGUCUGCUUCUCUCUCUUCAAUACCUUAGUUCUCAACUUGUACAAUUUAACUAUAUGGCUGGGAUGCGAAUGAGCCUGUGGCUCAAUGGUAGCACCCCUCUCACAAAGUGGAGAGGUUGUGGGUUCGAAACAUGUCAACAGCUGAUUGUUGAUAUAAGUUUCCACACGUAAUUUGAAGGGGUAAGGGUCCCCUCAACCCUGCUUGCCAAUCAAAAAAAAAAACUAUAUGACUGGGAUAAGAUAGACAAACCUAGAUUUAGGAAAUGAAGGUGUAUCCUGUUUUUGUCUCUCAUACCACUUGCCACUUUCCAUUCUAAAUUCCUGUCUGAGCACACGCACACGCACACGCGCACGCGCACGCGCACGCGCACGCGCACGCGCACGCGCACGCGCACGCGCACGCGCACGCGCACGCGCACGCGCACGCGCACGCGCACGCGCACGCGCACGCGCACGCGCACGCAAAACAAAAUAAGAGUUUUGGAAUAGCUGUUACACGGUCCCUUAAGUGUUGAUAGUUUAUUUAGACUGUCACAUAAUUUGCACAUAUGUACUUAGUUGUCCAUGUCUGUACAGUUGUAUGCCACUUUUUUCCAAGCGUCAAUGUUUUAUUUACACUUCAAUACAAGGCUCCAAAAAACAAAAGAAGUGUAUUCCACGAUAUGUUCAAGUCAUUUUUGGAGCCUUGUAUUGAAGGGUAAAGGAUGUGAACCAAUAUUUUAGAAGGUAAUAUUUGCUCACAAGCGCUCUUCCCUUUUGCAGCGCGUAUGAACACAUCGUCCUUGUUCACUAUAGAGAAAUCAACGAGGUAUGUCACAAGAAAGGAACUCUGUCAUUAAAUAUGAUUAUUUGAAUUAAUCUUUGUUACAGUCCAUAUAUGUUUCUGCCAUUCGCAUACACCUGGUGUUAAUAUGAUUUUAUUAUUCCUGCACAUGAUACCCAUUUGCAAUAUUAGUUUUUUUUAGAUGCUCUUCUGCAAAAUGGAAAGAAAAAGUUCUUUCCCAACCUCAUCUAAUAUUUCAUAAAGAAACUCAAUGAUAACAUGUUGAUUCAUCAGGUCUCCACUGAACACUUUUUACAAUUCGAGUGUCUGAUGAGGAGUUACACUUCUCUCUGCUUUGUUCUAUCAACAAAGUGUUUGAUUUAUAUGCAAUCUUAUGGAAUAUAUGCAUACAUUGACCUCAAUAACUCUUAAUGUUAUCAAAAUCCUUACUAAAUUUAUUUAUCAUAUAUAUACUUCUUCACAUUAGGCAAAGUUGCAGUCCUUGUCUUUGCCCCGCUUUUUACCUUACCUUCCUCAAAGGUUUCAUUGGAAAUUCAGAAAUUUGUAUGUCUACAACUCACUUCUUAAUGGACUAGUGGGUGUGCAAGUGCGUUGCACACGCUCAACACUUCUUGAGUACAACUGAAUUUAUUUUUAUUUCAACUUAAUAUAGUGUGUAACCAUGUUCAAAUAAUAACCUAAAUAUUUAAGGGAAAUUAUCAGGUCUAACAUGGUUUGACACAAAAAAUUUCCAAGUUUCCAACCAUUGUGAUUAAAUUCCUUUUUUUUUUUUUUGAAAAGUAAAAUUUUUAUUAGUAAUGUAAAAUGAUUUCAAAACUGCGUGUAGCCGUGUAGCAUCAGAUCAUACCACUUGUAACUACAAGGAACAUGGAUCAACAGAUCCCCAAGUAAAGCACCCAUGCAUAAAACCUUCAGCUACUUAGCCGGGGUCGAAGAUCAAUUGUCCCCUGAUCAUCUCCAACUUGUGCUCCUCCCUAAAAAAUCUUAAUCGAUUGCACGUCAUGUCAAUGUCAAGACUACUCGCUAUCCAAGACAUGUCUUUAGUCAAAAUUGGCAACAAUCACUGCCCCAUAGGACUUGUAAAAUCCUGUUUCGUAAAAGGAUGUUAUAUCACCAAUGUGGAUGAUGCGAUCAUCAUAUCUUCAAAAUAUUUAAUUUCUAAUAUUCUCAAACGAGGUUGGAGAUGUUAUUCAAAACUGAUGACCCAAAAACCUUGAGAUUCAUUGAGGUUAAAAAUUUCAAAUUGAACAGAAUUAUAGAUAUGCUUAUUUCCAUGACACAGUCCCCCAAAAGUUAGAUGUAAAUCAAUGUCAUUCGUCCAACGUGAAAAAACAUGCUUUCUCAAACUGUGUUAGGCGUUUGAACAAUUAUAAAAGUAACGUCUAAAAGAAUUCAAAGCUUUUCACAAUAAAGAAACCUAAAUGGUUGAGUCAUAUGUGAAAUAGGUAGUGUUGCAUGUAUAUACAUAAAGGCAGGGGAUGCUAUGAUCAGACAAUUUGAAAUAGCUGUGUAUUUCACAUGUUUUAGGGGACCUGGGGAUUGAAUUGCAACAUCUAUCUACGGGGCCUACUUCUGCGAGUGAAACUGGAGUAUACUAAUAAAAUUAUGAACUCUUUUGAGAGUCUCUUCCUUUUUAAGUGUCUGUUCAUACUUAACACAACGGCAUUCAAAUCCGCCAUAUGCAUGCAUAUUUCAUUUUGACAUCAAUGUGUCCUCAUUAAAUGGCAGGGAAGACUCAGGUCAGCAUCAAACUCACAGGGAUCUCCUGGCUUGUCGUAUACGUCAUCUCAGAGUCCCAGCUUUAGUUCUGCCUACCAUCCUGCUGCAGCUAGUGAACAACAUGAUGCCUAUGUGAGUUCAUUCAGUCCAGAAUCUGUGGAAGUAAGUUCUGAGAUAGUUAGUAGAAAUAAAAUCAUGGGCCAAAUGAAUGGGGAGAGUAGAGUUGGAGAUUUAGGUAGGUUGCCUAAGGUUGAGGUUGGUCAAGCCCUGCGAAGGCUGGAGGAGCAAUUAAGUUUGAACGAUGAUGACAUAGAAGAACUUUUCCCUAGGUAUGGGCAGAAUAAUAAUAAUUUAGAACUUCUAGGCUCUGAAAGGACGUCCUACCAGGAUGAGCUUGCAGUACGAACAUCCAUUGAAAGUAGAAGUGAGCUUCAACAUGUUGGGCCACAAGAGGACUCAAAGAGCGAUCUAUUUGUACAAGUUUCAGGUAUGGCAAUGUUUUCUUGUGUUUAACUUUUUUCCCUUUCUUGAGUUUGGCGCGCAUGGGUGGGGGUGGUUUUGUGGGUUUGUGAGUGUAAGAUAUAUUACAGAUGAACAUAUUUGUUGUUUUCUUUAGUAAGUACCAUAGUUCGUAUGGGACUUUAUUAUACAGAAAGGUCACUUCAGUAGUUCAGUGUACAAAAGAAUGUUGUUCCUUCAUCGUCUUGCAUACUUAAAAGCAUGUCAUCGUCAUCAUUGUUGAAAAGUUAAAACUGUUUAUGAUAAAGGUGCUAAAUUGUCAGUAACUUCUCUGCAAACUCAUACUAAGUUCAAACUUCAAAGUUUAAAAAGUGAUUCAUUUCGUCGCUGUAAUUCUGUAAUAUGGUGCAUUGUCCAAUGGUUAUUGCAAAGAUAUUAUAUUAUGCGAUAAGCUAAUAGCAUUAGCACAACUGGUAUGUGCAGAAAACAAUGAGAAUUGCAUGGCAACUGAGUCUAUUGUCUUUUAUGGGUACGAUGGCUGUACCUUUGAGACGCUAAGAGGAUGACAUGUUUAAUACAUGCAUACAUCCUUGCCCAAUUUUUUUAUGAGAUUAGAUCAUCUGCACCCAGGGAGCUGUAAUCAUCUUCAAUUUGGGGUUGGUUCCACCAUAAAACUUACCUAUGUGGAGGUUGAUCUCAGCUCCCACGGUGCACAUUCAGGUUCGGCCUCUUACUAGAAAAUUGGUGCGACGCAUCUUUGUUUAUGACAUGUGACGUGAAAAAGGUGUGUGUGGUGGAACCAAGAGAGGGCUGAGGUUUUUAUCUCAGCUCCCAGGGUGUAGAUGAUCUGGCCCCUUUUAACAGGGCAUGUCCGGAAAGCUAGUGUGUAAUAGGGCACAUCCAGAUAGCUGCUUGCGAAAUUUGAAUGGGAUUAUUGCUUUGAGCUGAACCCUUAACUCCCCUUCAGCAAUUUUAGACUCUUUGUGCAUGGUCACUCUUGACCUCUUCAUUAUUUUAUUUUCCUAGCAGACCUUUUAACUUCUUGUAAUAUAUGAUUGAUUGUCUUCUUCAACAUAUAUAUCUUUAGCUCAAAGGUUUUUUUCACAAGCAUGCAUAAAUUAGAAAGGGAGAUCUUAUUGCCACCCAAGUAACUCGUCAAAAACCCAGAUGUAACAAAUUCGUCAAAAACCCAAUGAUAAAAUAUCAUUUAUACCCUUAUACUUAAUAUUUUGUUUUUGACAAAAACCCAACGUAUAUAAUUUUUCAAAAACCCUAAUUAAAAUGAACAAAACUAAUGUAUGUAACUAACUAACUGCCCAUAAGUCCCCAAGGAUUUGAAUUCUCCAUAUGAAACUCUAAUUUUUUACGGAGAAAAAAUAAAAAGAAAAAAUUGGGUGGUACUCUCUUGUUGUCUCCUACCUAAUCUCCACAAAUGUUACCCUCAUCAAACAAUCUCGUCUUUUAGAUUCUCUCCUCUAUAAUUUUUUUGUUCAUAUUUUAAUUGUGUACUCUCUCCACAAAAUUUUUGAUACUUUUUCAUCAGUAUUUUUCGAUAGUUAUUUUCAAUAAUAUAAUUCAGUUGGUUAUUUUUUUAUUUAAUUUGAUUUUAUGGAGAGAAGAUCUAGAAGAGUUUUACUAAUUUUGGGUUUUUGACAACGUAUGUAGGUAUGAAGGGUAUUUUAGUAAAAAAAUAAUUGUUUGAUUGGGUUUUUCAAAAAAAUUUGGUCUGAUUGGGUUUUUGACGAGUUAGUUGGGUGGCAAUUAAAUUCCUCCAUGCGGUUGAAUAAAACCAUCCCUUCCUACACCUCUACAAGACAAGAUAUCUUUCUGAAAGCUCAAUGUUUGGAUUAAAAGUUGACCGCCCUUCAAAGAAAAAACUCAUUUCUGAUAUAGAGGAAAAUAUUUACUCUGAGUGUAUUUCAGAUUUUCUUACUCUCUGAAAGUAUUAUUCACAUGCAAAUUUAUCCUUUUUUUAUGGUUCCAUCAAUAAACUAUAAUAGAUGAUUAUAUUAUGUGUAGGUGAUAAUGGGAAGCAACACCUUCAACACGUUGGGCCUGAAUAUAAAAUUGAAAGGAAAGAUACUCCAUUUUGGAAAGAGACGCUGGAGCUGUGUUCAGAUUACACCUGGACGAAUUUAGAAGAGAAAAGUUUGAAUACAUCGGAAAGAAGUGUAAGUAACCCGCACAUAGGUGAAACUAUCUUUUUAGUUGUUAUAAGAUGUUAUAGUUAUAAUGCGGAAUAGAAAACUGUAUCUAAGAAAUGCUCUAGUAUCUUUGAAACGUCAGGAUGUUCAGGUUACAGUGGGAGUCUGUUUUCUGUUGAAGGUGUUACAUCUGGAAUCAAGUAUAUUUGUGGAAUUUUCCAAUUGGCUCUUGGUGUAAGAUUCACAAUUCCAAUUGACAAAGUUUUUAAUCCAACCUAAAAAGUUAUUUAGUAUCUAGGGAAACACUUUGACUUGAUCGGGGUUAACUUUUUAAUUUCUCUCUCUUUCCCAUGCCUUUCUGUUUCCGGCAAGUCUCUCUAUUUUCUCUUUCGGGAGCCGAGCAAUAGAAGGAAGUGGGCUGUGGCGACGCCGGAAUUUGCACCUAUUUGUAUCUAUUUAGUGAUCAGUCCGCUAGUUUCCGUGAUCCCACUUGGUGUUCCUUUUCCAUUUGCUUCAAAUAGUUUGACUUAUCCAGAAAAAUUGUUGGCCACAAAUGUGGUUCCGAUCCUUCUGGUGGUGCCAGAAGUUGUUGGCUAAAAUUCUUGCAGUAGGAACAUGGCUAGGAGGAUUUGAUAUCCCUGGCCUGGGGUACCUCUUAAUAGGAGGAACAGCAGGAGAGAUCUGAUUCCACAACGAAAAGCCUAAACCUUCCUUGAAGAAGCAGAAGCCGCCAUCUUGAAUGGAUUUCAGUUAUAGCAAUGACUCAUGCUAUCAAGAAGAGGAAGAGAGGAUAUAUAAAUGGGAGGGAGAUUCUUCAUCCUGUACAGUUUCAUUUAAACAUUCAGUUCAAUGAAAUUCUCUUUUUCAGCACGAGGAGUCAUUUCUGGAGAAACAAAUCCUAAAGAGAACGCACAAGAACAAAUAAGGGCGCGCGAAGCACCUGCCCCUGCUAAUGAGUCACUCCUAAUGUAACUCCUGUAGGUGAUGAUCUUCCCUACCUCUCUCAACGAAAAUGAAAGAUAGGCGAACCGGCAAGAUACAGCUCAGCUCUCAAAGAACAAUUGUGCCAGACGCUGGAAAAGUGAGAGGUGUGUCUAAAGGAAGCAGGAUAAGUAGUAACAAAACCACUGAUUGAUAGGCUAGGGAGUCCAAAAAGUCACUGACUAAUGGUCUAAUCGAUAUAUUUUUGGCACAUUAGUAAAACUAAACUGUCAAAAAGAGCACACUGCUUAAUAGGCUAAGCAGUGAAUAUUGCUUAGUGCAUUAAGCUAUUUCAGCAAACCACUAGUUAAUAGUCUUUGAAGUCAAAAGUACAACUCAAUAUAGGCUAAACAAUGUUUUUUGUCAUUUUAAUGGACUCAUCAGUAUAAAACAGCAAACUAAUUAAAGGGCAAACAAGUCUUAUUAAACUGCUUUGACCACCAAGCAGUUUGCACAAACUCCCCACCCUGAUUUACCGUGGACAUGUGGCAAUAUGUGUUUUGUUGUUGAAUAACUUAUGCAUCAAACCCCCACCCACUUGGUCGAAGUGAAACCACUUAGAACUGAUGCAGUGUUUUUGUCCUGGAUAUUAGAACACUAUUUUCCUGGAAUAUCAAACUAAUUACAAUGAGAAUAGCUGCUCUUAGCUCCAUAUAGUCUUUCGUUGAAAAAUUGUGAGUUGGAAGCUGGUGGUCUAUGGACCAGAGAUUCAGUAUCUGAGUACGGCCCUGUGUUUUAUGCUAUAUUUAUCUGCGCUAUGAACCUACUACACACAUACCUGUGUGGCUGUGUCAGUGUUAUUUAGUUCAAUAUCUAUUCAUUUACUUGUUAUUAUUUAGUUUUUUUUAUUCAACGUAAUAUUGAGCUCUCUGCAUAUUUGACUGAACAGCCACAGAAAUGGACUCCUCAUUGGCUAGACUUAAGAAGUAACAAUGCAGAAAACAAGAAUGAAUAUAUCUCAACCUCUGAAAACAGUUUCAGUCAGCAGCUUUCAGAAGCUAAACAUUUUCUAUUGGGAUCUGAUGAUGCUAUUGUAUCACCAACUGUGCCGUCACUGCCUCAAGAAUAUGAAAGUUAUGAAACUAAUGCUAGUCCGUUUACAUUGAGCUCUUGUGGAGAGAAUUCUGAUCACUACAAAAAUGUGUUUGAGCUAGAAAGUCAGCCUACAUAUUCUCAUAGAUCCGAUGUGAAUUUGCCUCCUGCACAAACACACAAGUUUAGCAUUCAAGAGAUAUCACCAGAACAUGGAUACACGACUGAGAAUACAAAGGUAUAUAUCACAAAGAUUUUAUUUAAAAUAGUAAUAAAGUAUUUCAUCCCCAAAAACACAUUAAUAUUACAAUGCAAUGAGUUUAUCAACUAAAAAAGCUGAGAUAUUUGGGACUUUGAGUGUUUGAUCCAUGUUGAUGAUGUUUAUUGUUGUCAUUCAAAAAGUUAUUUACAGGUGCUGAUAUCCACCUGUAGUUGCCCAUAUCUACGCUGAUCAUACAAAUAAAAGUUGCCCGUAUGGCCAUAUCUACACUUUGAUCAUACAACUAGGAGAUUGUAUAUACAGUCAUUUGACCUCUUUUUUUUAACUAAAAAAUGUAGGAAGGUUUAGUUGGCUUUGUGGUUGUAACUUAAGCUUAUAGUGCAUAACAGAUUGUUCUGUUGCUAUUCUUCUUUUCUUCCUUGAGAGUUGAAGUUUUUUUUUUUGGAUAUAAUAAAAAUAUCUCAUAAAUUUGAACCGUGUUUGAAAGUUGAGCUGUUAAGUAUAUAAAUUUGAACUGUGUUUGUAUCAUUGAAUGUGCAAAUUUCUUUUGUAAAGACUUCAAUGCAUCCCUUUGUGCUCCAAUAAAAAAAGCCAAGCUAUAAAAAUCUCUCUUCAUUGGAUUCCAAGCGAAUUAUUAUGAUAUUUAUUAACAUGUAUCUUUCCUCAAGUUGAUAAUGUAAUCAUCUAUAAGACAACCCAGGGUGGAUUCGGGAUUUUAUAUUACCGAGGACUACUGACAAUUCAGGAGAUAUUCCUGUCGAUUAUGGGAUGUCAAAGACAAAUUAUAAUGCAUCUCACUUGAACUCUACUAGUCUAGUUACUGUAAUAGAAAAUAUGUUAAAUAUUAGUGAUAGGUUUUGAUAAGAAUAUUUCUAUCUUGAAAUACAGAGACCAUUUCUUCUUAACCAGGAUAACUUGGAUUCGUUGAAAAUUUGGGAUUGUAAAUGUGUUCUUCGCUUGUUCCCAAACAAUUGAAGAAACUGAGAUGUAUAAGAUGCUUUUUUUUGCCUUGCUGGUUGGUGACAUGUUUUUUUAUUAUGAUCCUUGGGUUCAAAACCUAGUAGAACCAUCAUUUGCUUAAAGCCAAAGAGACAAAAAGGCAACUAAUUACUAGGUCUAGCGAGCUGAACUAUGGACUAUUUCUCAGAACUUACUAGCCUGGGUAAGCCCAUUCCUAGAUCUCCUGAAACCACUUUUUUCGAUCUCCCAAAGCUGCACUAGAGAAAUGAAUAUUGGAUGGCUGUUUGCUUUCCUAAGAUUACAUAUAAUGAUAUAAAUGAUGUCAAAGCCAUGUUCAGUCCAAGAUAAUACAAGAUAUGAUUUAUUGCUGAAGUGGUUGCUGUAACCAACGAUGAUAUGUUGAUAUGAUAACUAUAUAAAAUAUCAAGGGAGUUUUAGUCGUCAUAAGAAGUUUUAAAUUU